rnacentral:lncRNA from 1 species
GAUUAAAAUUAUUUUAAUAUACAUAUGUUUAUUUUAUUUUUUUCCUUUCGGAAGCGAAAGCAAGUCCAUGCCCGACAACUUGGGAGGAGAGGCUAAAGGCAAAAACUGGAACAUUUUUUUUUUAUGUGAUAAUUUCUUCUUUCUAUUAUAUAAUUUCUUUUCAAAGAAUUUGUUAUUUUGUUGCUUGUUUAAUGGUAAUUCGGCAAUUUUUUUUGAAAAAACAGAGUAUCAAUGACUCUUAGGUCUCAAAAGUGAUAAGCUAUCCGCAUAUUUUAAUAUUUAACACACAACAUUAAAUAAUUAGUAAUUCUGGUCUCGAGCCCCUUCAAGUAUACCAAACAACUCGCGCUCAUCGCAUCUAUGUACGGCAUCUUUUCCAGAAAAAACAGAGUAAUAAAACAAAGCAGAGUAUUUACUUCGGUCCUUUACUUUCCUUAAUUUUCACCUCAUGAGAAAUCAAAUCUCAAAAUUCAAAGCUUCGAUUUGAUGGGCCAAGAAUGCAAUUUUGAUUCAUGGAAGGCACAUUCUGAUUCUGUCCAACUUUUUUAACCCAAGCCAGGCAUUUUCUGGUAAUUUAACAGGGAAAUAAGCAGCAAGAACUGAUACAAUAAACAAAUACAAAGAAAGUAAAUGAAAUGCGAUCUGCAGAGAAAAUAAAAUUGAAACUGAGAUGCGCACUUACACUGUUACACGUAGACUCAGAGAAAAUAAUAUUCACUAGGCUGUGCCCUUCAUUCGAGUUGUUUAAAUCUUUUAGGUUGUGGUUCCUCAUCAUCAUUACAGCAGCCACUUCCACUAGCUUCAGCCGCCCCAACAUAUUCUUCAAGACUUCGCUUUAGAAAGCUUCGCUCAGACGACGUUGUUGAUCCUGCAUCAUCCCGGCGGCAACUUCCACUGCCUUCUGCCCUGUCUAAGUCAUCAUUACGGCUAUGCGUAAAGGAUGUUGAUCCUGAACAAUCGUGACCAAAUUCGUUCAAAUUCCAAACCGGAUCAGUUGUUUGGUUGAACUUAUCCCCUUGAUGCACAUAUAUUGGAUGGACACCACACCUCUUCAACUCCAAUCCUGACGGCGAAGAAAAUUCCACUUCACUAAUAUCUUCCCUAUUCUGGUAGUAUAGGAAAAGAUGGUCUGACAUAGCCUGACCGAAUUGCUUUCUCAAAUAAAUGCUACACAUACCCGAGGAGGUAGGCUUUCUAUCUAUGGACAGCUCAUGUACGGGAAGCCCUUGUAUAUAAUAAGGAAGUGAAUAUUUAGGGACAUGAAAAACACAGCACAUAGCAUAUCCCACAAGCUUACUAUUCUUAUACGUCUUUGGAGGCGUGCUUAUUGUUAUUGAAGAACCCUCAUUAUUCUGAUACUCGAACCACUCUGGGAUUUCACUUCCAGGAACAAUUAUGUAACAAUAUCUCAUAUAGUCCUGAAACCUCACAAAUAUAUAUAUAUAUAUUAGAAAGCCAUACCAAUGCAUAAUUUUUAGGCAUAAUUUUAGCAACAGGUGAGAGACAGUGUAAGAAACUGACAUUAGUCUGUUUAAUGUACUUGUCCGACAGUGACAUAUUCUGCAACCCCACGGAAAAAAAAAGUGAGUAAAUAAAUAAAAUAAAAAGACAUAACAUGUAUUGCAUCAGUUUUAGGCAUAAUGUUAGCACAGGUGAGAGUGAGAGACUGACCUCAGAAUUUUUAAUGUACUCUUUCAGCAGUGAAAGCGCCAAAUCAUAGUUGCCAGCCAAUUUCAAGCAAUCCACACAAGGAAGGUGUAAGUACGGGAGUUGAUGCUCGUUUAAAUUUAAUACAUCUGAUAAUGUCUUCAACGAAACACAACCGUCUAACGAAAUCCAAUGUAUACUGGCUGGAAGUCGAGGCAGAUUUUGAAGCAUUUUGCAUUCCUCUAAAUCAAUACUCGAAAGUUUAGAAAGAUGGUAAAUGCUUGCCGGCAGCGUAAAAAAAUUGUUUCCACUCAGAUGUAACUCUUCUAAUGAGCAUAAGUCGCCAAUACUACUUGGGAUUGCUCCUUCCCCUAGAUCACAGUCACUGAUAUCCAAUUUCGUUAAACUACACAAACCUGACAGAGAAGACGACAAACUCAAAGCCACCGGAUCUGAACUCCAUCGCAUCAAAUUGAUAGGGAAGCGCAGAAACCAUGAUGCAGAUGAUGGUGAUCCUUUGCACCCAUGAAAAGAUAGUUCUUUAAGAUUCUUCAUAAGAAAAAUUGACGAUUGAGGUUGCCUUAUAGCUGUACCACUUAUAUCAAGGAUUUCCAAACUUUCUACUUGCCCAAUCGUCUCAGGCACAUUUUCAAGUUUGAAGCAGCCUGAGAGAUUCAAAGUUUUGAGGGAUUUCAAACCAUUUAUACUGCUAGGAAGUCUCACGAGACUUCUGCAGUCAUUCAAAUUUAACAAUUCAAGUCUGGUCAAAAGUUCUAUUGAUGAUGGUACUUCUGCAAUAGAAGUUCCAUCUAAAAAGAGCUCUGACAGAUCUUCCAUACUUAUCACACUCUCUGGAAAUUUCACUAUUUUCGAGCAACCAGAGAGCGUUAGAGUUCUUAGACAUUUUAAGCUGCUUGCAGUAAUUGGAAGAGUCUCGAGAUUUCUGCAAUCCUUCAAAUUCAACAAGACAAGUUUGAAUAGAAGCUUAAUAGAUAAAGGUAGUUUUUUGAUAUCAGUUUCAUCCAAAAGAAGUUCCCGUAGACACUCCAUACUUCCCACAACGCGUGGAAGUUUCCUCAAUUUCAAGCAACCAGAAAGAACAAGUGUUUUAAGCGAUUUCAUAAAUAUCUCACCCGGAAGAGUUGUAAGACUUGUACAACCUUUCAAAUUCAACAAGAUCAGCUUAUUGUGACGUAGUAAAGACUGGUGAAUUUCACGCAACCUUGUACAUCCUUCAAGAUCCAACUCCUCUAAGUUUGGGACCUUUGUGAAGUCUGGUGUCUUAAUCAGAUUCUCUGAAUGGCUGAGUUUCAUGAGUCUCAACAUGUUUAAAGGCUGUUGAAAACAAAAAAGGAGCUAAAAUGAUAUUUCUUAAUUCAUAUACUACUAUAAUAAUAAAACUGUUAUCAACAAUUAUUCUCUCAAAAAUCUAAAUUUGUGACAAAAAAAAAUUGAACUUACUUUGAAUCCUUUCCAUAAUUCUUCAAUGCGGCUGUAACACAUUUUAAAUCCAACAAUUUCAUCCAAUUGCAAAUUUGAUGGCAAAGAUUUCAAAGGAUACCGACGCCAAUCAAGUAAUCGCAACCUGUUAGAGAGAUAUUCUAGGCCUCUAGGAAGUUGCACAUUACUGAUUUUGAGCAGUCUUAGGUUGGUCAUCUGCGAAAAUGCUUUAGCACUUGCACUUAAGUAAACCUCAUUUUCAGGAAAGUAGGCAUUAACUAUUAUUCCUUCCACUACUUCACCUCCCUAAAAAUUAUAAGCAAACAAUAAGUAGAUAAAACAAUAAUGUAAAGAUGUUGAAAAUUCGUCAGAGAUAUAAUUGGGAAAAAUAAAGUAGCAACCAUCAACAAGUUUUCCAUUUAAUAAUUCACUUACCGUAUUGUUUGUCAACACCUGGCGCACUUCUUCUUCCCUCCAUAUUCUGCUACGUUUCCCAGGUUCUUCGGGGGAUUGUCUCGUAACAAUCAGUUGUCCCAAUUCCUGUAACAAAUCAUGCAUCCCCAGUGUGUUGUUGUCAUCAACAGUUAAUAGAGACUUUUCGAUAAGAACUUCUAUUCCAAUGACUGGGGAAAAACCACAUCCCUCUAGAAUUUUUGUUACACCAUCUCUAUUCUUCCAUUUAAAGAAACAUGCAACAUCGAGAAAUAUUUUCUUCUCUGAAUCUUGUAGUCCUUCAAAACUUAUUUGAAGUAUACUCAUAAUCUUAUUUGAAGGAUCUUUUUUUAGUCUUUCUAGGGCACUUCUCCAUAGAUCUGCAGAUCUACCAAUUAGAAAGGAUCCCAAAACUUUUAGAGCUAAUGGAAGACCACCAGCAUACUCCAGAACACGUUUAGACAGCUCCACAUAUUCUCCCAUAGGCUGAUGGCUUUUAAAAGCUUUGGUACUAAAGAAUUGAAGAGCUUCAUCGUUAUUUAGUACAUCAAGGUCAAGAAUAUGCUCUUCAUCCACUUCAUGUGCCACCAACAACUGUCUAUCUCUCGUUGUUAUUAGAAUCCUGCUGCCUGGACCGAACCAAUCACGCCUUCCAACUAACCUUUGUAAUUGUUCAACAUCAGCCACAUCAUCGAUUAUGAGAAGAACUUUUUUCCGUUGCAGCCUACUUCCAAUUAUGUUAAUACCAUCGUAGACAUUCUGUAUGCUAUAAUCUGAAAGCUUCAGUAAAUCAGAAAGAAGCUGCUUUUGUAAAGAGAUUUCAUUGCCUUCUUUUUCAGAUUUUUCUCUAACAUCGGCAAGAAAACUACUCCCAUCAAACUCAUGAGACAUCAAGUCAUAAAAAACCUUUGCAAGAGUUGUCUUUCCUAGACCUCCCAUGCCCCAUAUCCCGAUCAUACGAACAUCAUUAGACCCCAUACCCAUAAGAAACCUCAGUUGCUCCAAGCGUGAUUCCAUUCCUACUAGCUCCUUAAGAAUCUCUGGUUCUAAACGAAUUUUACGAAAUAUGACAUUGGCAAUUUCCUCAAUAAAUUCUGACUCAUUGCUGCAGAUUGAAAACAACAAGAAAAGAUUGGCGUUGUUAAAUUAAAGUUAGUAUGAACGUAGUAGCAAAUCAAUUCCAUAUUGUGAAUAAAAUCCAAACUAUGCAAUAUUCAUUUCAUCAAAUUGAAGCCAUAUAAUUAAAUAAUAUGUUAUUAUUACAUCAGUCAACAACAAUUGGAAUGAGAAAUUCAAGCCCAACCCAAUAAAAAUUGGAUUGGGUUGCAUUGUGAUUGGUAAUUUCAAAAUUUAUAUAUUAAAAUUUAUAUAUUGUUUCUUUCUACAACAGGAUCAGUUAGUUGAAAAGACAAUUUAAAUCAAUUAGAUUAGCUAAAUAUGUAAUGAUAUUGAUAUCAUUCGUAUUGAGAUUAUUGCCAUUGUUAUUAUUAGUAUUUUGCAAAUCUAGGUCAAGAGUCAAUUCAUAGAAGAAAAUUAUAUUAAAAUAAAUAGCAAAUGACAAAACAGAGCAGUUUGCAAGCAAGGACGCGGAUAGAUUAAUCUAGGAAAUAAAUUGACUAAAAUUAUAAUCACAAGCUUAAAUCAUUAUAUUGAGAUGCCUAAGCUUGGGCAAUAAUCUAGGAAUAAAGUUUUAUUUUACUUUUUUUUUUUUUUGCAAAACUGAUAGCACAAAGCAUCGCAGCAUAAAAACAUUUAGUCAUCAAAAGUUCAAAAUACAAUAAUUCAACGUAUCAAUGUCCAUAUCUCUUUGUUUGCAGAUAUUAAUUCAUUUAUAAAUUUUAGAUUAUUCUCCUCAUGAUUUGAAUAUCUUCAAAUCACUCCCUUUUGAACACCUCAAUUACCCUAUUUUUGUUCAAAAGAGAAGGAAAAAUGGGGUGAGUUGAUGAAAUAUUUUUUUAUUCUUAACAAAAAUGGGAGGUAAAUUGAGAUUUUCAAAAUUAAAGGUAUAAUUUAAAGAUAUUCAAUUCAUGGGAGGAACCCUCUUCCUACACAUCAUAUGAUAUAUAUAUGUAUUAAAUAGAAGUUGUUUAAUUGAAAACAGUGUUGAAUGAAAAUCUGUUUUGUAGUUACUAAUCUUGCAAAACAAACAAAAUUAAUAGUUGAGAAAAAGAAUGAUUACCUAUCCUUAAAUUCCCAACCUGAUAUAUUGGCCACCACCUUUAAAGCGUGUCUCCACUUUUGCACUUUUUCUAUAUUAUCCUUGAAAAAUUCUUCAUGUUUAGCAAAAGCUUCUCCGAAACAUGUUGUUUGUUUUCUUACAACAGUUGGUUCCACUUCAUAAAAAAUUGGAAAAAUUUGAUCCUCUCUAUUUUUGCAUUCAACAAUCUUAAGAAGUUCAUCCAAGCACCAAGUGGAAGAAGCGUAAUUUUUUGAGAGAACAAUAAUUGAAAUUCUUGAUUCUUCAAUUGCUUUAAGGAGAUUUGGUGAAAUGGAUCCUCCUUUCUCAAGUUGUUUGUCAUCCCUGAAUACAUAAAUUCCUUUAUUGUUCAAAGCAGUGUAGAGAUGACCUAUGAACCCUUUACGGGUGUCUUCUCCUCUAAAGGUUAAGAAGGCAUCGUAUUCCCCAUGAGAGACAUUUUGGAAGCUCGUGGAAGCCAUUAUAUUAAUUUGUUCCUGAAAAUUUAGAAUAAAUCAAGUGAAAUCCAGUGAGCGUAAAAUACCAUGCAAACAAUAAGAUUCAUUCAAGAUUAUGGGCAGCACAAAAAUGAAAAUGUUAUAGAUUAUAUGUAAAUUCUACUUUUUUUAACCACCUAAAUGGUAACUCGAAUGAAUUGUGAUUGUAACUAGUAUUGCGUGACCAGUAUUGUAUAAGCAUUAAUCCGUGCACAGUAAUUUUAGGAGUAAUUAAUUAGAAAAAUUAAUAUAUCUAUUGUUUUAAUUUGCUUAUAGAUCUAAAUUAUUUACGCAUGAUAAAUCCCCAAAUGUAAUAGAAAUUUUUUCUAGAUGCUAAUCGGGGAUGCGCACACCGAUCUCUACUUAAGCAAAUCUUGAUUAGAGCCUCUAAAAGAAGGCAAAGAGUUUGUACAAAAUUAACAUUCAAAGAUUUCUUUCAAUUUUUUCAUUUUUUUCUUUUUCUGUACACUAAGAUGUGCAAAUUAAUUCUGAAAAUAAAAGAGAGAUUUAUGAGAUAGAACUUACAGCUUUUGAGUGUAUUGAAGGAAGCCACUUAAAUGAACUCCAAUGCAGUAUGAUUAUUAUAAUUACCACAAACUCCAAUGCAGUAUUUGUUUCAAAGAAUUUAUUCAUGCAAAUAUCUUUUGGGAAAAAAAAUAUUAAGCCAUUAGGAGUUGUGUGGUUGUACUAAUGUAUGAUUUUCCAAAAGCAAGUCUUGGUAAGAAAGUGACUUUCUUAAUAAUCAAUAAAUAUUGUCACUGUUUACUCACAUGAUGAAGUUAGCAUCGAACUUCCUGGAAGCUUCAAGAAUCUAAACGAAAAUUAUCAGGCUUUUCAAUUGAAUACGCGUCGUCCCCAUUCUGCCCAUUAGCCGUGUUGAAGCCAUUAAAAUGGAUUGGAAUCCAACGGUUGAUAUUAGUAAUUAAUUAAAAAUAGUUAAAAUUACCAGCAGUCUAUCGGAAUGGUAAACAUAGUGACCUUUAUUAGUAAAAUUUUAACGGAGUCCAAAUAGGUAGGGUUGGACAAACUCAAUCCAACCCAAUCUAAUCAAAUUAGAUUUAGAUGGAUUGAUUAGAUUAUAAUGGGCUAACUGACUCAAUUUUUUUUUUUUUCAAUUUGAUUAAUGAUUGAGUUAGGCUGGAUUCAUUAUCAUAAACUCGAAUAAUUCAACCAAACCCAAAAACAACAAAAAUCAUAAAAAAAAUUAACGUUCGGCUAUUAACUAUUCAAUCUUAAACCCAAUUUUGAACCCUAAAAGAGAUCUUGUUCAGUCUCUCUCAUUUAAACAUGAUAUUAAUUGAAUUCUCUAGACUAAAAUUCAAAAGUCAAAUCAAACUUUGACUAAAACUAAGUUGAUAGAUAUUCAAACAUUAAGUUAUAUUGUUUUAUUGACAGAUAUUGGAUAUAAUAGAUAACAUUUAAUGAUAUGAUGAAGAAUUAAUAUGUUUUUUUUACUAUUUGAAUGUGAUUUUAAGUACCAAAUAGCUUUUUUUCUUUUAACUUUGAUGUUUGAACUUUUUUCAUUUUUAAUUUUAAUCAAUUCGUUUGACCCAGUCCAAUGAUUUAAGGAUAAGAUUGGGUUGUCGUCAUAUUUAUUUGGUUGGGGAACUAAUCAAUAGUGGGUUGGGUUGGAUGCCCACUAAAGAGNNNNNNNNNNNNNNNNNNNNNNNNNNNNNNNNNNNNNNNNNNNNNNNNNNNNNNNNNNNNNNNNNNNNNNNNNNNNNNNNNNNNNNNNNNNNNNNNNNNNAAAUUAAAAAAUAAUAAUAAAUUAUAAUUUCUUCCACCAAUAUCAAUAAUUAAAUAAGAUUUAAUAUUAUAUCAACAAAAUAUGUUCAACUUAUGUUUAAUAAACUCCUAUUAAUUUUCACAAUUAUCCGUAAUUGUUGUGGGAUUUACUUUUAUCGUGUUUAGAACAAAAGAAAAAUUAAAUUUCUUUAUCAUAGAAAUAUGCAAAAUCCAUACACUGAAAAAAAAAAAAAGGUAUGCGAAACUGUAAUUACAAUUUAGAAGCUUCCAGUAAGAAUUGAUUCAACUUAUAAAAUCUGUGUUGUUUAUAAUUAAUAUAUAUACACCCUGAUCAACAAAUAUGGUAAAAUAUUAUUUAUCGAGAUCUAAAUUAAAAAAAUCUACAAACCUAAAGAUUCAUCGAGACUUACGAGAUUCAAGGAGAUAAAAUUAUUAAUGAUUAGUGUUAAAAAAGAGAAAAUAGAGAGAAAGAGAAAAAUAAUGUAAUAUAAUUACUACGAUAAUUUCUUUUAACAUGAAAUUAUCGAACAACAAAUUAAUAAUCUUCUUCUUAACUAAACAAACUAAUUAAAAGCCUCUCAUUUACUUCCAAAAUAUAAUUAAAAAAGUUUGUCAAAUGCUGAUUGGAGAGUGUGUUUGCCGACCUUUACUGAAGCAAAUCUUAAUUAGAGCCUCAAAGAGAAGCAAAUUAAAGGGUUGAGACAAGACAAAUUAAAUUACCAUUCAAAGCUUUCUUUCAAUUUUAUUUAUUUCCUGUUCUAAACAUCCAGGAUGUGCAAAUUAAUUCUGAGGAUAAAAGAGAAAUGUAUAAAAUAAAACUUACGGCUUUGAGUGUGUUGAACGAAGCCACCUAAUUGAUCUGCUCAACUCCAAUGAAGUGUUUUGAUUCAAAGGAAAGAAGGUUAAUCAGGCAAAUAUGCAAUUUCCAGCUCCCCAGAUUUAUUUGUACGUAUUCUAAAAGUAAGUCUUGGUCAUCUCAGAAAGUGGGUGGGAAAAAGCAAAAAAGGCCAAAGGAAUCUUUUUGACUACUUCAUAUACGUCUUGUGGGGUGGUUUUUUGUUUUUUGUUUUUGUUUUGGUUUGGGGAGAUAGGGGGGGGGUUCUCCGGGGAAUAAACCGGGUGUAUUUCGCAUGCCGCGUUAAAAGAUUGUAUUUGAGAUAAAAUAAAUCUUAAAGUUUUGAUUGCACAGGCAGCUACCUGUUGAAUUUCAAUGCAGUAUUGCUUCAAAGAAGCUAAGUUAAUCAGUGAAACAUAUUUGUGCAUAUGACGAUUAAAUAUGAAUUAUGUAGAUAAAACAUAAAACAUAUGAAUUUUAAAUUAAAACUUAUAAAUCAAUAUUAAAUAUAAAAUAAAACAUGGAUUGUGUAAUUAAAAUAUAAAACUUCUAAAAUAGAAGGUAAAAUAAGUAAAUUAAUUUAGAAGUGGUAAAUUAGUAAAUUAUGGGUACAUAAAAUAAAAAUUUAUAAAUAUAACAUAAAACUUGUAAACCAACAUUAUGUGUAAAAUAAAACAUAAGAUUUGUAAAUAGAAGGUAAAACAAGUUAAUUAAUAUAGGCAUGAUAAAUUGGUGUAUUAUUAUUAAACAAAACAAAAACUUACAAAUAUAACGUAAAGCUUACAAAUUAAUAUUAAAACAAAAACUGAGAAACAUAAUAUAAAACUUGUAAAUCAAUAAUAAGUUUAAAAUAAAACAUAAAUUAAGCAAAUGAAACAUGAGACUUGUAAACAGAAGGUAAAAUAAGUAAACUAACAAUAUAGGAGUGGUAAAUUGAUGUAUUAUUGGUAAACAAACAAAAACUUAUAGAUGUAACAUAAAAUUUUUAAAUUAGCAUAAAGUGUAAAAAUAAAAUAUAAAUUAUGUAACUAAAACAUAAGAUUUAUAAGAGGAAAGUAAAAUAAGUAAAUUAAUAUAAGAAUUAUUAAAAAAAUAAAAAGUUACAGAUGUAAAUUAAAAAAGAAUUAUAAUAAUGAUUCCCUUAUAUAUUUACUAAUUUUGUCUCUAAAUUGAAUAAUGAUAGUUUUGGGCUUAUGUAAUACAUGUGAUGAUAUAUUUAAAAUUUUAUUAAGAAUAAAACUCUUUUUAUAUUUUUUUAAAGUUGUUUUGUAAGAUAAGGUAAUUUUGCAUCAUUCUAAACCUCCUCGGCAAUAACUCAACGGUAUAAGAAGCAAAGCUUGAAACUAUAUAAAGUAUGCAUAAAACUGAAAAUUAAAUCAAUUUUAUUGAUAUAUCAUAUAUGUCUAGUACUAUAAAAAUAACUUUUAUUUUGUUUUGGCUUGAUCUACAUUAAGAAAAAUAAUUUUGCUUAAUUAACCGGUGUAGUAAGCAAAUAUGAUGAUUAAAAAUGAAAAAAAUUAUAAAUGUCUUAGGAUAAAUAUAGAAUUCAUGGUAUUCAUUAAAAUUUAUUCUAAAUUUGUUUUAAUAUAAUUUUUUCAUUUUCAAUUAAUAAGUGAUUUUUUUGCUUAAUAAGUGAUUUUUGCUUAAUUAAAAUAAAUAAAUCAACUAUUUUCUAGUCUAGUUAAAGUUUGAUGUUGAUUUAUAAGUUUUAUAUUAUUUUUACAAGUAUUUUUUAUUUUUAAUUUUAAAACAUCAAUUUACCACUUUUGUAUUAAUUUAUUUAUUUUAGUUUUUUUAUUAGUUAUAUGUGUAAAUUAUAAAAAUUUAUAUUUAUUACGCAAUUAAUUACGAUGUGAUAGAUUUUUCCUUGUGCACCUAUCUUUCAAGGGAAGGCAGAGGACUUUUAUUGAAUCUGGAAAAUUAAACCGAUUACACGGUUUCCAGCUCCCAGUUGUGUUGAAUCUUGGUCAAAAAGUGUGACUCUUUAAGUAGCGUUUACUUUUUGGAUUGGAGUGGGAAUCCUAGGAUUCAGAGUGUUGAGUGGGAGUGUGAGUAGGUUGUUUACUUGCACUGGAAUAGAAGCAUGGAAUGGAGAUCAGAAUCCAAUUUAUGUGUUUAUUUUAUUUUGAAUUGAGAGUAAAUAGUUUCAAAUUAUAAUUUUAUCCUUAUUUAAAGAAUUAGAGUUUUUAAUUACAAAGUUAAUAAAAAAUAUAUUUAAUGAAUAAACAUUUAUUUUAUUAUAUUUGUAAAUUUAUAAUAAUUAUUAAUAUUCUUAAUUAUGAACAUCACAAUUUUUUAUUAAUUUUAACUUUAAUUAUAUAAAUUAAAAAUUGUUGAUAAGGGCAAUAUAAAUGAAAUAUUUUUACUAUUAACAUAGUAUGAAAUUAAUAUUUUCUUAGAAUAAACUAUUUAUUAGUAUUAAUUAUUCAUAUUAAAUAAAUAUAAUACUAUUAUUUUUAAAUAAAUAUAAUAAUAUUAUAUUUUCAAAUAAAGAUGGUAUAUAGUAAUAUUAUUAAUUCUCUAUUAAUAUAGUAUUAUUAUUUUUAAGUAAAUUAAACUUAGAAUCAAACCCAAUUAUUAUUUAGUUAAAUAUAAUAAUAAUAUUUAAAUAUUUAUUAAAUAUAAUUAUAGUAAAUUUAAUAAAAAGAAGGGUAAAUAUAAAAUGCAACAUUAUUUUAUUUUAUUUUAUUUUACAUAAUUAUAUUAAUUCAUUAUUUAUUAAUAUAAUAUUAUUUAGUACAAAAUUAAUAUUUUCUUAGAAUAAACUAUUUUUAUUAUUAAUUAUUAAUAUUAAAUAAAUAUAGUACUAUUAUUUUUAAAAUAAAUAUAAUAAUAUUAUAUUAUUAAAUAAAGAUAGCAUAUAGUAACUUUUAUUAAUUCUCUAUUAAUAUAAUAAUAUUAUUUUUAAGUAAUUUUAACUUAUAAUCAAUGUAAAUUAUUAUUUAGUUAAAUAUAAUAAUAUUAUUUAAAUAAAGAUAAUAUAAUUUAUUUUAUUUUUGGAGUGGGGAGUGGGAGUGGGACUUCCAUAGGGAGAGGUGGGAGUGGGAUUCCCAAUCCUUCCCCAAUUUGUUGAAGUAAACACUAGAAUUGGAGGAAUCCACACUCUUCACUCCCACUCCAAAAAGUAAACACAACCUUAGUCUUUACCCUACAAUAUGAAACUACCGUUCAAUCAAACUUUCUCUCAAUGAUAAGUCUCUUUAAUUGAAAUUACACGUCGUCGCCACUCGGCCUUGUUAGAGAGCAAUAAUGUCUUCAUCUGCUAAUGUUCUAAUAAUUUGUAAUAAUUAACUCAUCGACUAUGAUUCUGCAAAGAUAUUCAGCUGUAAUCACUUGCUUCGGAUUCGUGUAGGUUUAUCUUUAAUAUUAGUAUUAAGCCUUUGCUUAUCAGCUUAAGCUUUCCGAUUAUAUAUUGGCAAAUGGGAGCUUGUUGUGAGCUGAUAAUAAUUAAAGGAAGUUAAACCAUUUCCUUCGAGCCUCUGUAGUGUAGCCUCCACUAAACUUUGUUAUUUGCUGGUUCUGUUCUUAGUUGAACUUUGCUGACUUUGUAAUUUGUAUGCUUAUUGCUAAUGAUCCUUGCACUUUGCUGCUAGUGUAACGUUGAUUCCAUCGCUGCUGUUGCGCUUACUAGCUAGGAAUUCCACGAACAAAUUUCACAAAAGGUUUGUUGAAAUUGUUGAAAAGGCAAAGAAUGUCUUGCAAAUUUCAAAAGGCAAAGUUGGUGGGUUUGCCAAAUUAAAAAAAGCAAACUUGGUUGGCUUGCUAAUUUCAAAAGACAAAGUUAGGUGUUGAAAAGCUUGUGCAUGCAAUACAAGAUCCAGCUCAAUGUUUUGACCAAUUGAACCCAACUUGGAGCAUAAUGCACUCUAUAAAUAGAGAAGUAUUUUGCAAUUGUAAGCAUCCCAAUUUGAGAGAAGUAGAGAGCAAUUGCAACUGAGUUCUUUGAGAGAAUUUGAGAGAGCUUCCACUUGAGUGUUCUAGUGAGGUUCCAUUUGGGUGUAUUCGGGUUGUGGGUUUUGUGAGUUUUUCCCACUUCUAUAAAUUUCCAUUUGUUAGUAAAAUUAUCUUCUAGUUUUUUACCCGUGAACGUAGGCAUUACGCUGAACCACGUAAAUUAUUGUGUUAUAUUUUCUUUGCAUUUGUUUAUCACAACAUUUAUAUUUCUCUAGAAUUUGCAGUAUUAGUAAUUGCUCAACCCACGAUUCUGCAACAAUUAGUAUCAGAGCCGAUGGUUCGUACUUGGGGGGAUACGAUAUUUGAAAUAUAAGUGUGCAACCCAAGAGGGGGGGUGAAUUGGAAUUUUAAAAAUUAUCCUAGCAAAUCCACACAACAAGCUAUCUAAUGUCUUAAUAAAAAUUGAAAGCAAUAAGUUCAAUAAAAGCACAAUAAUUAAAUAGUAAGGGAGAAGAGAAACAAACACACGAAUUUUUACGUGGUUCGGCAAUCCCCGCCUACGUCCACGCCUCUAAGCGAUCCAAGCUUGAGGAUUUCACUAUCCAAGGUUUCAACCGAUUACAAUUGACUUUGAGGUGUCAAUAAACCUUUACAACAAAGAGAUUAUAUCCCAAUCUCUUCACUCAAGUGUCUCACACACUCAAACUCUUACAAUUGAGAUGAAUAAAUGAAGGUUACAAUAAAACUCACUCAAUGAGUAGAUAUUCAAAAAUGAAGAACAAGAAAUGAUUCAAUGUUUGUAUUUUGCAAGUUUUAAGGCUUAAGAUAUCACGUGUGCUUUUUGUUUUUGCUUAUUGGAGAAAUUCAAAAUGAGUUGGAUUUGAGUUCUUAUAGUUUGAGCUCAAAAAUUAGCCGUUACUCACAUUUUGGGCGUAUCCGGUUUGCCGUUUAUGGAAUCCGAUAAGCCGGAUUUAUGUUACCGUUUGAAUUUUGCCUAUCCGGCUUACUGGUUACGAAAUCCGGUAAGCCGUUUGCAUUCUGGAUGCUUACUGCCCCAUAUCCGAUUUUCCAGUUUUUAUAUCCGGUAAGUUGCUUGCUACAGUAACUUGGUACAGUGAAAUUUUUCCUAAAUUUUUAAUUUGACCCCCAAACUUUACAAAACUGUAGUAUGACCCAAAACGUUAUAAAAAUUUACAAAUAGGUCCAAUUUAAGAAUUUCUAAAUAAUGCUUCGUUAAUCCCAAAAUUUUUUGAAAUUAUGAUUUCGCCCAAACUUUGUGAAAUUAUAGAAUGGCCCAAAAUGUUAUAAAAGUUUGCAAAUAGAUCCAAUUUCAGAAUUUCUAAGUAAUGCUUCGUUAAUCCCAAAACUUUUUGAAAUUAUGAUUUUGCCCAAACUUUGUGAAAUUAUAGAAUGGCUCAAAAAUAUUUAAAUAGUUUCAAAUAGGUCCAAAUCCGAAAUUUAAAACAUUAUCAAAUAUUUUGAAAUUUUAGUCCAAAAUGCUUUAAUUCUAUAACAUCAUUUUCUUAUUAUAAAAGCACAAUUCAUAAAUCUUUGCUUAAUAAAUACAUGUGGUUUGUUAUCAUCAAAAUCAAUAUUUAUAACCAUAUAGGCUAACAAUCUCCCCCUUUUUGAUGAUGACAAAGCACAUUCAAAUUUAAUCUAGUUAUGAAAAGCUCCCCCUUAAUCAAUGCAAGUUAAAAAAUGAUUUGAAAAUUAUUUAACAAAAACUCCCCCUGCAUACAUGCUCCCCCUAGAUACAUGCAUAUUUUCAUAACACAUUAAAUCAUUCUCCCCCUUCAUCAUCAAAAAGAAUAAAGGCUCCCCCUAUCAAUCAUCAAAAUCGCAACAUAAGCACAUUAGUAAAAAAAAAUAUCCAUAAGCAUAAGAAAAUCCAUAUAAUCCAUAAUGAUCAAUCAAAACAAAUCCAUAACAUCCAACAUAAAUAGUCACAACAAAUCCAUAUAAUCCAAAACAAAGACAUAAAUCGAAAAGCAUAAUAACCAUCCAUAGAUUCGAAAAUAAACAAACACACAAUGCAGUAAAUGAAAUGUAGAUGUGUCCAAGUACAAGCAUAAGAUACUACUCAGGUGGUGAGGAUGGAGGUGAUGGAGGUAGAAACGGAUAUGGAAUGCCGAAGUGCUCGAAGAGGAGGCACUGUCCAUGAAUAAGCUGCUGCUGCUGCUGCUGAAACUCAGUUUGCCGCUGCUGAAACUCAGUCUGCCGCACAGAGAGUGUCUACACUUCAUCCAUAAUCUGCUGAAGAGUGACCUCUUCAGAGGUAGGAGGAUGUGGAGGUGAUGAAGCGGAUGCAGAUGCACUAGGAGCUGAAGCAACCGUGGAAGAAACUCGGCGUCUACGCUCCCCUCGAAAUGAGAGUGAGAAAACUGGAAGUUGUUCAGCUGGAAUCACAGCAUUAAGUGGCCGAUCAUCACUUGGGGUUAGAAGGGUAAACUUGUUAUCGCUGUAUUUGACCCAAGUGUCAUCCUUCCACUCAAAGCCUAACCCAAUAAUAACCUCAUCCCCGAUACCCUUGGACGGCCUACAAGAUGGUUCUAGAAUCUGUACUUCAAAGAAUUUAAGAAUUCGGGUAAUGAAGUGACCAUAAGGAAGAGAGAGGGUAAUCAAGGCGGGAAUGCUCAACAUGGUGCGGAUGAUGGAAUAGCCCAAGUUAACCGGGCGACCUCUAAGAAUACAGUCAAUCAUGGCGACAUCCAUGUGAGAAACCUCAUCCAAAUGUCCUGAUCUAGGAAGUACAAUGGACUGGAUGAUACGAAGCAAAAUACGAGUUUGAAGACAAAGACACUGAGUACGAAAAUGAAUGGUACAAUCUUCAACAGAAAGAUCACUACGUCGACAAAUAUUACGAACGGCAUCAACAUGAACAUAGUCAUCAAUAUCAGGAGGUUUCCUAGGAGAAAAAAUGUCCAAGCCAUCAUCGGAAGAUCCUAGGAUGGAGUUCAACUCCGAAUCAUCAAAUUCAAUCAAAACUCCUUCAACUGUGGUGAUUACUUGAUUCUCUUUCUCCGCGGAACAAUCCAUAUUCGAGUAAAAUACUUUCACCAAGUCGGGAUACACAUUCUCCUCAAUCAACAAUGCAUCAAUCCAACCAACAUCUCCCAACAAUUGAUAUUUCUAUAACUAAUCUUGAGAGUAUGCAUAACAUCCGGUAAAACAAAGAAAGUGUUGAGUACCUCACGAGUCCGAAAGUUUUGUUGAAACCGUUUGAUCAAGUGUUGCUUGUUCUGAAAAUGAAUGGACUCAAAAGUGGAUUGAUUUGAGGUGCCCCUUGCUUCCCGUGGCCGGGUGGUUUGUUGAACCGGUUCUUUGCCUUUUCUUCGAACCGGCCGAGAGUUUGACAUUUUGAUUUUGAUGGAUGUGAAGAUAAAAACACCAAAGAGAAUGAAGAUGAUGAAGAUUGAAAGUGAUUUAGAGAAACAAAUUGGAUCAAAAACGGCUUGAGAGUGAGAAAUCUAGAGAGAGAAAAAUCAGCCAAAAACCUAGGUUGAAAUUCGGAUCUAGGGAUUUGGAGGUUGAAAAUGAGUUUUGAGUGUGAUUUUAGGUAUAAGAACGGAUGGGGAUUAGGAUCUAUGGAUUGAUUUGCAUCAAAACCGUGUAGAAAAGGUGGAUUUGUGAGUGAAAAAUGAGAGAGAAGGACCGGUUUUUAGAGAGCGAACAAGAACCGGAUUGCUGAAUGAAAAAGGAAGAAGAACAGUUGAAAUAGCUCCCGAAACUGGCUUGCCGGUUUGCACUAUCUGGCUAGCCGGUUGAGACCAGAAGCUUGAAACCCGUAAACGGCUUGCCGGUUUGACUUGAACUGGAAAUCCGGUUGUGACCAGCAAGUCCUUCACUCGAAUCCGGUUUUCCGGAUAACACGAACCAGCUUGCCGGUUGGAUCCAAAAGAUAGCAAGUGAGAAUCGGAUUGCCGGUUUUCCUGAACCGGUUGGCCGAAUGAGUCUAGAAUGCUGCCAAAGUGCAGCUCGAAUUCGGAUUUCCGGAUUGACAGAACCGGAAAUCUGGUUUUGUUCCAGCAAGCUUUCCUUGCGAAUCCAGCUUUCCGGUUUUGCUAACCGGUAGUCCGGUUUGAGGCAGAAAGUUACCUCUUCAAUUCGGUUUUUCAGAUUUUAAGAACCGGUUAUCCGGUUUUUAGGCAGAGAGAAGGCUUAGCAAAUCCGGUUUUCCGGAUUGAAAAUUCGGUUAUCCGAAUGUUGUCCCGAGAGCAACCAAAGUUAAUCCGGUUUUCCGGAUUGAAAAUCCGGUUAUCCGGAAUUUGUCCCAAGAGAGAUCAAUAAAAAAAGUGUUUUUCCGGAUGAAUGGAAAGGGAAUAUUUGCUAGCUCUUAUACUUGUACUACACACACCAUUUUAUUUCCGGCCUUAAAAAUUGAUUAAUUUUAAAUCAUUUUGAGAUUUAAAACUUUUCAAUAAGCCAUUUAAUGCAUAAAACACAAAAUCAUAAAAUCAUAAAUUUACAAGCAUAUCAAGUUAUUUAAUUCAUGAAACAUAAAUCCAUAUGAUAACAAAUAUAUUAAGCCAUGUAGUAAAACAUGAAUUAAGAUUCAACAUUCAUCAUUCCAAGCUCAUGUCUUAUCUUUAUAAAAUACUCUUCGCUAAGAGGUUUUGUAAAGAUAUCCGCAAGUUGAUUUUCAGUGGAAACAAAUUUAAUUACGACAUCUCCUUUUUGAACAUGAUCUCUAAGGAAAUGAUGUCUAAUUUCCAUAUGCUUAGUCCUAAAAUGUUGAAUAGGAUUCUUAGAAAGAUUUAUAGCACUAGUAUUGUCACAUAAGAUAGGAAUUUGAUCAAGCUUAAUACCAUAGUCUCUAAGGGUUUGUUUCAUCCAUAGAAUUUGUGCACAACAACUACCUGCGGCAAUAUAUUAUGCCUCGGUGGUUGAAAGCGCAACCGAGUUUUGUUUCUUACUAAACCAAGAGACAAGAGAAUGGCCUAGGAAGUGACAUGUUCCACUAGUACUUUUUCUAUCAACCUUAUACCCAGCAAAAUCGGCAUCCGAAUAACAAGUUAAAUCAAUAUGAGUUCCUCUAGGAUACCAAAGGCCAAGAUUAAUGGUGCCAAUUAAAUAUCGAAAAAUGCGUUUGACAGCAAGCAUGUAAGACUCUUUAGGACAAGAUUGAAAUCUAGCACACAAGCAUACACUAAACAUAAUAUCAGGCCUACUAGCAAUUAAGUAGAGUAAGGAUCCCAUCAUACCUCGAUAUGUCUUGAUAUCAACUUCCUUACCUUUCUCAUCUUUGUCCAGCUUUGUGGUAGUACUCAUAGGAGUGCUUUUUGCCGUUCCAUUAUCAUAGCCAAAUCUUUUGAGUAGAUCUUUCACGUACUUGGCUUGGUUUAUGAAAAUUCCUUCCUCAUUUUGUUUGAUUUGAAGUCCAAGGAAGUACUUCAACUCUCCCAUCAUGCUCAUCUCAAACUCUUGGCUCAUACAUGAUGAAAAAUCUUUACACAACAACUCAUUAGUAGAACCAAAAAUAAUAUCAUCAACAUAAAUUUGAACAAUAAGUAUGUCUUGGUUCUUAUGCUUAACAAAAAGAGUUGUGUCCGCUUUUCCUAUUGAAAAAUCGUUAUCCAACAAGAAAUUUUUAAGCCUAUCAUACCAAGCUCUAGGUGCUUGUUUUAAACCAUACAAAACCUUAGAUAACUUAUACACAUGAUUUGGAAAUUUUUCAUUUUCAAAACCAGGAGGUUGUUUCACAUAAACUUCCUCCAUAAUAUAUCCAUUUAAGAAAGCACUCUUGACAUCCAUUUGAUAUAAAAUAAAAUCCUUAUGACAUGCAUAUGCUAACAACAUCCUAAUGGAUUCUAACCUUGCUACAGGUGCAAAAGUUUCAUCAAAAUCAAUUCCUUCUUCUUGGUUGUAACCUUGAGCCACUAAUCUAGCUUUAUUUCUUACAACCACACCGAAUUCAUCCAUUUUGUUUCUAAAUACCCAUUUAGUACCUAUAAUGGAUUGAUGUUCCAGAUUAGGAACUAACUCCCACACAUUGUUUCUCUCAAAUUGAUUCAACUCCUCUUGCAUUGCCAUAAUCCAAGAUUCAUCAUUUUCCGCAUCCGCAAAAGAUUUUGGUUCAAUUUGAGAAAUAAAUGUAGCAUGCUCACAUGUGUUCCUAAGAGAUGAUCUAGUGGUAACACCUCGUGAAGGAUCUCCUAAAAUUACAUUCUUAGGGUGAGAGGAUACAUACCUCCACUCCUUGGGGAGUGUUUGAGAAGUACCUUCAUUUUGCUCUACAUUUGUUUCUUCAUGAUGUUCCUCUUGAAUUCCAUGUGGUGAGUCUUCUUGGUUGUCAUUCGAUGCUUCUUCUUGUUGUUCUUCUUCUGCAUUAUCAUCAACAACGACUUUCUCCGUAGAGGAGGGGUUAGACUCAUCAAACGUAACAUGCAUAGAUUCUUCCACAACUAAAGUUCUUUUGUUAUAAACUCUAUAAGCUUUUCUUGAAUUUGAAUAACCAAGAAAGAUACCAACAUCAGAUUUUGGAUCAAAUUUACCAAGAUUAUCUUUUGUGUUCAAAACAAAACAUUUGCAUCCAAAAACUUUAAAAUAACCAAUGUUGGGUUUUCUAUCUUUCCAAAGCUCAUAUGGAGUUUUAUUAAAAUUAGGUCUAAUCAACACACGAUUUAAAACAUAAUAAGCGGUGUUGACGGCUUCGGCCCAAAAGUACUUAGGCAAAGAGUUUUCAUUCAACAUGCUCCUAACCAUUUCUUGAAUAGACAUAUUCUUUCUCUCUACUACUCCAUUUUGUUGUGGAGUCCUAGGUGAUGAAAAUUGAUGUUCAGUGCCAAAGUCAUUACAAAAAUUUUCAAACGCAUGAUUUUCAAAUUCUCCACCAUGAUCACUUCUAAUACAAGAAAUAGAAUAACCUUUUUCAUUUUGAACCUUUUUAUAGAAAAUUCGAAAUGCAUCAAUAGCGUCAUCCUUAUUAGCUAAGAACAAUACCCAUGUGUACCUAGAAUAAUCAUCCACAAUUACAAAUGCAUAAAAUUUGCCACUUAAGAUAGCAUAUCUAGAAGGUCCAAACAAAUCUAUGUGAAGUAAUUGAAGUAGUUUUGAAGUAGAGACAUGAUUCUUGCUUUUGAAGGAAGUUUUGAUUUGUUUUCCAAAUUGGCAUGCUUCACAAAUUCUAUCUUUUUGAAAACUGAUUUUUGGAAGACCUUUAACUAAAUCAUUUUUCAUGAUUUUUGAAAUCAAAUCCAUGCUUGCAUGACCUAAUCUUCUAUGCCACAACCAACCAUCAUCAUGCAAUGCGGAGAGACAUUUAUCAUGUAUUGAUACACAAUCUAUAUUAAUGGUAUAGACAUUAACACAUCUAUUUCCUACAAACAAGACUUUCCCAUCACAUGCAUUCUCAAUAACACAUUUUGAUUCAUCAAAGAUAACUCUAUAUCCUUUAUCACAUAAUUGACUAAUACUAAGCAAAUUGUGUUUCAAGUUUUCAACUACACACACAUUUUCAAUGAGAGUAGAGGAUACAUUACCGACAUUUCCAAUCCCAAUGAUUUUUCCUUUUGAAUUAUCUCCAAAUGAUACAUCUCCACCAUUUUCGAUCUUAGUAAAGCUUGAAAACCAAGAAUAAUUCCUUGUCAUGUGUCUUGAACAACCGCUGUCCAAGUACCACUUAUUCUUCUUCUUCUUCAAGCCCUGUAGAGAAAAUCUCAAGUUUUAGGUACCCAAACCUUUUUGGGUCCUUGAGAGUUAGCAAUGGUUCCUUUCGGAACCCAAACACAUUUCACACCAUAAUAUGCAUUUCUCUUCACUGCACAUCUAUUUUUCAUAUGACCAUCUUGAUUACAAUAAUGACAUACAAUUUGAUUGUUGAUAGAUGUAUUCUUCACAAAAUAACUCUUGUAAAAUUUUUGUUUAAAAUUUGGUUUAUAACCAAUGCCACUUUUGUCGAAUACACAUUUUUGUGAGUUUAGCAAAUUGUCCAACAUCUUUUGCCCAUUUGUGAAUUUUAGCACAAUUUCAUUUAGUUCAUUGCUCUUCUUUCUAAGCAUUUCAUUUUCAUUUUUCAAGUCAUUCAUUUGUGACUCUAAGUGCUCAUGUGAAGUGCUAGAAUUCUCAAAUAAUGCAAUACUAUCAUGCAAUGUUUUAUUUUCUAAUUCUAGGCAUGUAAUCGUUGCACUAAAUGAUUCAUUUUCAUUUUUAAGCUCUAUCAUCUUCUUUUUAAGACAUAUAUUCUUUUUACCAAUCUUCAUCAACUCAUCAUGCAAAUCCUUAAAGGCAUAAUGUAAUUCAUCAUAUGUAGGAAGAACAUUUACCUCAUCGAGUUCAUCACAUGAUUCUUCCCCAACGGCCAUGAGAGCUAAAUUUGUCAUUUCUUGUUGCUCAUCAUCAUCACUUGUUUCCUCAUCGCUAUCAUCCCAUGUGGCCACCAUAGCUUUCUUUUUAAGUUUGUUGAGAAGAGGACAUUUCGGUCGUAUGUGUCCGGGCUUCUUGCAUUCAUAACAAGUGAUUGGCUCCUUCUUCUACUUCUUAUUCUUGUAGCCUCUGAACUUUCUCUGCUCAUUAUUCUUUUUGUAAUAUUUUCUGAAUCUUCUAGCCAACAUAGCCAACUCCUCAUUAUCCAUUUCGCUUUCCUCAUCACUCUCACGUUUUGAAGCCUUGAGAGCAAUAGUUUUCUUCUUUUCCUCAUGCCCUUUUUCAGCUGCCAAAUCUUCUUCAUAUGAAAUGAGAGAACCAAUUAGAUCAUCAAUAGGUAAAACAAUAGACAACUUUAAGUUUGUGCCAAAUCUCAUUAGCACUUUCGCAACUAGACACUCUAUGAAACUCUUUCUUAUCUAAUGCACAAAACAAGGCAUUCAUGGCCUCGAAAUUUAGAAAAGCUUUUCUCUUUUCGAAUUCAUUCCAAUCCCGUGAAGGUUUUGGAAUAUCUUCUCCGACUUCAUUUUUAGUCAAAGGCAUGAAAGGACCAUCAUUAACGAUUUCCCAAAUUUUAUAAUCUAAGGCUUACAAGUAAAUUCUCAUCCUAGUUUUCCAAUAUGGGUAAUCGUUUCCAUCAAAGUAAGGUGGUCUAGUGGUGGACUGUCCUUCCCUAAAUGUUGAAUCAUUUUGAGUUGCCAUUGAUCUUUAGCUCUUGACGGUUAAGUCUAAAUACGAGCACCUCGCUCUGAUACCAAAUGAAAUAUAAGUGUGCAACCCAAGAGGGGGGGUGAAUUGGAAUUUUAAAAAUUAUCCUAGCAAAUCCACACAACAAGCUAUCUAAUGUCUUAAUAAAAAUUGAAAGCAAUAAGUUCAAUAAAAGCACAAUAAUUAAAUAGUAAGGGAGAAGAGAAACAAACACACGAAUUUUUACGUGGUUCGGCAAUCCCCGCCUACGUCCACGCCUCUAAGCGAUCCAAGCUUGAGGAUUUCACUAUCCAAGCUUUUCCAAGGCUUCAACCGAUUACAAUUGACUUUGAGGUGUCAAUAAACCUUUACAACAAAGAGAUUAUAUCCCAAUCUCUUCACUCAAGUGUCUCACACACUCAAACUCUUACAAUUGAGAUGAAUAAAUGAAGGUUACAAUAAAACUCACUCAAUGAGUAGAUAUUCAAAAAUGAAGAACAAGAAAUGAUUCAAUGUUUGUAUUUUGCAAGUUUUAAGGCUUAAGAUAUCACGUGUGCUUUUUGUUUUUGCUUAUUGGAGAAAUUCAAAAUGAGUUGGAUUUGAGUUCUUAUAGUUUGAGCUCAAAAAUUAGCCGUUACUCACAUUUUGGGUGUAUCCGGUUUGCCGUUUAUGGAAUCCGAUAAGCCAGAUUUAUGUUACCGUUUGAAUUUUGCCUAUCCGGCUUACUGGUUACGAAAUCCGGUAAGCCGUUUGCGUUCUGGAUGCUUACUGUCCCGUAUCCGAUUUUCUAAUUUUUAUAUCCGGUACGCUGCUUGAUACAGUAACCUGCUACACUGAGAUUUUUCCUAAAUUUUCAGUUUGACCCCCAAACUUUAUAAAACUGUAGUAUGGCUCAAAACGUUAUAAAAGUUUGCAAAUAGGUCCAAUUUCAUAAUUUCUAAGUAAUGCUUCGUUAAUCCUAAAACUUUCUGAAAUUAUGAUUUCGCCCAAACUUUGUGAAAUUAUAGAAUGACCCAAAACGUUAUCAAAGUUUGUAAAUAGGUCCAAUUUCAUAAUUUCUAAGUAAUGCUUCGUUAAUCCCAAAACUUUCUGAAAUUAUGAUUUCGCCCAAACUUUGUGAAAUUAUAGAAUGACCCAAAAAUAUUUAAAUAGUUUCAAAUAGGUCCAAAUCCGAAAUUUAAAACAUUAUCAAAGAUUUUGAAAUUUUAGUCCAAAAUGUUUUAAUUCCAUAACAUCAUUUUCUUAUUAUAAAAGCACAAUUCAUAAAUCUUUGCUUAAUAAAUACAUGUGGUUUGUUAUCAUCAAAAUCAAUAUUUAUAGCCAUAUAGGCUAACAAUAUUGUUCACGUAUACGGUACUAUUCCCAUAUACGGUACUGUUCACAACUGCGGUGGAGACGACCAUUUAUACUUGGGAGACAGUCUAUUGUAAGUAGUGUGUAUUUUUACAUGUCUAGAAAAGUUCUGUCAACAAGGCAAUAAGAGUCUAAGGAUUCCAGUUUUUAAUUGGGACCGAGUUCCCGUCCAAUCUCUAGAGAACUUUCCUAGUGCAUUUAUUUACGCGAAAUAAACAUCAUAGAGGCUGUUUUUUUAAGUGUAAAUAGUUGUUGAAGAAACUGAUCAUUUGAGAUAAAAAGGAUGGCAGAGGCAUCGUCGUCAUCUUCAUCAGCGAGGACUACUGUGACUAAUACAAAGUUUGAAGUGGAGAAAUUCGAUGGUACCAAUAAUUUUGGUAUGUGGCAAUGUGAGGUGUUGGAUGUCUUAUGUCAGCAAGAGUUGGACGUUGCUCUUGAAGAAAAGUCUGACAUGAUGGAUGACAAGGAGUGGAUAAAGAUCAACAGACAAGCAUGUGAUACUAUUCGCCUAUGUUUGGCUAAAGAUAAAAAAUACUCUGUCAUGAGGGAGACAUCGGCAAAGAAAUUGUGAGAGACACUGGAAGAAAAAUAUAUGAAGAAAAGCCUUGAAAAUAGGCUUUAUAUGAAAAAGAAACUCUAUCGUUUCACAUAUACACCUAGCAUGUCAAUGAAUGACUAUGUGAACUCAUUUAACAAAAUAUUAGCAUAUUUGCUAAAUUUGAAUGAGCAAUUUGAAGAUGAAGAUAAGGCACUAUUGUUGUUGAAUUUCCUUCCUGAUGAAUAUGAUCAUCUCACCACUACUUUGUUUCAUGGGAAAGACAGUGUCACAUUCGAUGCUGUAUGCAGUGCAUUGUACAACUCUGAGACCAGAAAGAAAAAUAGAAGGAUCACAGAGAUACAGUAGCGGAAGUAUUAACAGCGAGAGGCCGUUCACAAAGCCGCAAACCUAGAAAAAGAAGCAAGUCUAAAGGAAGCCUUGCUAAAGAUUAGUGUGAUUUUUGUCGCGAGAAAGGGCAUUAGAAAAAGAAUUGUCAUAAGUUACAAAAGGGUAAGGCUACUUCUGAUGCAUGUGUAGCAGAACAUGACGAGGAGUCAGACUUUAGUCUGGUUGGCAUGACAUUGAUGUCUCACUCAGAUGAGUGGAUUUUAGAUUCAGGUUGUACUUAUUAUAUGUGUCCUAACAAAGGCUGGUUUUCUAACUUCAAGGAGCUAGAUGGUAGAGUUGUUUUUAUGGGCAAUGACAAUGCUUGUAAAAUCAUGGGAAUAGGUACAAUCCAAUUAAAGAAUCAUGAUGGCUCAAUCCAAGUCUUGACGGAUGUUCGCUAUGUACCAAGCUUGAAGAAAAAUCUCAUCUCAUUAGGAGUCCUAGAAUCUAAAGGGCUCACAAUUACUUUGGGAGAUAGAUUGUUGAAGGUAGUAGUUAGGGCGCUGAUGGUAAUGAAGGACAUAAGAAGAAAUAACUUGUAUUAUUUCCAAGGAAGUACAAUUAUUGGAUCAACAUCAAUAAUUUCUAGAAAAAAUACAGAUUCCGAAGCGACCAAGUUGUGGCAUAUGCGUUUAGGACAUGCUGGUGAAAAAGCUUUGCAGACUUUGGUAAAGUAAGGCUUAUUGAAAGAUACAAAUUCCUGCAAAUUAGAAUUUUGUGAACAUUGUGUUCUGCGCAAGCAGACAAGGGUAAAGUUUGGUUCAACAAUUCAUGAUAUAAAAGAAAUUCUGGACUAUGUUCACAGUGAUAUGUGGGGACCUACCAAAACAGCUUCUUUGGGAGGUAUGCACUAUUUUAUUACUUUUGUUGAUGAUUAUUUAAGAAAAGUAUGGGUGUAUUUGAUGAAGAAUAAGAAUGAAGUUUUGGGCAUUUUUUUGAAAUGGAAGAAAAUGGUUGAGACUCAGACUGGUCAAAAGGUCAAAAGACUUCGCUCAGACAAUGGUGGUAAGUACAAGAGUGAACAAUUUCUUCAAAUAUGCCAAGAUGAGGGAAUUGUGCGACACAACCACAACAGAAUGGGGUGGUAAAAAGCAUGAACCGGAUUAUAUUGGAGAAAAUUCGGUGUAUGUUGUCCAAUGCUGGAUUGGGCAAAGAGUUUUGGGCUGAGGCAAUUAUACAUGCGUGUCAUCUAAUCAAUCAUUUGCCAUCAGCUGCAAUUGAGGGUAGAACACCCAUGGAGAUGUGGACCGGUAAACCUGCUACUAAUUAUGAUUCUUUACAUGUUUUUGGUUCCACUGCUUAUUAUCAUGUAAAGGAAUCUAAGUUAGACCCAAGAGUAAAGAAAGCAUUGUUCAUGGGUAUAACUGGUGGAGUAAAAAGAUAUCGUCUCUGGUGUCCUGUUAUGAAGAAGAUUAUUUUCAGCAUAGAUGUAACUUUUGAUGAAUCAGCCAUGUUGAAACAAAAAGAAUCUCAAGAGAAUGAGAAGACCAGAAGAACUUUGCAGCAGGUGGAGUUUGAAAAGAUUAAAGCUGAUCCAGCUGGUGUCAAUGAGAUGGAUAGUGAUUCUCUAUCGACCGAUGAUGAUGAAGGGGUUCUGACCCAGGAACCUUCACAGCAACAAGAUUCAAUUGCAUAUAGAAGGUCACACAGAGAGAUUCACAGACCUGCUCGCUUUGUUGAUACGGUGGCCUAUGCACUUCCAACUGUAGAUGAUGAUUUCCUUCCACUUACAGAGAAGCAGUAAGUAACCCAGAAAGUAUACAGUGGAAGAAAGCAAUGAACGAAGAAAUGCAGUCUCUUCACAAAAAUGAAACUUGGGAGUUAAUUACACUGCCCAAGGAAAAGAAAGCAAUUGGGUGCAAAUGGGUAUAUGCAAAAAAGGAAGGAUUUCCUCGUAAAAAUAAAAUUCGAUACAAGGUUAGAUUGGUAGUGAAUGGUUACGCUCAGAAGGAAUGAAUAGACUACAAUGAGGUAUUUUCUCUAGUUGUGAAACAUUCGUCUAUUCGAAUUUUGCUAGCCAUAGUUGCACAAUUUGAUCUUGAACUAGUUCAGCUUGAUGUAAAAACUGCAUUUUUACACGGUGAUUUGGAAAAUAAAAUUUGCAUGACUCAGGCAGAUGGAUUCAAGGUUGCUGGAAAAGAAAAUUGGGUUUGCAAAUUGACAAAGUCGCUUUAUAGAUUUAAACAGUCUCCGAGGCAGUGGUAUAAGUGAUUUGAUCGAUUUACGAAAGGGCAAAGGUACACACGAAACAAAUUUGAUCAUUGUGUGUAUUUUCGCAAGCUACAAGAAGGAUCUUUCAUUUAUUUGCUAUUGUAUGGCGAUGAUAUGCUAAUAACAUCCAAGAGUAAAUAUGAGAUUGAGAAGUUAAAGACUCAACUCAAUCAAGAAUUUGAAAUGAAAGACCUGGGUGAAGCUAAGAAGAUUUUUGGCAUGGAGAUAUGCAGAGAUAGAGCUCGUGGCAAAAUAAGCUUAUCUCAAAAGCAAUAUUUGAAUAAGGUAUUACAACAGUUUGGUAUGACUGAGCAGAAAAAACCUGUAAGUACCCCAUUGGCUUCUCAUUUCAAGCUUUCUACACAACUAUCUCCUUCGACAGAUGCAGAACGAGAAUACAUGUUACAAGUUCCAUAUUCAAAUGCAGUGGGUAGCUUGAUGUAUUCAAUGGUGUGUACAAGGCCUAACAUUUCACAUGCAGUUGGUAUAGUGAGCAAGUAUAUGCAUAAUCUUGGUAAAAGGACAUUGGCAAGCUGUAAAAUGGAUUCUAGGGUACAUUUAGAAGACUGUGGAUGUUAGUUUACUGUUUGAGAGAGACGAUACACUUGGUCAAGGUGUGAUCGGGUACGUUGAUUCUGAUUAUGCUGGUGAUUUGAACAAACGACGGUCAACCACCGGAUAUGUAUUUACUUUUAUUGGAGGGCCAAUCAGUUGGAAGUCUACACUACAGUCUACAGUUGCACUGUUGACCACAAAGGCCGAGUACAUGGCAAUUACGAGGCUGUUAAAGAGGCUAUUUGGUUACAAAGCUUGCUUGAAAACUUGAGAUUGGUACAGAAGCAAAUUAAUGUAUAUUGCGACAGUCAAAGUGCUAUUCACUUAACGAAGAACCAAGUUUAUCAUGCACGUACGAAGCAUAUUGAUGUACGAUUUCACUUUGUGUGGGAAAUUGUUGAUGAGGGGAAGGUUCUUCUUCAAAAACUUAAGACUGCAGAUAAUCCUGUAGAUAUGUUGACGAAGGUAGUGACGGCGGCAUUGUCUAAACGUGAUCAAUAUCCUACAAGUUUGAAAGUAGUCGGAGAAGGCAGAGAUUGGAGGAUGAUUUGAUGUACUGGAAGUUUAGUAUUCGGCUCAGAAUUGAAUAAAUCUUAGCCGAGAUGGAGAAUUAUUGAAAAGUCAAAGAAUGACUUGCAAAUUUCAAAAGGCAAAGCUGGUGGGUUUGCCAAAUUCAAAAAAGUAAAGUUGGUCGGCUUGCUAAUUUCAAAAGACAAAGUUGGGUGUUGAAAAGCUUGUGCAUGCAAUACAAGAUCUAGCUCAACGUUUUGACCAAUUGAACCCAACUUGGAGCAAAAUGCACUCUAUAAAUAGAGAAGCAUUUUGCAAUUGUAAGCAUCCAAUUUGAGAGAAGCAGAGAGCAAUUGCAAGUGAGUUCUUUGAGAGAGCUUUAACUUGAGUGUUCUAGUGAGGUUCCAUUUGGGUGUAUUGGGGUUGUGGGUUUUGUAAGUUUUUCUCACUUUUGUAAAUUCCCAUUUGUUGGUAAAAUUAUCUUUCAGUUUUUUACCCGUGGACGUAGGCAUUACGCCGAACCACGUAAAUUAUUGUGUCCUAUUUUCUUUGCAUUUGUUUAUCACCACAUUUAUAUUUCUUUAGAAGUUGCAGUAUUAGUAAUUGCUCAACCCACACUUCCGCAACACAAAUUUCACAAAUUUCACAAAUUUUCCAGAAACGUAUGGGCCCUAUUUUUUUUCAUUUUCAUUCCCUCUUCUAUUUUAAGAAGCAUUCUGAAUUUGAUUCCUGAGUCCCAUGAGUAAACACACUAUUAAUGUAACUCAUGAGUGUAACCAGAGUAGUAAAGGCCAGUAAAGACAGCUGUUAGGAAAAAAAUUACAGCAAAUUGGUCGAAAUUGAUUACUAACAACUCAUUGUAUCCGUAUAUGAAACAAAGUGUUUCAUGCAUGGGGCUGGAAUCAGAUUACCUAAGAGUUUACAAAAUAAAUAAUUAAAUGAUCUCACAAUAUGUAAUAGUUUUCUAAAAUAGAUUUAGGUUAAAACCUUGUCUUUGGUCUUAAUUUUAAUGCGUAAAAAAUAAAAUAAAAACUUUCAAAAGAAAAAAAAUUAAUUUGAAAGACAGUGAAGCAAUUAGCUAGUUACACAUAUCAUAGACCUGUAAGUGGAGCAAUUAGUUUGGAUUCGCAACAAGCACUCGUCUCCUUUCUUAUUUACAUUUUGCCAAAUUCAGAGAGAGAAAUUUUAUGUACAAUUAUUUGUUAAUAAUUUAAAUUACAUAAUGCCCCUUUUGCUUCACACAAGCUCUACUAAACGGAGCAACAUAUAUUAUUCGAGUUAAAAAAUUAACAAGAAUUUAUAAUCGAGAGGAGACGACAUUGCCGGUUACAAGAAAUGGACAAUGUGCCUAAUUAUAUACGACAUGCCGGUUUAUUUUGCGAGGGGGAUCGUAUGAUGAGUAGUUAAUGUCGUCUAGCAGAGUAAGUUAUGUACGUGCUGAUCACUGAUAAUGAACAAAAGUUACAAAACCACUACUCCAUUCUUCAGGAGGACAAAGCCUAGAAAUAGUUAAAUCUCUAUCAUUAGAGUGUUAAGACCCUUUUUUACAUUGAGGUGUUGUAGAAAAAAACUGUAAUUAUAAAAUAAAAGUUAAUAGUAUGUAAUAAACAUAAUUUACAAAUAAUAAUUUUGAUAAAAUUAGUAAAGAUAUAAUAGAUUUUUCAUCAUACAAGUAUAAAAUUAAAUUAACUUAUCUUCAAAACUAUAGCAGAUAGUAUUUACUAAAUAUUUUAGUGCUGCAGCUUUGAAAUUAUAUCUGUCCAAACUCAAUCUUAAAAAAAUCCUAAGUGAGGUCUUGGGGGGUGGGGUGUGCCAAGACUAACCAUCAAGUGAUCUUGAUCCAAGAAUUUUCUUACUAUUUGAGAGUUUUUAAACCUUCACUCAUCAUAAGCAAGAUAAUUCAGAGUAGAAUGAACUAGGUAUGGUACUUGAUUCUGCUAAUUACCCUUGAUUAAGCUCUGAAUUCUCGUAAAAAUAGGACAACUAAACUUGAUCGUAUGCUUACAAAAGAUAUUCUAACGCUCAAGUAAGUGUUUGGAGAUUUUGAAAGCUAAUUUAAAUCUGAAUUUUCUCUUGACUUGAUUUUGGAAAUUGGCCACAAGAUCAUUUCUCAAUCUUUCAACUCAUAUUUAUUGACUGAGAGAUGAAAGAUUGGGGAGAUAAUGCUUUUUAGAUUUGAAUCAUUGCCAUUCAUUCUUGUAAUUUGAUUUUGAUAGUUAAAUUCAUUAACUAUUUUUGUUUCUAUUCGAGUUUUCUGCUCAUGGUUCUGUUAGUAAUCACUUAGCGUUACUUAUCAACAUUUUUGGGUUGAGAAAUAUACAAUUUUUAAACAAGUACAGGAAAUGCAAAUUAAUUCUUAAAAUAAAAAAGAAAUGUAGAAGAUAAAAUUUACAGCUUAUUGGAACUCCAGUGAAGUAUUUGCUCAAAGGAAAGAAGGUAAUCAGAUCACACAAUUUCUAGCUCCGCAUCCUCAGCUCUAUUUGUAUGUUUGUAUUCCAAAAGCAAGUCUUAGUGAAAAUUGACUUGCAUAAUUAAUAUUAUUCGUUAUAAACUUCCAUAAUUCUAAAGCACUUGUUAAUAGAAAAUCGCUUUAGAUUGUACUUAAUCAUACUUCGGCACUCUCAUAAUGUAUUCCUUAAUCUCAUCUAACCAUAAAAGAAAAUAUUUAGGACUAUAAUUUCCAUCAAGCAUUCGAAACAUGAGGUCUUUUGAAUAUUCCAAUCACAAAUGCAAAGCCAAUGCAAAACUAUAAACAAGGCUGAACUAUCAGGUGUGGUAUGGCUACCAGUUGGUGGCCAUAAUUUGGUGUGAUGAUGGUUAAAUCUUGUAGAUAUUGUGGUAAGGAACAUGAUGGUCACUAUGGACUGGUCAGAUUCACAACAGUAAAAGUGGAUCGAAGAGGUGAAUCUCACAGGUUUUGAAGGUUUUGUGUGGUGGGUUAUGGUGGCUUUAAGAUGGCUAAUCAGACACAGUGGUGGCUUGGAUUGGGUGUAGUAGACAGAAGGAAGUUUGAUGAUGGUUGAUUGAUGGUGAGGCAUCAGUGUUAGUGGUGGCACUAGAUGAAACUAGGAAACUACAUUGCUUCAGGUAGAGUUUGCUUACAACAACAUGUCAAAUCGAUCUACUAGCAAUACUACUUUUGAGAUUGUCUAUACUUAUUCCAUAUGCUAUGUCUAUUAUCUGGUUGGGAUGCCAAUAGUAGUCGGAGGAAGUAAAUCAAUGGAUAAUGUGGCAGAAAAAGACUGCAGAUUCAUGCAGAGGUGUGAGCUGACUUGGAGGUUGCCAAUGCUAUGUACAGGGCUAAUGUGGACAAGCAUCAACGCAAAAAAGUAUUUUAGGAAGAUGAUUUGGUGAUGGCACAUCUAAGGCAUACCCAUUUUCCUGGCAUUCACACUAAGUUGGACAAGCAGAAGUGUAGUCCAUCUCAUGUGGCGAUGUAGAUUAAUGAUAAAACUUAUGUGCUGCCGCUGCAAGAAAAUUGGAAUAUCUCUCACACUUUUAACGUGGUUGAUUUGUUUGAAUAUCAUCCAAAUGGUGAAGAGUUGAAUUGGCAUAACUCGAGGGCGAGUUCUUUGCUUUGAUACCAACUAAUGAUGCAAAAAUGUAAAAAAAUUGAUUGAUAAUAUAAACUAGGUUUUUGAAUAGCGAAAGUUUUAUUAGAAAAGUCUUAAUAAACAAAACUAGGGUUUGAGGUCCCCUUAUCGUGAAUUUACUAAAAUAGGAAAAUUUGAAAUAUUAUUUUAUAAUAAAUACUCCUAAUCUAAUUAAGGAAAGCAAAAUAACCGCACCCAAAUUCAAUGUAAAAAAAAAAAGAUAAAAAUCAUGAAAGUAAUAGACAAAUAAGAAAAUAACUUAAAAAUAAAAAAAGGACCAAGAAGGAAGCAAAAUUCUCAGCUCAAUCACAGGCAAAAUAGUACAACCAGCUCUGGAUUUGAUUCAUCUCGUCGUAAGCUUUGAAACGAUAUAUUUUAUGGCAAAAAUAAACACCUAUAGCCCAUGUUAUAACCUUCGGAAGAUACCCUACUCAUUCAACACAAAAGUCCUACAACAAUAUGGCAAGUACAGAGGCUAUUAGGGAGGCUAUUUGAUUACAAGGUUUGUUUGAAAUCUUGGGACAAGUACGGGAGCAAUUAAGAUGUUUUAUGACAGUCCAAGUGCUAUUCACUUAGCAAAGAAUCAAGUUUAUCGUGCACGUACAAAAUAUAUCAACAUAUGAUUUCAGUUUGUGCAAAAAAUAAUCAAUGAGGGGGAUAUUCUUCUUUGAAAGGGCAAGACCGUAAAGAAUCCCACAAAUAUGUUGACCAAGGCGGUGGUGACAAUCAAGUUUAAGUAUUAUCUAAAUAUGAUCAACAUCUUGCAAGCUUAAAAUAGUAAGAAAGGCAGAGAUUGGUGGGUGAUUUACUGUACACAGUUUAAUUUCUUUCAAAUAAAGGUAGAGAUUUAUUGAAAUAUUGAUGUCAUGUGGGAAAUCAUUAAAGACAAAUUGGCGAAUAAUUGAUUGGUAAAAGCGUGAAGAUGAAAUAGUAAAACUAUUUGACAAUUCUUUUCGUAAAAUUAAAUGCUAUACGGCGAUUUUGGCGAAAAUGGAACGUGGCAACAAAUUGCACAUGCAAAAUUGUUAACAAAAUGUGCAUGGCUUUAAUGCAUGCAAUUAAAGUUGCUAUCUCCAUGUCAUGGGAAAUUGAAAGGAUGGCAAUUCAUGCUCCUUUUGUCAAGAUUUGCCCAGCAAAAUGGCGGCUUGUCCCAGUGGAUUUUGUUCCAUAAUUGUCAACGGGCAAAGCCAUUAGAUGCCUAUAAAUAGAGCCUCAUUCCACAGAGUUAAAGUCAUCCCAAAUUGUAAAAAUUUGAGAGCAUUUGCAAAUGAGCUCUUCAAUAAUGCAGAGAGAGCACUUUCUUAGAUGUUCCUUGAGUAUGCUGCAGUAAUUUUUUACUUUACUGAUUUUGUAGAUCCUUUUGUUUUUGCUGCUCUAUAAGGCCUCGGCUACUGACGGUCUUUCUCUAACCGUUUCUGUACCUACAGCGGAACCUUAUAAUAAACUUUCCAUGUUUGUAGAGUUGCCGUGCUUGUUCAGCUGAAUGAUACUUUUGUCCCCUGCUCUUCUCUGAAGUAAAUUUUAUAAAUCAAAUAUAUGGUAUAAAUCAGAAUAGUACUUCAUCCAUCUCUCAAAUCUUAUUAUACAAUUAUUAUUCAAUUCCAUUUGUCUUUAUAAAUUAAUUUAAUUUGUACAGUUUCAUUAAUUUACAGCAUUUUGUCAGACUUAAAAUUGAUUUGAUUUGCCAAAUUCGGGACCCAGCCCUCUUUCUCCCCCCAAAGUAUCCAGUAUUUAACUGAGAAUUGAGUAGUGUAGAUAUAUCCCUCUAAUUAUGAGGGUAGAAUUCUGGAUUGUACUUUAGUGAGAAUUAAUCAAGGUGAGUCCUAGUAGAAUUCUAAUUGUAAAAUAUGUAAGUAGAAUUUCCACAUAUUGAAAAAAAAAAAUUGAUUUAAUUUGUAAUGUUAAGUGAUAUUCCACAAACAUCAGCCACAAUAUCAGAAGUCACCCCCGCCCAUGUUAUUCAAGUGAAAUCCAUAAAAUUUCAAUAAGAAUAAAUCUCAACAACCAAAGCCUUUGUAAGCUUGAUGUGCAAUAUUACUUAGAAGAGGCAAGCUAAGCUAUUCAACUAGAACACCAGAAGCUGUAAGGAAGGGGGAAAAAAUCCAAUCAGAUUGCAAAAAGCUAGGCUUAUUAAUUUAGAGGAUUGCUACACAUCCCAAAUCCUUUAUCCCAAAAAAUUUAUUCCAAAUGUUGUGUCAUUCAUCAAUUAGUUAGUAAAUAUUUUACUUAGAUCUUGUAAAGAAUUACCAACCACUCAAUUAAUAACACCUCAUUUGGGAUAAAAUUUAGGAUAAAAAUUUUGAGAGGUCUAUCAUUACUCCUAAAUUUAUUGUUUAUCCAAAUGUACACAAAAUAUAAGAUAUUUUGCAGGAAAAAAAAGAAAAGGAAAUAGACGGUUUAGUAUUACAAUCUAAUUUGAGUUAAAAACCCCUCUGUGAGCCAUUUUCUUGCCCCAGAUUGAAAUAAAAAUAAAGUUAUCCAGAUGGCCUUCAGCUGGACAUAAAAUGAGGUUAAUGAGUGCCAUAUACACGUGUGCGCGCACGCAAUAGUGGAUGCAAAAAUAAGAAAGCUGUACGAAGAAACAAUGCUGCAAUGAUAAGAGAAAUUAAGAAUACAAAACAGAAUAUUUAUUUCAGUCCUUUAGUUUUCCCUAAAUCGCAAACUCACAUAGCUUCAAUUUCAAAGAUCAUGAAUGCAAUUUUGAUUCAUGGAAGCCACAUUCUGAACAACUAUUGGAAUAUUGUUUGUUUCUGAUCCAAGCAGAGCAUUCUCUGGUAAUUCAGCAUAAGAAAAUUUUCAAGAGUAGAUAUAGUAAAUAAUAAAAAGAAUGUAAAUGAAUUAUAAAUAGCAAAGUACAAAAAUUGAAAUUGAGAUAUAUGCGCAAGAGGGUAAUCACCAGGCUUCACCCAAUCGCUCUUCAUUCGAGCUCUCUAAACCUUUUAGGUUGUGGUUCCUCAUCAUCACAGCAGCCACUUCCACUGGCUUCUGCCCCAAAGUAUUCAGUAAGGCUUCGCUUUGACGUUGUGGCUACAAUCAUCUUCGAUCCAACAAAAUGUUAUCGAAUUCAUUCAGAUUAUAAACAGUAAAACGACUUGGUUGGUUUGUCGUUUGGUCUAACUCCUCCACUUCGUCCAUAUAAACUGGAUGUAAACCACACAUCUUCACCUCCAAUCCUUGGCCCAACCAGGGUUCAAGUGAUACAUUAACAUGAUUAGAUUCAAAGGCUCAAGAUUAGACUCUAAAGGCAAUCUAAUAUCGUAGCAUGUUUGACGAGACAAAUAGAGUAGCCAAAGAUGGUCUGACCCAGCCUGACCGAAUUUAUCUCUAAAAUCAAUUCGAUAACUGCCAUGUCCAAUGCGGCAAUUCAACUGAUGUGUGGGAUAUGAACCAAAACGAUUGUUACCACGUGAAUUUUUUAGGACAUGAAAAACACAGCAGAUAGCAUAUCCCACCAACUUUUUCUUAUUAUACAGAUUUGAAGGCCUUGUGACUGUUAUUGAAGAUCCCUCAUUCUGAUACAUGAACCACUCCGGUAUUUCACUUCCUGGAACAACAACGCUUAAAUGUUGUCUUGUAUUUGACACUGCCUGCAUCCAAAAUAAUAAUAAUAAUAAUGAAGUCCAAACCAUUGCUUAAUGUUUUGGCAUAUAUAAUUUUGGCAUACGGAGUAAAAAACUGACCUCUAGGUACUCUCGUAGCAUUGAAAACGCCAAACUUUUGUUGCCGAGCAAUUUUAAGCUGUCUAAACAAUUAAUCAUUGUGCUGUCGGGCUUGCAUAAUUUUAAAGCAUCUAAUAAUGUCACUAACGAAGCACAACCAUUUACUCUAACUUCCCUGAUAUUGGGUGGAAGUUGUGGCAGAGAUUGAAGCCUCUUGCAAUCCUCCAAUUCAAUAUUCCAAAGCUUAGAAAGACGGGUAAUGCUUGUUGGAAGUGAAACAAAGCUGUUUUUACUCAAAUAUAACUCUUCUAAUGAGCAUAGGUUGCCAAUAUCACUUGGAAGGGCUCCUUCCAUUAGAUUACAAUCAGUGAGAUUCAAUUUCCUCAAAGAACACAAACCUGAGAGAGAAGGCAACUUCAGAGCCACAGACUUUCGCAUUAAGUUGAUUGGGAUGUACGAAUACCAUGACGUCGAAUGUGGUACAGCUGUUCCACUGAUAUCAAGCUCCUCCAAACAUUCAAUUUGUCCAAGUGUCUCUGGCACAUUUUCAAGUUUGAAGCAGCCAGAGAGAUUCAGAGUUUUAAGAGAUUUCAAGGCAAUUAUACUGCUUGGAAGUCUCACAAGAUUUUUACAGUCACUCAAGUUCAGCAAUUCAAGUUUUGUCAAAAGUUCUAUGGAUGAUGGCACUUCUUUGAUAGAAGUUCCAUCUAAAAAGAUCUCUGACAGAUCUUUCAUACUUCUUACAAUCUCAGGAAACUUCUUAAGUUUCGAGCAACCAGAGAGCUUUAAAGUCCUAAGACAUUUUAAACUACUUACAGUAACUGGAAGAAUCUCGAGACUCCUGCAAUUUUUCAAAUUCAACAAAACAAGGCCGGACAGAAGUUCAAUUGAUAGUGGCAAUCCUCUAAUGGCUGUUCCCUCCAAAUGAAGCUCCGACAGAUGCUCCAUAUGUUCUACAAUCCCUGGAAACUCUCUAAAUUUCAAAUCACCAGAGACAUCCAAAGUUGAAAGACAUUUUAGACCACUUAUGGUCGUUGGAAGACUUUUGAGAUUCUUGCAAUUGUUUAGAGCCAGCAAGACAAGUUUGGAUAGAAGUUUAAUAGAUAAUGGCAGUUCUUCAAUAGCUGUUCCAUCCAACAAAAGCUUCGACAAACACUCCAUACUUCCCACGAUGUCCGGAAAUUUCUUUAAUUUCGAGCAACCAGAAAGAACAAGUUUUUCAAGAGAUUUCAUCAAAAUCUUGCCAGGAAGAGUUAUAAGACUUGUACAAUCUUUCAUGUUCAAUAUGAUAAGCUUAUUGUGAAGCAGCAGAGAUGGGUGAAUUUCAUACAACCUUGUACAUCCUUCAAGAAUCAGCUUCUCUAAAUUUGGGGCCCCUGUGAAGUCUGGCAUCCUUAUCAAGUUCUCGGAAUGGCUGAGUAUCAUGACUUUCAACUUGUCUAAACGCUGUAGAAAAUAAAAAGGAGCGAGAAAGAUAUUUCUUAAUUCAAUUAGAGAGGAAUGGCAAAACUAAUAAAUUUAUAUACUAUUAUUCACUGAGAAAAUAUAUAUUAGUGACAAAAUUGAUCUUACUUUGAUUCCCUUCCACAAUUCUCCUAUGCGGCUAUAAGACAUGUUAAUUUCAAUAGUUUUAUCCAUUUGCAAAUUUGAUGGCAAAAAUUUCAAAGGAUAUCCAUGCCAAUCAAGUAACCUUAACCAAUUAGACAGGUAUUCAAGGCCAUUAGGAAGUUGCGGAUUACAAAUUUUGAGCAAUCUUAGGUUGGUCAUCUUCGAAAAUGCUUUAGCACUCGCACACAAAUACACCUCAUUUUGAAGAUGGUAGUUAUCAAGUACUAUUCCUUCCACUAGUUCAGUUCCCUGAAAAAAUCAUAAGCAAAGGAUAGACAAUAAAAUAAUAAUGUAAAGAUGUUGAAAAGUUGUCUGAGAUUUAAGUAGGUGAAAGAAAUUAACAAGCACGAGCUGAGGAAUACAUGUUUUCCAAACAAAUUAGUCACUUACUGUGCUUUCUGUCAACACAUGGCAUACUUCUUCUUCCUUCCAUAAUCUGCUGCGUUUCCCAGGUUCUUCAGGUGAUUGUCUCUGGACAAUUUGUUGCCCUAAUUCUUGUAACAAAUCAUGCAUCCACAGUGUGUUAUUAUGCACAGUUAUUAGACAUUUUUCAAUGAGAACUCUUAUUCCAAUAACUGGAUGAAAACCACAUCCCUCUAGAAAAUUCGUGACAUAAUCCCUAUCAUUUCCUUUAAAGAAACAUGCAACAUCGAGAAAUAUUUUUUUCUCUAGCUCCUGUAGCCCAUCAAAACUUAUUUGAAGUAUAUCCAGAAUCUCACUAGGAGGUUCUAUUUCUAGCCGUUCCAGGGUACUUCUCCACUCAUCCACAGAUCUACCAGACAAAAAGGAACCCAAAACUUCUACAGCCAAUGGAAGACCACCAGCAUACCGGAUAACACGUGCAGAUAGCUGCACACAUUCUUGCAAAGGUUGAUAAGUUUUAAAAGCUUUCAUAAUGAAGAGUUGAAGAGCUUCAUCAUAAUUUAGCCCAUGAGGCCUAUACACUUCAUCAACCCCAUGUGUUUUCAACAACUGUUCGUCUCUUGAUGUUAUGAUGAUCCGGCUGCCUGAACCAAACCACUCACGAUUUCCAGCUAAACUUUGUAAUUGUUUUACAUCAACCACAUCAUCAAUAACAAGAGCCUUUUUUCUUUGCAGUCUACUUCCUAACAUGUCGAUACCAUCAAAGACAUUCCAUAUACUAUUAUCUGCAAGCUUUAAUAACUGGGAAAGGAGUUGCCUUUGUAAAGAGACUAGGCCCCCUUUACCGGAAAUUUCUCUAACAUUGGCAAGGAAACCACUUGCUUCAAAUUCAUGAGAGAUCAAGUCAUAAACAACUCUUGCUGUCUUACCUAGACCUCCCAUCCCACAGAUCCCUAUCAUACGCACAUCACUAGACCCUGAGUCCAUAAGAAACCUUAGUUUCUCACAACGUGAAUCCAUUCCUACUAGCUCCUUAAGAGUCUCUGGUUUUGUACGAAUUUUACUUGAUACCACAUUGACAAUUUCCUCAAUAAGUUUUGACUCAUUGCUACAGAUUGAAAUCAACGAGAAAAGAUUAGUGUUAAAUUAAAGUAAGUGUGGACGUGGAGUCAAAUUAAUUCCAUUAAAUGUACAUAAAAAUUAUGCAAAAUUCAUUGGACCAAAUUGAAAUAAUAUAUUUUACAUAUGGAAAAUCUUUAGUUGUGUUCUUCAUGUAAAUAUCUACAUUGAUCUGUACCUCUCAGUUUGCAAAAAUAAACUUGUGGAGCUACUAUUUCAAAUACUACACAUCAUAUGAAAUAUGUAUUAACUAGAAGCAUUUUAAUUGAAAACACUCUAAAAGCUGUUUAAGAAUGGUUACCUUUGUUUUAAUUCCCAACCGGAGAUAUUAGCCACCUCUUUCAAAAUGUCUCUCCACUUUUGCACCUUUUCUUUAUUGUCCCUAAAAACUUCUUCAUGUUUAGCAAAUGCCUCAUGAAAAUUUCUUGUCUGUUUUCUUACCACAGUCGGUUCCAUAUCAUAGAAAAUAGGAAAAAUUUGAUCUUCUGCGUUCUUGCAUUCAACAAUCUUAACAAGUUCAUCCAAGCACCAAGUGGAAGAAGCAUAGUUUUGCGAGAAAACAAUAAUUGAUAUUCUUGAUUCUUCAAUUGCUUUAAGGAGUUCUAGUGGAAUGGAUCUUCCUCUCUCAAGUUCUUUGUCAUCCUUGAAUACAUAAAGUUCUUUAUUUUUCGACGCAGCAUAGAGAUGACCUGUGAAGCGUUUACGGGUGUCUGCUCCUCUAAAUCUUAAGAAGGCAUCAUAUUUCCAAUGAGAGAUAUUUUGGAUGCUGGUGGAAGCCAUUAUAUCUUUUUCCUGAAAAUUUACAAUAAACUAAGUGGCUUCCUGGGAACAAAAUACCCAUCAUUACUAUGCAAACAAAAAUGCAAUAUAUAUCUCAAUUGUCAAAGUUGUAUAGCUCUAGGUUGCACUGCACUGAAUUGCAUUAAGCUCUGAAGCAAUACCAUGUGUUAGGUAAAUAAGAGCACCAACUCGGCCAUGCCAUCAAUGGUACGAGCAGAACACUGAUAAUGAGCCCUCUACAAACAUGGGCCGACUAGAGACGAGUACCAGCCAGAGGAAUAUACCGACCAGAGACAUAUACCGAGCCGAUACCCAUUCCCCAAAGAGCGGGAACACGAUCCCACAGAAUCACAACAGUUGUGCUUUUCCCAAAACCGUUGAGGGAAGCGCGAGAUCCCACGUUUGCCCAUAAUGCAGUAGUUAGAGUCCCAUGAGGGGCUGCCACUACCCGAACAAGGGGGGAUGAAGGGUAAACGGAAACGUGGGACAGCGGCUAUAAAAGAGGAAGAAAUCGAUGAAGAAAGGGAUAGAAAAAUUGAGAGAAGGGAAAACUCUGUCAAAUUGAAACCAGACCAUUUUCAAUACAAAUUGUGAGCCCAUUAUAAGCAAUUUAUCGAAUCUUAAUUGUACCGUUUUCCCGUAAACACCUUGUGCUAACUUAGGCAUCGGAGGGUUUAUGCCGGCAAAACCACUGGCGUCUCUGAUCCACUUUUGUGAACGCAGGCUUAGUGGGAGAAAGAAGGAUAAUUCCAACUUCGGUGACUAGAGCAAUCGUCGAAGCAAGAAGAAAUUGACAUCCUCACUGUUGAUAAUAUAAACGUUGGUGUAAAGAUCUGGUCGGGCAAAGGACGAGCAGAUUUCAGCAUCAACAUUUUGGCGCCGUCUGUGGGGAGCUGGAUAAAAAGCUACCACCAAGUUAAUAGUAACUGGAGAAGCAACGAACGAUUAGAUAUGGAUGUGUCAAGGAAGGAUGCUUUGAGGGAUGACAAUGAAACUGUUGAGACAAUCACUCUCCGGGAAAUUGCGAAUGAAGCUCAAGAGAGGAUGAUGCAAGAUCGACUGGAGCGGAUGGAGAAAUAAAUGGAGACUCUCACGGCCAUACUGUAUGAGCUGAGGGAUGAGCGGAGAAGGGAUUGUGAAACCCCCGCGAGGAGAGAUGAAGUUGGAGCAGAACCCAGCCUCCGGAGGCCUAAAGUCGAGGAAAUUCCUCCGCCGGUGGACCAACCUAAUGGGGUACAUCCCCACAGAAGUACUGGUCAGGUUCCAACAGAACACGUGGAUGAAAGGAGGGACCAACCUCGUCCCGGACGGGUAUUGGAAAUUGAUGGCCGAGCAGCCAAUGUUGAUGAAGGAGAGCUCAGGCAAUGGUUGCAGAAUGCCGAGCAAGAACGAGAUCAGAUAGCUGCACGUGAUCCUGACCGUGCUGUAGAAUUGGAGGGAGAGGUGCGCAGAUUGGCACAGGUGAUGGAGGAGAUACAGGGCAAGAGAAAGCCCCCGAGCUGGAGGAUAAUGCUAGAUGAAGAAUCUCCGUUAUCAACCGAGAUCAUGGGUACUGUAAUCCCAAGAGACUUCCGCUUCCCCGACCUCAAAUACUCCGGGCGAAGUGACCCGUUGGUGCACAUUGAACGUUUCAACGACAUGACGGGUGUGCAGGGGCUGACACCAGCUCAGAGGUGCAGGGUGUUCCCAUUGACGCUAAAGGGACAAGCCCGAGAAUGGUACUGCAAGCUGCCCCGAGAAAGUAUAAAAGGGUACGAGCAGAUGUACCAAGAGUUGGCCGAACAGUUCCGAGGAGCAGUAGCCUUAAAGGACGACAUGAUAGAACUGAUGGGGAUGAAGCAGGAGGAGCAUGAAUCCCUUCAGGAUUUUGUAAAACGAUAUCAUCGGGCCGUGCUGGAUCUGGGAGCUUUUAAUCACCCGCAGGCGUUGAGGGGAUUAAAAGAAUGUGUAAGAAUCAGCCGAUUGUGGAAUAACUUAAGAAGCCCCAUAGUGCAGAAUUACUCGGCGGGGUAAGAACAGGCGAGGCGAGAUAUAGAAAUCGAAGAGGAGAAAUCGGCAAGAAUAAAAAGUGAACAGCUGGAAGAGCUGAGACGAAAGGAACGGAGAGCCCCGAACGAGAACGAAUCGGGAAAGCGAGCUGGGGAAUCCUCAGUAAUGGGCGGAAUAUCAGCUCUGUCCCACCCUUACCCCAUAGCUCAGAGACCACAACAGUUCCAACACGGCCGGGCUCAACCUUCACGCCCCCCAUUCCCGGAGCGGCAACGAGAAUUCAGACAGAUGGCUGCCUACCCUUAUCACAACACUCCCAGAGCGUUACAUGCAACUAAUUCCAGGGCUGGACGACCAGAUCAGCUACCGACGAUACAAGCCCGAGGUGAUAUCCAUGAUAGCCGAGCAGUUCAACUGGUUGACCAGAGCUUGGCGUAUAGACAGUACACCCUAUUAAAAAUCUCCAUGGAGGAAUUGUAUGAGAGGAUCGAAGGACGAGGUCUGCUAUACCCUCCGGCCCCUAUAACAAAAUCUACUCACCGACGUGAUAAGAGCAGGUUCUGCAAAUUCCACAACACUCAUGGUCACACUAUCAGUCAAUGUCAUGACCUAAAGAUUCAGGUGGAGGAUUUAGUGAGGAACCGGUACUUGGAUGAGUAUGUAGAUGGAGUGUCCCCCGUCAUUGAAUCACAGUACAUGCGGGAUGAAGGAGUUGAGAGGGGUCUGGAACGGGAACAGCCGACCAUCCGUGUGAUAGUAGGAGGGCCAACAUUGGCCAGGGAUUCGAACAGGGCACGGAAGAACUAUGGGAGAUACGCCAUGACUGGCAAAGAGGUGCUUCUCAAUUUGCCAAUAGCCAAGAGAGCAAAGGGGCGGCAAGUUCCCAUUAUGUGGACGGAGGACGACGAAGAGGGUAUUUUAUAUCCUCAUGAGGAUGCACUGGUGAUUAAAGCAUUGGUGGCUAGUACAGAAUUGCAGCGAAUACUGGUGGACACGGGCAGCUCAGUUGACAUUCUGUUUAAGUCGGCCCUAGAUGAUAUGGGGAUUUUAUACUUGAAGCUGAAGCGGACGAAUACAUCCUUGAAGGGAUUUGGAGGGGGACGGUUAACUCCUAUGGGGAUCAUCGAACUCCUAAUUACUAUGGGGUCAAAGCCGUUUGAAAGAACGAUGAUGCUGGACUUUGUCGUGGUGGAAGAAAGAAGCCCUUACCAGAUGAUACUGGGGAGACCGUUCAUGAGGAUAAGCCAAUGUGUAAUGUCCACGCAUUAUCUGGCGUUGAAGUACAGAAUAAAUGGAGUUGUUGGCGUAGUAAAAGACGACCAGAGAAUGGCAAUGAGCUGCUAUGCUACAGCGGCCAAGGAAACGCUGCAGGUUACCUCUCUAGAUAACCGAGGGGAUUCAAAAAAGGGUCGCCAGGAACCUGUUGAGAAGCUGGAGGGAGUUGUUGUAAGCAAGAAUAACCCGAGCAGAGUGGUUAAGGUCGGGUCAGAAUUGGGCGAAGCAAUAAAAGGCGAGCUGGUGAAGUACCUACAGUCCCAUGCAGAUAUAUUUGCCUGGUCUCAUGAGGACAUGUCAGGUAUUGAUCGAGGGAUAGCUUGCCACAAGCUGACAAUCAAGAAAGGGGCAAGGCCGGUGAGGCAGAAAAGGAGGUGCUUUAACCAAGAAAGGUACGAGGCCAUAAUUGCCGAGGUAGAGAAGCUGUUGAAAGCGGGAUUUAUAAGGGAGGCUAAAUACCCAGAGUGGAUUUCCAACGUAGUGUUGGUGAAGAGGCCAACGGAAAAUGGCGAAUGUGUGUGGACUUCACAAACCUUAAUAAGGCAUGCCCGAAGGACAGUUUUUCCUUACCAAAAAUAGACCAAUUGGUGGAUUCAACGGCGGGGCAUAGUCUGCUCAGCUUUAUGGAUGUCUUCUCAGGAUACAACCAAAUACCCAUAAACGAGUAGGACGAGGAGAGUACCACCUUUAUAACUAACAUGGGUUUGUUUUGUUACAGGGUGAUGCCUUUUGGCCUGAAAAAUGCAGGAGCUACCUAUCAAAGGUUAGUGAACAAGGUCUUCAAACCAUUGAUCGGUCACACUAUGGAGGUAUAUGUAGAUGAUAUGAUCACAAAGUCAAGAGAACCGAAGGAUCAUGUGAAGCACUUGGAAGAGACCUUUGAAUUGCUGAGAAGGUAUGAAAUGAAGCUGAACCCGGAGAAAUGUGCAUUUGGGGUCAGCUCGGGCAAAUUUUUGGGAUACCUGGUGAGCCAUCGAGGGAUCAAGGCCAACUCAGAAAAAAUACGGACGGUGAUAGAAAUGAGGUCCCAAUGAACAGCUAAGGAGGUGUAGAGCCUUACAGGGAAAUUGGCAGCAUUGAACCGAUUCAUUUCGCGAGCCACUAAUAAGUGCCACCCUUUCUUCCAAACCAUAAAGAAAGAGAGGAAGAUGGAAUGGACAUCAGAAUGCAAAGAGGCAUUUGGACAGCUGAAGGAAUACCUAGCCCGCGCCCCGUUACUAUCAACUCCGAGAGAGGGUGACCAGCUGCUUUUGUACUUGGCAAUCUCUAAAUGGGCUACCAGCUCGGUCUUAGUCAGGGACGAAGAAGGGAAGUAACACCCGGUAUACUACACAAGCAAGGCCCUGGUAGACGCAGAAACCAGAUAUCCACUGAUGGAGAAGUGGACGCUGGCUCUAAUAACGGCAGCACGCAAAUUCCGACCAUAUUUUCAGGCCCACCAGAUUGUUGUGAUGACUGACCAGCCCCUUCGGCAAAUGCUUCAAAAACCAGAUGCAUCUGGUCGGUUAGUAAAAUGGUCCGUGGAGCUGAGCAAAUUUGACCUAUCCUAUAGGCCCCGAAGAGCAAUCAAAGCCCAAGCCCUGGUCGAUUUUAUAGUUGACCGUGCUGAACCAGGGGAAGAAAUUCAGGAGGAACAACCAAUAGAGCAGGAGAAACCAGAGGGGGUGUGGCUGGUGAUGGUUGAUGGGCACAUAAUGAACAGGGAUCCGGAGCAAGAGUUGUAAUACGGAGCCCAAAAGGGAUCGAGGUAUCCUAUGCAGUAAAAUUCGAGUUCCAGCUUACGAAUAACCAAGCUGAAUAUGAGGCCUUCAUUACUGGGCUCGGGCUUGCACAUGCACUACGAGCUGAAAAAGUAGAAAUCCGAGCAGAUUCCCAGCUAGUCUGCAAUCAGCUCUGCAACUAAUUCCAAGUAAGGGAAGAGAAGUUGGGGCGUUAUUUGAAGAAGGUGAAGCAAAUGGUUGAACUCUUCAAAGAGAUAGAGGUAAAGCAGAUAUCCCAGAUGAGAAUUACCAAGCAGAUAUGUUGGCUAGAAUGGCUGCAAUUGUAGAUCCAAAAUUACCUAAGUCAGUUCCACUAGAGGUGAGGACCUCGCCUAGUAUAGGGGAGGAAGUAGAGGUAAUGAGAGUAAGCACUGAAGAAUCCUGGAUGGACCCGAUUCUCGCAUACAUCCGCGAUGGCAUUUUACCGGAGGACAAAAGGCAAGCAAGAAAAUUAAAAUGCCGAGCAGCGAGGUACACGCUACUCGAUGGGAUGCUCUACCGCCGAGAAUUCACCUUGCCCCUUUUGAGAUGUUUGGAUGAUGAGGAGGCAGAUUAUGUAUUAAGGGAGAUUCAUGAAGGAAUAUGUGGAAAUCACUCGGGAGCAAGAACUUUAGCCUUCAAGGCACUCCGGCAAGGAUACUUUUGGCCAACCAUGCACCAGGAUGCGAAAAGGAUGGCAAAGAAUUGUAAAAUCUACCAAAGUUUCUCAGAUAUUCCUGCACAACCCCUAGAAAAGUUUACCACUAUGACAUCCCCAUGACCUUUUGCUCAAUGGAGAAUCGACCUGAUUGGUCCGUUACCGAAGGGCCGAGGAGCAGCAACACAUGCAAUUAUAGCAAUAGACUACUUCACCAAGUGGGUAGAAGUGGGAGUCUUCAGCCAAAUCACGGAGAGAAAGACGACGGAUUUUCUUUGGAAUAAUAUCAUCUGGAGAUACGGAAUCCCUUAUACCAUCAUUACAGACAAUGAGAGGUAAUUUGACAACAACUUCAGAGAAUUUUGCCGGAACCUGGGGGUAGACCUGAAGUUCUGCACCUUGCACACCCCCAGGCAAAUGGACAAGUGGAAGCAGCCAACAAAGUAAUAAAGAAACUCCUGAAAACUAGACUGGGAGAGAAGAAGGGAGCUUGGGUCGACGAGCUGCCAGGAGUAUUGUGGGCUUACCGGACAACUCACAAAACCGCCACAGGGGAAACCCCGUUUGCUUUAGCUUUUGGUCAUGAGGCGAUUGUCCCAGCAGAAAUUGGAGUGGAAACACAUCGGACGGAAUAUUUCAAUAAGGAGCAAAACGAUGAGUAGAUCUGCUUGAGCCUGAACCUGCUGGAGGAGAAAAGGGAAGGGGCCUCGCAGAAAGUGGCCCAAUGUCAGCAAAGGGUGAUGCGUUAUUACAACAAGAACGUAUGCGUGAGGCAGUUCCGAGCAGGGGAUUGGGUGCUUAAGAAGGUGAAUCAAAACACUAGGGAUCCUAACCAUGGCGCGCUCGGCCCGAAAUGGAAAGGCCCAUACAGGGUGAUUCGGGCGACUGGACCAUGAGCUUACAAGCUAGCGUACCCAGACGGACGAGACGUGAAGAGGUCGUGGAACGCCGAGCACUUGAAGAAGUAUUUUCAGUAAGCAGAGUGCUCUACUAAGUCUUCAUUUUGACAAGUUAUUUCUAUUAAAUGCAUGAUGAAUUGUUACACAUGCAUAUAUUCUGCAUUUCUGUAAAGCAUUCAAAUUUCAAUAAAGAUGAAUUCAGCAUGAAAUCCCUCUGCUAGCAAGCCCAUUAAAUUUUACUAAGGCAAGUAAGUGUUUGUUCCUGCUCGGUCAACGAAAGACCAGCAGGCAAUUUCACGAAAUUUUACUAAGGCAAGUAAGUGUCUGUUCCUGCUCGGUCAACGAAAGACCAGCAGGCAAUUUCAUGAAAUUUUACUAAGGCAAGUAAGUGUUUGUUCCUGCUCGGUCAACGAAAGAUCAGCAGGCAAUUUCACGAAAUUUUACUAAGGCAAGUAAGUGCAUGUUCCUGCUCGGUCAACGAAAGACCAGCAUGCAAUUUCACGAAAUUUUACUAAGGCAAGUAAGUGCAUGUUCCUGCUCGGUCAACAAAAGACCAGCAGGCAAUUUCACGAAAUUCUACAAAGGCAAGCAAGUGUCUGUUCCUGCUCGGUCAACGAAAGACCAGCAGGCAAUUUCAUGAAAUUUUACUAAGGCAAGUAAGUGUCUGCUCCUGCUCGGUCAACGAAAGACCAGCAAGCAAUUUCACGAAAUUUUACUAAGGCAAGUAAGUGCCUGCUCCUGCUCGGUCAACGAAAGACCAGCAGGCAAUUUCACGAAAUUUUACUAAGGCAGGUAAGUGCCCAAUCUUGCUCGGUCAAUGAAAAACCAGCAGGCAAUUUUAUGGAAUUUUCACUAAGGCAAAUAAGUUCCUAUUCCUGCUCGGUCAACGAAAGACCAGCAAGCAAUUUUAUAAAAUUUUACUAAGGCAAGCAAGUGCCUAUUCCUACUCGGUCGCCAAAAGGACCAGCAGACAAAUCUACAAAUUUGGUUAUAGCAAACAACUAUCUAUUCCUACUCAGUCGAUUAUAGGGCUAGCAGGCAAAGCCAACUAAAAGUGUUAAGGCAAUUUGCAAAAACGAUUUAUAAGUAAAACCACAAUAGAAGAGCCAAUAGAAAGCAUUUAAAAUUUAUGCUAAAAAAUGUUUACAAAACAGAUGAAAAUUUAGAGUUUAUACAAAAAUAGAACUAAAAAUUUGGAGGGUCGACAGCUUCAGCAGUUGAAGAAUCAGCAAUCUCGGGAGGUGAAGGAUCAGCAAUCUUGGGAGGUGAAGGAUCAGCAAUCUCGGGAGGUGGAAGAUCAGCAACACCGGGAGGAGGAGGCAUGGACCCUUGACCCAUUUCAAGAGCACGACCCCCAGCUUCCCCUUCCUACACCCCAUCUACAGGAGCCUCCACCUGAUCCUGCUCACCCUGCUCCUUACCUCCAUGAUCGGCCUCAGCCAUAUAUCUCUGCACUCCAGCCUCCAGCUUGCUCAUGUCCAGCUCGGGAUAUUCUUCCUUAAGCACAGACAUGAUGCACUUAUAGCAGAAAGCAACCCCAGAGUCAUACUAUGCAUCCAGCCAAUCAUCCACAUCAACAGAUUUGCCUUUCGCCUCAGCCAACUGCUCAUUCAAGGAUUUGAUUUCUCACUCAAGGGCGGUCCUCAAAGUAUCUCUUUCACUUUGAGUAGCCUGAAGAUCAGACUUCAGGUCACCCAACUCACCCUCAAGUUUGGAAGAGGUGGACUCAGUAACCGCAACUUUCUCCUCCAGCUCCGUAAUCUACUUGUUUAGCUCAGCCAGCUUCUCCUUCGAGCGAUCAGCAGAUUCAGUUUUUUUCUUCAAAUCCUGAUUGUCAGCUUGAAGCCUCCUCUCAUGGCGCGUGGACCUGUUCUUGUAACAAGAAACUAUAGUGGCCAGCUUGAAGGAGACCCUCUGGACAGAACCAGCCAACUCACUGAGGCUCAUACUCUCGAUUUCCUUCACCAUCUUGGGCCCCACCGAUUUGCCGUAAUCCCUCUAGUACGGGCUCAGGUAGUCACCUUGAUCCCGAGAUGGAAGAGGAGCAGACCGGUCCCCGGAUUGGAUGCUGACCUCGGGACCCUUGUCGGAAGUUUUCUCCCCACCACUCUUACGAGGUGGAGGAGGAGGCAGAGCAGGAGCAGGAGCUUUGGAAGGACUGACGCUGGUUUUCUUUGGAGGAGGAGGAGGGUUACUGGAGCUGCUUGGAGCCCGAGCACAUUUUCUGCUCAUCGCGCUGAGGAUCUUGUUAUCCAUUCCGGCUGCAAUGUCCACUAAGCCCGAACCGACCAAGUUUGUUGGUGACAGGAGGUCUUGGCAAAUAGACGCGUUCACUAGAGCAGUUUCCACCUGAAGCAAAGGUUGGUCUUCAAGAUCCUUAACCAAACCCCACGAUUCUGAAAAAACAAAUAAGGUUAAAGAACCCAAUAAGUGGCAAUUUGAGAAAGAAUAUAGGCAAAAAAUGAAUGACCUGGGGUGACAAAAUGCGUUGGAAGGUAAAUAUCACCACCCAACGAGCGGGCUGCUGGACACCAAUUUCCUCCAGCAAAGAAGAAUUUGUUCUUUCAAUUUUUGCACGAGGAGGGGAAGCCAGUAAUUGGCUUCCUCUUCGCAAAGCUCGACAUGAAAUAAUACCAGCCUGCUUCCUUUGGGCUACUCCUCAGCUGGUAUAAAUGCUUCACUUCAACAAGGAAGGGCUCAUCUGAUCCACACCUCUCCCAUAAUACGAACAUAGCCGAGAGAACCCUCCACCCAUUCGGAUGUAACUGACCUGGGGCCAGGUGCAUACCCCCCAGUAUCUUGGCAAAAUAACGCUGAAGGGGCAGCCGAGCUCCUAGUCUAAAACUCUUCAGGUGCAUCGUCACAUACCCCCGCGGAGGCCGACUAGGAACAUCACCUUUCCCAGGAACUACAAGGGGAACCUCCUCAGGAAUGUUGUAAAGGUUCCUAAGCUUGAAUAGAUCAGUUUGGGUGGUGGCACAGGCUAUGUAGUCGAUAAGGUAAGAAUCCGCCUCCACCCUAUGGCCAAGGUUUCUCUUCUUAGGAGCUCGGCUCGGCUCGGAACUGCUUCUCUCACCAUCACCCACUUCUUCAGGGACCCCAACCCCAUCAGAACUGUGGUUCUCACCAGAGCCCGACGUAGGUCCCCCUCUAUUUCCUACAAGCUCUAAUUCAGGGGAAGGUGAAAUGGUCAGGGGACGUGGGUACUCAAGGGUAUCCCUGCCAUGGGAGGGGCCUACACUACUCGAGGGACGUAAAAAAUCAGUGUGUAUUGACAAGUUAAGGUGUAAAUCCUCUGUUUCUUUGUCACUCUCAUCUGCAAUCAACUUCCUUCUCCGAUUUGACAUAUCGAAGUCCCAAAAGGAAACCAAAACAAACCCGAGUAUACGAAUACAAAAAGGGGCAACAUAGAACCCAAUCAACAACAACCAAAGAAGAGGUUAAAGGCUAUACUUGGAAUAGACUGGCACUGAUAAUGUUGCUGUGAUGGAGGAAAGACCCAGUAAACGGAAAUCCCAGACGCGGAAAGUAUGAACGAAGUUCGUAGGAGUUGUCUCACGACAGAGAAGCGAAUAGUAAAACGAUGAUGAUUUCAAUCUAGGGAUUUGAAACGAAAAGGGGGAAAUGGAAGCGUUUAAGUGAUGGGCAUGCCAGCUCACUCACCUUAUAUCGAGGAUGGAUAGCCCGUCGUUUCAAAUUUCAAAUACGAAGAGUCGGGAAGCGCCACGUCACUAACUAUUAUAAAAGGCCUGACGAGACAUAGGCCCAAAUAUUUACGAGAUAUAUUCAUAAAGGCCCAUACUCGGAUAAAAAUCUCCUCAGACGAGAGAGGGAACCUCAGGUCCAUCCCAGUAAACAGAAGACCAAAUGGGAAGUUUCCCGGGCCGGUAAGAUUCGAUUAUCAGUUUCUACUCUCAACUCCUUUCACUCGCAAGACCAGAAACUGGGGGACUGGUGUUAGGUAAAUAAGAGCACCAGCUCGGCCAUGCCAUCAAUGAUACGAGCAGAACACUGAUAAUGAGCCCUCUACAAACAUGGGCCGACCAGAGACGAGUACCAGCCAGAGGAAUAUACCGACCAGAGACAUAUACCGAGCCGAUACCCAUUCCCCAAAGAGCGGGAACACGAUCCCACAGAAUCACGACAGUUGCGCUUUUCCCAAAACUGUUGAGGGAAACGCGAGAUCCCACGUUUGCCCAUAAUGUAGCAGUUAGAGUCCCAUGAAGGGCUGCCACUACCCAAAAAAGGGGGGAUGAAGGGUAAACGGAAACGUGGGACAGCGGCUAUAAAAGAGGAAGAAAUCGAUGAAGAAAGGGAUAGAAAAAUUGAGAGAAGGGAAAACUCUGUCAAAUUGAAACCAGACCAUUUUCAAUACAAAUUGUGAGCCCAUUAUAAGCAAUUUAUCGAAUCUUAAUUGUAUUGUUUUUCCGUAAACACCUUGUGCUAACUUAGGCAUCGGAGGGUUUACGCCGGCAAAACCACCGGCGUCUCUGAUCCACUUUUGUGAAUGCAGGCUUAGUGGGAGAAGGAAGGAUAAUUCUAACUUCGAUGACUAGAGCAAUCGUCGAAGUAAGAAGAAAUUGACAUCCUCACUGUUGAUAAUAUAAACGUUGGUGUAAAGAUCUGGUCGAACAAAAGACGAGCAGAUUUCAGCAUCAACACCAUGUUUAAAAAAUAAUAAAAAAUUAGAUUAACACUACUGUAGCAACGUUUUUCUAAACAGUGCAGCCAGCCCAAAACCUGCUCCCAGAAUAUAUUUUAAUGCUGGUCUAACUACAUCAGCAAACAUUGCAACUAAAACUUGUAGCUAAAUAUGGGAUAACAAAAUUCUGAUAAGGAACAGUAUUUUAAUGCAGGCUGCCAAACGAUCUUCUUCUUCUUAAUAAUAGAUAAACUUACUAAGCUUGCGAAAGGUUCUGAUUUCGAAGUUAAUCAUCUUCUUCUUAAACAAACUAAGCAGACCCAUCAGCUUCUUAUUUACUUCAUUUACCAAAAAGGAAAAAUUAUACCUAAUAAAUCCCAAAUUGUAAUAAAAAAAUUUAUUUUCAAUGCUGAUUGAAAAAAAAAAAAUCCUUCUUUUACAGUCAGGGCAUGCAAACUAAUUGUGAAAAUAAAAGAGAAAGGACCAAGCUAAAACUUACAGGUUGAAGCGUGUAUCGCAGGGAGCCACUUAAUUGAACUCCAAUGAAGUGUUUGAAUGAAAGAAGGAAAAUAUAUUUCUUCUGUGUAAAAGCAAUCAGGCAAUUUCGGAGCUCAGUGUUCUGCUGUAUGUCUUCAGAAGUCCUAUUUCCAAAAGCCAAAAGCCUUGGUCAAAACUAACUUUCAAAGGUUUUGCCCCCACGAAAUUUCCUUGAAGCUACAAGAAAUGUUUUAUUUUUUUUUAAUACGCGUGUUGAAAAGCGGGAAAACACUCUUUUUGUCACUUUUAUCUUUUUUUUGUUCUUUUUUCCUUCCCACCCCCCGCCCCCCUCCAGCUACGGUGGCGCUAUUUAUUAGAUGUAGGUGUCCAGUUGUUUUCACAAUUAUUUUAUGUGACAUCAUUUUCUUAAUAUUUUUAGAUUGCGGUAAUACCUAGUUGGGGACAGAAAUGUGAAGGUUGGACAUGUGGCAAUCUUUGACUAAACAAGCCAGUCGGGAUAAAUAAAAUAAUAUUUGAAACGCUUUUUUCAACUUUUUAUUUUCAAUUCAAAACCGAAAUGUCAAAAAAUUGAAACCACAGGUUAUCAGCAAAAAGUAAAACUAAGACAAAAAAUAAAAUAAGACCAAAAAUAAAAAUUUCUCAAAUUUAUGAGUAAUUAUAUGUAAUGGGGUAAUGCUAGACACACCAUUAGAAUAAGGCUAACGCUACGUUACGUUAAACGUAAGAUACAUUCCACAAAGAUAAUAUCAAUAAGUGCCCCUAAUUAUUAUGGAAACUACAUUAUUUGAAUUAAAAGAAAUACUUUUAAAUCUCAAAGAAGAAAUGAAAGAAAUCAAACAAGAAAUAGGAAAGAUAAAAAUAGAAUUGUCUGUAAUUCAAUUAAGCCAAAAGAAAAAUAAAAGAGUGGAAAAAUUUGAAAUACUAAAAUCUGGAAUAAUUGGAACAAGCCUUAAAAAACCCAUACAAAAACCUCAACCAGGCAGCUACGAUGACUGGUUUGUAAAGACUCAAUACCCAAAAAUAUUAGAAGAAACAGAAAAAUUAAAAGCAGAAUUAAAAAUUGAAGAAAAAGGAAAAGAAAAACUAGAAAUAAAAGAAACAUCACUUAGCGAUACUGAUUAAUGGAUGAAAUACUAGAAGAAGUAACUGAAAAAUUCAGUGACAUAAAUCUAAGUGAUUUGGAAGAAUUUGAAAGAGAAUAUUGUGUAAAAAUGAAUACUGCUGGAGGACCAGAAAUGAAACCUAAUGUAGCAGAGCCAAGCCAUAGAUAUGAAAUACAAAAGAAGAAAAGACCAUUUUUUGAAUAUAAUCAAAUAGACAAUCCUUACAUGGAAGAAGAGGAAAAACCCCUAAAUCCAAAAGAAGAAGAAUAUAAACAAUUUUCUACAUGGAUAUAUUCCACUUGUUCUCAUAAUAAUACAAUAUUUAGAGCACCUGGAAAAAAUAUGUACCCCAGGAUGAUUGUUACAAAAGGAGCAGACCCACUCCUUGUUGGGAAAAUAGCAAAAUAUGGCUAUUUAGACUUAGUAUAUCCUAGUGUAGAUCUUCGAGAAAUAGCCAGCUUUGAUGAGUUACUAAUAAAAGAAGUCUCAAGGUUUGCCCAAAAAAGACCCAUAUAUUUAAAGUUUUAUACUAUAAGUCCAGAAUACCAUCAGAAUAUAGAAUACCAAGCAUUCUACAUGAUUUCUGUAGGUCAUAUUACAAAAAAUUUUAAAGUCGAAGUAGGAACAGAAUAUACAAAUGUUCCUCACAUAAAUGAAACCUGGAUCAGAACACGGAGAGCCAGAGGAAUAAAGGCUAUAUGGAGCAUAGCAAAGGAUUUAUAUAAGAGAAAUUUCAGAUCCAUCAUUAAAUUUCAAAAUUACAUCCUUAUAACUUCUGAGGAUGGACAUACACCUUCAAAUCUGUUACUAGAGUUCAUCAAUGAAAUAAGUACUAUGCGUUUCCCUAGUAGCAGCAAAACCACAGAACAAGCUUAUCAACUCAUGGAUAUAAAGCAGUGAUUGACAGGCUAUGGCCGACAGCAUAAAACAAAGAAAAGAUAAAGAUAUGGUGGACAAGAUAAAAGGUGAUGUCUGACAAAAGGAUACGAAGCAUGAAGAUAAAGAUUCGAAGAUAAGGCAUAUGGAAAAGCAACAACAAGACAAGAUAAAGUGGCUUGACAAGAUACGAAGCAUGAUAGACAAGAUAAGGAGCAUGAUAAAUCUACAGGAAGAUGCUUGAUAAUGAUGUAAAAGCACAAUAAUACAAGGACAAAAAUGUAACUUGCUUGAUAAUAAUGUAAGAGCCCAAUAAUACAAGGGCAAAAAGGUAAACAUAAACCCGAGACGACUUGAAUAUAAAUAAAGAGCAAUAAUCUCUAAGGGAUUAUUCAACCAUUUUUACAAUAAUUCCAUUGUCUUCUAUGAUCAUGAAUAGCUAAUUCUCUCAGCUCAGAAUCCUAAAUCGAUACAUCAUUAAUAAAAAACAAAAAAUCACCAUAGAAAGGAAAGAGAAACCUAAAUUUAUUCAACAUUUCUAAGCUCAACGAUCGCAUUCCAUACAGUAAGGCCACUCGAGUCCGCCGAUCCCGUUGAGGCAAGGAGGCCGUUGAGGGAGUAAGGACAGUAAGGCUGCAGGUCACUGGAGAAAGAUCGGAAGGCAAAGAAACAAGAAUAGCUUGGGUAAUAAUUCUCAAACCUUAUCUGUUGGUGGAAGUUUGUUGAUUAUUAUUGAUGAGGAGAUUUAUGGAGGAAGAGCUAAUUUCUUUGAAGUGAAAUAUUUUAAUGAACAACAAUAUCAUAUUAGGAAAUUCUAAGGAAUACAUGAUAAAUCCAACAACUAGAAUAACAUAUAAUGAUUAUACAAUGAUUAUAGAUUUCAAUUUAGGAUCUUUCAAACAAAGUUCUUAUCUUUUAAAUAAAGACGAACUUGUUAGAACUGAAGAACUACAAGCAGUAUAUGCUCUUGAAUUACCAAAGGAAAUAAAAAGAAAAAUAAUAAAUCAUGUAGAAAUAGAUACUUUAAAGCAUAACAUCAUCAUGCUAACUAUAGAACAAGGAAUUGACAUAGCUCUGGCAUAUACAGAACAUGAAAAUAGAGAAGCUGGACCAUCAUACAUAAACUACUUAGAAAAUUCUGAUAAUGAAGAACUUGAAUUAUAUGGUAUAUAGGCAAGCAACCCAUGACGUAAAUUGGAUAGACGAUCCCGAAUGGGCGUUAGUAUCCUCUGUACUUUGGGAUAACAAGCCACGUACCUAUAAUCAGUAUAGUUUAUAAUCAUGGAAAUUUAUAAUGAAACCAGAUAUUACACUAGUAUAAUAAAUAAUUUUAUAUAUUUUAUAAAAGUAGAAAUAUUCUAUUCAGAAAAUGUAACAGAAAGUUUAAAUAAUCAAACUUUAAAUCCUACAUAUAUUUUGGAAACUAAUAGUAGCUAUUACGACUUAUAUGUUCCCAUUCUUCCUAAUACAUUUCCUAGAACAAUUGAUGGAGAACAAGUUAUAGCUGUAUUUUUAAGAAAUAAUAAUAAUACAGGAUAUGAUAGAUAUGUGCUAUAAAUAAUAAAAACCUUUACAAAAAAAAAAAAUUUAUCUGUUUUUAGUAGUUUAAUUUUUAUCAUUUUUUCAGUUUAUUCAAUUUAUUUCAGUAUAAUUUUUAGUUUCACCGAAACAAAUGGUAUCAGAGCCAAAGUUCUGAAAUAAAAUUCUCACAAAAAACUUAAUAAUAAUUUAUUAAUGGACCCGAUACAAACAAUAGUUAAUAGCUUAUACACUUUAAAGGUAUAUAAUAAAGAAGAAAUAAAAAAUCUCAUUAUGGCUUUAAAAAUUGAUAAAAAUAAUAUUAGAAAUAUAGAACUCGAACUAACAGAAGAACUUAGAGAACGACAUAUAGACACAACAGGAGGAGAGAUAUUAAUAGAAAAGAAAAUGAAAUUUAUAGAUGAAUUUAUAAAAUUUCUAGUAUACUGGUAUAAAAAAGAAACAAUAUGAACCAUAAUCAACAUGCAUUUAAUAUAAUACAUGGAUUAGUAGAUAGUAUAGAUCAUAUGAUUUUAGGAUGGGAAAAUACAUUAAAUACAUAUAUAACUUUAAUAACUCAGAAAAUAGAUUUACUAGAACAAGAAAGAAUAGGAAUAAUAAAUUUAGGACCAGAAAUUUAUUCUGAAAUUAUAGAUCUAUAUGAAUUUGAUAACCAUUUAAUGUUAUUUAAAGAGGUAAUCAAAACCUUAGAAAAAAUAAGAAAUAGAUGUAGAAGGGAUGGAAGAAGACAAAUACAUCUAUAAUUAAUAAAUAGAAGGACCCAAGAAAAAUUAACCAGAAAAAGAAAAAGACAAAAAACGUAAGAUACAUUGAUCGUAACUUAGGUACUCCCUUAGAAUAAACUUAUCCUGUAACUAAAAAGAAAAAAAAGGCGGCGGUUAAAAAUUAAAAUAAAUAAAAGAACUAAAGAAGGAGCUGUAAACAGGAAAACAUAUACACACGUGUGAGUGAGAGAAGCUACCAAAACCUGACCCGAAACCCGACCCAAACCCGCAAGCCCGACCCGGCCAUAUCUCCAAUUUCCGGCCACCUCAUCGGCCGAGCAACGUACCAACCUGAAGCUUGAAGACCAUCAUACCCCAUCUGUCCUCGUCGCCGGAAAAUGGUUAGAACGCCGGCGAUCAAGCUCGAUAAGCGGCGGUAAAAUCCACCCCUUCUCGCCGUCGAUUCCGCCAGUUUUGGGUGACGUCACCGCCUGGAUCUUGAUCCUCAGAUCAUUCCCAUCAUUUUCCGACCAACCCCGCCACCUGAAACCGCCGUUUUGGCAGCGAACGACCGCCGGAAAGCUUGCGGCUUGGGAAACUCGAUCCGCCGCUUUUGCCGCGCGUGCAAGCUCACUGCCGGCACCAUUAGGCUCAGCGUGGCCGAACCUUUCAGGCUUGAGCUUCCCGGCUACUGUUGACUGAAUUUCGGUCACUGAUGACCGGUGAGGGCAAUCUCGUAAUUUUAUAUUUUGAGGGCGAUUUUGUAAUUUCGGAUCAUGUGGAGAUUUUACUUAUUCCGAAAAAUUAAGGAUUCGUUGUAAUUAGGAUUUUGAGGGUAAUUUGGUAAUUUUUAAUUCGGGAGUAUUUUAAUAAUGUACAAACUCAAGGGUAUUUUAGUAAGUUUUUUGGCACAAGAGUUAUAAAUUAUGGAUUGAUAUUGGUUUUGAGUUUAUUGCAUAAAUUUGGUCCUAAUUUCGAUUAAUGAAAAAAUAAUUAUGUCAUUUCCUUAAUUUAGGAGGAUCCACAAGCUAAUCAAUCCGUAGACGUGAGCGAUAAUUGAGUCUGAGCAUCGUCACUAUGAGUGAAAUAUACAAAACCUAUUUUUAUAGUUAAUUAUGAUAGUGAAACAUGUUCGUGAAAUGAGAAAUUUAAAUGUCUUGAUUCAAUAAAUUUCUCGAAAUGGAUUUAAGUUACGCAUUAAUAUUUUAUUAAAAUGUUUUGGAUUAUGAUUUUCCAUAUCGACUUUGGAAAAAAUAUUAUAAGUGUUUUAUAGACAAGAAAAGUGAUUUGGAUGUGAUAUAAAAAGAAAAUAGAUUUAAAGUAUGUUAAAUAGAAAGGAAAUGAGAUUUAUAGUAUGAUUUUAUGUUCAUGUAUAUGUGUAUAAAAUGUUGAUUGUAAAAUUAUUGGACAGUACCAUUCUUUGGUUGCAAUGAUACAGAUAUGAUGAGGCUUUUGGAGCCCGUUUAAAAACACAUAAAGGCUUUUGGCCGUGUGUUUGGGUGUUUCUGCCUUUUGAGGGCAUAUAUAUGUGAUAUGAUGAUAAUAGUGAUAUAGAUACAAAUAAUAAAGAUGAGAUACAAGCUUUUACAGGCUCGUCUAAGUACACACAGAAGCUUUGGCCCGUGUGCUUAGGCUCUUUUGUCAUUUAAGAACUAGAUUAUGCAUGCACAAAUAUGAUGAUAUGUGAGAUGACACUUUUAUGUCUAUCUGUGUAGCUCUGGGGCAUAACCGUACCUAGAUAAUACAUCAAUACCCAUCUGUUGAGGUCUGGAUACGGUGAGAUUAUUUCUUUGGGUACUUAUUUAAUGAUAAUUUUAAAUUUGUGUAUUUUAUAUGAUAUUGUAAUAUAAUUUCCAUGGUUAUUAUGUACGAUAUUACAUAUGUUCUUCAAGGUUAAUAAUCUGAUUUAAAUGUUAAAUGAUUUAUAAAUAUUUUCUCGUAUAUGGUUUGAUGAAAUCGAAUUUAAAAAUGAUAUGAUUAAAUUAUUUUUAAGUUAAAUUAAUUUUCAAAAAUCAUUAUCCACUGACCUCAUUGAGUUUUAUAUUCAUCAUGUUUUUAUUAUAUUUUUCCCCUCAAAAGGAGAUUGUAGGUACACCAAAUCAACCUAGGGACUGUAGAUAUUUUGAAUUUUGGGCACAUGAUAGUGUUACAAGAUAUAGAUGAUUUUUAUUAGGACAUCCUGAUCAUUUCAUUUUUCUUUUUUUGCGAUUGUAUAAUUUUAUUGUAUUAUUCUUUUGGGAUUAAGAAUAAACUAAUGUAUAUUAAUAUUGGUUAUAAUAAAUACGAAUACAAUAUUAAAAUAAAAAUACUAACUAAAAUAGCACAUUAAUACAAAUAAGAUAUUAAAAUAAAUAUAAUUAAAAAAACAAAAUAUAUAUGUCAUGCAAAUUAUUUUAAUAUUAAAGCCAUUAUCAACAUGUCUCAAUAGAUUUUAUUAAAACUUAAAUUUGUUAAUCCAAAAAUUUAUUUUUUAUUUAUUCUAUUAUAGACAUAACUCAAAAAAAGUAAUAUAUAUAAUAUAAUAUAAAUAUCGAUUUUAUAAAUUAUUUUGAACGUUAAAUACAUUUAUUUUAUAUUAUUAAUCUAUGAAACCAAUUUUAUUAAUAUUAAACAAAUCUAACAAAUUAGUAAUAUCAAAAAAAAUAUUGUUUAAUAUUAAAAUAAUUUAUAAUAUUUAUAAUAUUUUAUUUAAUGAACUAUUUAAUAUUAUAUUUCUAUGUGUUAUAAAAAUUUAUUUAAAGUCAAUUUCUAUGUUGUUGUAAUCUAAGAAUAUAAUCUUUAGAAAGGGGUAUGUGUGAUCAUUUGUGAGAGCAAGACGACCUAUGUUAUAUUUUAAAUAAAUCUUGGAGGCAUGGGUGCAUUUUUUCCUAAAGAAAAUAAAGACUUUAAAAAAACUUAACUUGAUUAAAGGACCCAGGGUUUAGAAUUCGUAAUAGCUAGCAUGAACAAAUAUCGUAUUCGGGGCAUCAAUCUUUGUUAUUAUUAUUAUUAUUAUUAUCACCAUCAUCAUCAUUAUUAUUAACAAUUACACAAAUAAGAAUAAUAACAAUAACAAUUAUAUAAUAAUAUUUUAAUUGAAGACAAAAACAAAAUUAUGAAGUUUAAGUGGGGUAAAAUUUGGAGCUCAUAGGAAUAAGAACUUGACUCCCAAAGGUCCAUAAGAAUCAAUUCUCAUUCAUUAAUCCUAGAAACGUAUCGGCCCCCCACAUUUUAUUUUCGUUCCUUUUUCUAUUUUUAAAAAUAAACAUUAUCGAUCAUUCUCAUUUUGAAUUUUAAUUUCAGAAUCUAACUAGUAAGCACAUCAUUAAUGUAUCACACGAGAGUAAUAAGAGUAGUAAUAGGCCGGCGAAGACAACGGUUAGGAAAAUAACUACAGCAAAGCGGUGGAAACAAAGUGUUCCAUGCAAGUACGGGUUCGGAAUUAGAUUUGUCUAGGAGUGUAAAAAAUAAUUAAAUUGAAUAACUGAGUUACGUAAGACAAACAUUCAUGUAAACUUCUAAAACAAAUGCUAGAAUACAAAACUGCGAGGAAACUUACCGCUCUGAGCGCGUGGGAGGCACUGAAAGAUGAUGAAAUUUUACUUAGAUUACAAUUAGGACAGUGUUUAUUUUUUAGAGUGGGAGUGAGGAGUGUGGAUUCCUCCCACUUUAGUGUUGACUUCAACAAAAUAGAGAAGGAUUGGGAAUCCCACUCCGUGGGCUCCACUCAUUUUUGGAGUGGGGAGUGGGAGUGGGACUCCCACCUCUCCCUUUUCUAUUUUUUUUUAAAUUUAAUUUCAUAAAAUAAAAUAAUUUAUAAUUAUAUUUAUUUAAAUAAUAUUAUUAUAUUUAACUAAAUAAUAAUUUACAUUGAUUAUAAGUUAAAAUUACUUUAAAAUAAUAUUAUUAUAUUAAUAGAGAAUUAAUAAAUAUAUGCUAUCUUUAUUUAAUAAUAUAAUAUUAUUAUAUUUAUUUUAAAAAUAACAGUACUAUAUUUAUUUAAUAUUAAUAAUUAAUAAUAAUAAACAGUUUAUUCUAAGAAAAUAUUAAUUUUGUACUAAAUAAUAUUAUAUUAAUAAAUUUAAUAUAAAUAUAUAAAAUAAAAUAAUGUUUCAUUUUAUAUUUACCCUUCUUUUUAUUAAAUUUACUACAACUAUAUUUAAUAAAUAUUUAAAUAAUAUUAUUAUAUUUAACUAAAUAAUAAUUGUGUUUGAUUCUAAGUUUAAUUUACUUAAAAAUAAUAUUAUUAUAUUAAUAGAGAAUUAAUCAUAUUACUAUAUACAAUCUUUAUUUGAAAAUAUAAUAUUAUUAUAUUUAUUUAAAAAUAAUAGUAUUAUAUUUAUUUAAUAUUAAUAAUUAAUACUAAUAAAUAGUUUAUUCUAAGAAAAUAUUAAUUUCAUACUAUGUUAAUAGUAAAAAUAUUUCAUUUAUAUUGCCCUUAUCAACAAUUUUUAAUUUAUAUAAUUAAAAUAAAAAAAAUUGUGAUGUUCAUAAUUAAGAAUAUUAAUAAUUAUUAUAAAUUUACAAAUAUAAUAAAAUAAAUGUUUAUUCAUUAAAUAUAUUUUUUAUUAACUUUGUGAUUAAAAACUAUAAUUCUUUACAUAAGGAUAAAAUUGUAAUUUGAAAUUAUUUACUCCCAAUUCAAGACAAAGUAAACACAUAAAUUAGAUUCUGAUCUCUAUUCCAUGCUUCUAUUCAUGUGCAAGUAAAUAACCUACUCCCACUCCCACUCUACACUCCCAAUCUUAAAAUUCUCACUGCUCAAGAUUCCCACUCUAAUUCAAAAAGUAAACGCAGCCUGUGUUUCUUUCAAAGAAAUCAGUUAGAGGAUUUCAUGUUUUCUAAUUAAUUCUUCUUCUUUUGUUGGCCGACAGCAAGUCUUGUCAGCGAUAUUUGCAAGAGAUAAUUAUAAAGGACGGCGAAUGGAAUAAAAGACAUGUUCAACUGUAACAAAUGCUUCGAUAACGUAGAGUCCUAGACACCUAAAGCAAUUGCAUUAUCUCUAAUUAUUUAAAUAAUAAUAAUUUAGACUACUUAAUGAAACAAGACAUAGAAGAUACAUGGUAUGAACCAACCUCUCCACUGAUCAUCUAUUUUGUCUUCUUUUUCUCUUCUUUUUCUCUUCUUCAAGUUCUUUUAGUACGUGACGCGGCAUUUUAUUUUGUUUAUUCAGUGUCGAUAAAACUGUGUCGGAGCAUCUUCCAAGAAAUUAUAUAUGAAACAUAAAUUAUAAGUAAGUACAGUAAUAUUAUAUUCAUAAAUUAUGUCUACAAAUAGAAAGUAAAUUAACAUAACAUCAAUGAAAUAAUAAACAUAUAAAUAAUAAUGAUAGAUAAAAAAAAAUGUGAUAUGAGCCUAAUUAGAUAAAUCAGUAAUGCCUUAAUAAACAAUAGUAUAGUUUAUGGUAAGGCUAGCCUUUUGAAGAGAUGAAAAUCCGCCAAACAUCGUUUCCUCAAAAAAUAGGAACUUUUAAAACCAUAUGCAUAUGAAAAUUUAUCAAAAAUAAACUUUAUUAUACACUAAUUGUUCCGUGCCAUUUUCCUGAAUACUUUUUGUAUAUUUUAGAAACACAUACCUAAACAAUCUGAUCAAGCAUGAAAUCAUUUUCGAUUCAUGGAAGACAACAACUUUGGGGAUGAUAUUUUGCUCUUGUGGUAAUUGAAGAUGCAUACUUACUGAAAUAUUCAGAGAAUAGUAAGUAGGCUUCUCCUUUUGUAUGAGUUCACUCAAUGAAUCUUUGAGGUUGUGGUUCCUCAUCACCUCAACAUAUGCAGUAAGGCUUCGCCUUGAUGUUGUUGCUACAACCAGUGGCGGACUCAGAAACUAAAAUGAGGGGGGGCUUAGUUUAAAAAAAAAUUAUUUAACUUAAAUUUUUUUUAAUGUUCACUUGAAUACAUUUUAAGUCUUAUAAAUUCAAAUUUUAUUACUUUUUUUUAAUUCUAAAUAAUAAUAGUAAUAAAUUAUUUUUUUAAAUGCGUGAAAAUAUCAUUGUUUCGAAGUAGUUUCCACAAAAUAUUUUAAAAAAUAAAAUAAUGUGGCUAAUGGGAUUUGAACCAAGGUUUUAAAACCAUUAAAUAGCACUCUUACCAUUGAACUACAAGUCUUUUGAUGUAUAAAAAAUAUGUCCAAAUUCAUUUAUCUAACUUUUUCAGAAGGGGCUUGGGGCACAUUUAAAAGAAAAUUUAACGGCCCAGGGGGGGCUAAAGCCCCUCCUGGGCCUUCAUUGGGUCCGCCCAUGGCUACAACCAUCUGUGAUGCAACAAAAUUUUGAGAGGGUUCAUUCAGAUUAUAAGUGGGUAAAGCGACCCCAUAUAAACUGGAGGGAUAUCAUACCUCUCACCUCCUAUCCUGGCCAAAAUAUGUUGAAAAAAUAGCAUAUCAAUAUGCUAUAUUGAGGGCACAUUUUGAAUGGGUCCCAUUUAGCAAAAAUGAGAAAUCUUUGUGAAGUUCGUGUUCUUCUUCGUGAAUAUUUCGAAAGUAAUAUUUAUUUACUCAAAAUGGUGCUUGGGUGAAUAAGCAAUUGUCUCUCAAAGUUCACUCUUGAAGUUGAAAAUUUGAAAGGAAAUGAGGUUUAUCCCACAAGGGAAAAAUAAUCCAAGGGAUUUGUGUUUAUAUAGGCACUUACCCAUACAUGAGAAAAAAGUAUAAGGAUAGAAGCUUAUCUUCACACGCGUGUGCGCAAAGGGGGAUGCGAAUCCAAGAUCGAUUUGGUUGCCCGCGUGUCUUGCGUACGCGAAUGUCAGUCCAAAAUUUCAAUUUUUUUAUAACAGUUUCACAAUGUUUGAAUUCAAAGGAUUUGUAACAGCUUCGCAAUUAUUUUUUGGGCUGUUAUGCAAUUCAAUUUUUGAAUUCAAUUGGCUGUUACAACAAUUAAAUGGCAUAUAUUGAAUUCAGAAAUUCAAUACUAUGCUGCUGUUAUAUCCUCACAUGUGUAUAAAAAGGCAGCUUCCUCUUCUAUUUUUCGAACACACAGAAACCAGCACACAGAGCACUUAAAAUUUUCUUUCCUUCUUCGUCCGUCUUCUUUUCUGAUCGAGUUUGUCGCUGUUGUAGUUUGCCGAAAUUAUCUGUCUGUGCUUGACGGAUAUUUCUUGCCCAUUGUAUCAUGGGAAACAGUUACCAGCAAACCUAAAGCACUGCAGUAGGUGGUAAAUAUAUUUUAAGGAUACUGUGUUACAGGCCUUGGAUUUAUUUUCUUUGUUUCGUUUGAUUUCCAGUUGCUGUUUUUUGCUGCUGUUUAAUUCCAGUUGCUGUCUUGCUGCAGUUUAAUUCUAUUAGCAAUUAAUUUUGUAUAAUUACCUACUGGUUUUAUUUGUUAACUCGCUGUUGUUAUUUUUCUAACAAAAUACACCUCUGAGAAGGUACAAAUUUUAUGAAGACGCGCAACCCUAAAUUUAUAUUAUUGAAUCACACUCAACAGCUUGGGAAAUUGACCUUGUUGAUUUGAUUGCUUUUGGUUUGGAAAUCGUAGUGGUGGCGCAACGGAUAUCAUCUUCUCUUUGUUCAACACUUCAGUUGGGAAUUGGGAUGGCAUGGUUCCUACUUGGGCAUUUUAUCAAACAUGUUCUGGGCAUGGGUAUCAUACAAUUACUCCUCAAACACAUUUUAUCAAAUCUGCAAAAUUUAACUCAAAUUAUAAUUUAAAAAAUGUGUCAUGUAAUUUAAGUGAAUGAUUGAAAUUUAAAAAUUUAUCAUUAAUCAAAUUUUUUUCAAUUUACGUGUAGGGAAAAAAAGGGAAUAUUAUUUUGAAUUUUUAAAAUAACAAAACAAUAUAAAUUUUUUUUUUUAUUAACACAUUUAUUGAAAUUCAAAUUUUAAGCCUGUCUUUAAAAAUAUAAAAAAAAAAAGAAAAAAAAGGAGAUUUUAUGAUAAGAUUGGGGUGGGGUAGGCAAAUAGUCCAACUCCGUAAAAAAUAUAAACAAAUAGUUCAACAAAAGUCAAAAAGUACAAAUUAAAUAAGCAAGGUUGAAUUCAACAAGCCCAUAAAGGCCUACAAAAUUCCAACAUCAAAAUGGAUGGGAAGGGCACUUGAUGAAGCCUUAUUUUACAAUGAAGACAACCUGUCAGUGGCUAUGAACAAUAAUUGUUUGCCAAAAAUAUUUUUGGUCAAAUAUGUGGUAUGAUCCUUAUAAAUAAAUGAUAAUUUACUUCAUCAAAAUAAAUUUUAUCGAUACAUAUGCAUUUAAUUUCAUUUUUCUCGAUAAAUUAUUGUGCUUUCAAGUUUCUUUAAUUUGCAGCAUUUUAUUAGAAAUUUAUUAGGGCCAGUUUGAGAUUGCAGUAAUUGAUGAAGUAAAUAAUUUCUGCCAUGCGGAUAAAAGAAACUGCUUACUUAAAAAAAAGUUCAAUGUUUGCUAAAUUAUGUUAUUGCAGUUGCUAUAAGUUUAAAAAGCAAAGUAUAUGCAUUUGAUAAAUUUUAUUAUGAAAGUGUUAUUUAAUUAUAUAAUUAUCAAAGUAGAUAUAAGUUUAAAUUAUUUUUUAUUUGUAUAUUAGAGUGAUUUCAUUGGAAAAUAAGAUAUAAUUAUCGUUGUUUUUAAAAUGUUAAGGAUAUAAUAAGAACUUUAAUAAGAUCAACGACUUAUUCAGUAAGCUGCUUAUAAAAAACAACUUCUAUCCUAUUUCAAAAAACUGUUGACAUAAUAGAAAAACUUAUGAAAUAAACCGUUUUAAAAAUAUUACUAAACACUAUUUUUAUUAAAAUUUAUGAAUUAAGCAAUUCCUAACGGGAUUUGUACUAGGAAUAACUAGAACUCUUAAGGCGCUAAUGCUAUUUAUGUAAAAUCUAUACAAAUUCAAUGAAAAUCUCAACGAGCGAAAAUCCUUAUCCGCUUCAAGUACUAUUUAUAAUUUACGAUAAGCUUAGCUGGGCUACUCAACCAGAACAACCGAAGCUAUAUGCAAAAAAGAAUUAAAAAAUAAAAAAAGAGUAUACUCAACCAGAUUGCAAUGAGCUAAUUAGUUUAUUGAAGAUAUUAAUUAAUUAAUUUAUAAAGAAAGUUAAUAAUCAAAAUAACCUCAAAGGUAAAGUACAAAUGAAUAUAAUUUUUAUUUUAAUUUUGGGAUUAAUUUGGUAAAUUAAUUUUUUAAAUAAUUAUUAGAAAGACUAUAAUUGUAAGGGUAUUAAAAAUUGCUUUAAGUUAGUUAGUAUUAAUUUUAUUUUAAAUCAUUAGAAGAUUGUUGUAAGAGUAUGAACAAUACCAGUUCAUUCAGACUGAUAAUAAUUGGUUAAUUUACUAAUAAAUAAUUAUGGCUAAAUUUGUUAAUUAACAUUUUUCAUAGAUUAAUUAAUUAAUGUCUCCAAAAUUGUAGUAAGUGUAUUAUUGUAAAACAAAAGAAAACAAAAGGCAAGAGUGCAUAAAUUCAAUAAUUAGGGUGUCUUGAGAUAUUUUUUAAAUAGAAAUAUUAAACAGAUAUUCAAUCUAAAAUAUAAAGACUAUUCGAACAUUUACCCUCACAACUUUUGACAUGAAUCAUAAAGGAUAAUCGCAUAUUAAAAAAGUAAUUUCUAGUUAAAUUUAUAAUAGUUAUUCAAAAUAGAGAAACUUUGUUAUAGUGAAUGAUAAAAUAAAUAUUAAGAUACGUGCAUAUGAGAUUAUUAUAGAACGAACCUGCUAUCAAACCCGAAGCUUGAUCCUCAGCUGAGGUUUGUAUUGUACAACUCCCAUCAUUGUCUAAAUCCAGAUUCCGUAAAAUCCAAACGUUGAUAAAAAGUUCUCCGAACAUCAGUUGCUAGGUAGCUGGACACGGCUAAUGGACUGUUUAAAGACACUUAUAACCUUUUUUUUUAUCCGUCCGUGAAAAUCACAACAAAAAUAAAUUUUGUUUUAUUGUACAUUCAUUUUUUUAAAAUCCAUCUGUGUAAAUUAUAAUACAAGUAAAUUUUUUUUUUUGUCUGAACCAGGAGGUGUUCUUGAGUGGACUUCAACUGUGGGAGGCACCUUUAAGCUCGUACCACAACCCAGACUAAUCCCCGCUCGUACCGAGUCGACCCGUAAGGGGUAAAGUACUAGCCAAAGUGGUGACUCCAUACGAGAGCGGGACUUGAACCCCUGACCUCAAUUAAAGAGUGAGAAUGCCAAACCACUCACACUAACCAACAUUGGUUACAGUACAAGUAAAUUUUUUAUUGUACAUUUAUUAUUCAAAUUUAUUUUUCUGCAAAAAAAUUAAUUUGGUAAGCACAUUUUUUCAAAUUUGUGGCAUGCGCAUAAAGUAGAGCUCGAAUCUAAAACUUGAGUCGUAGAAAGGCUUCCUUUAUGAUUGGAGCUAAAUCUAGCCUCUAACAUAGUACGUGCCCUUUCUUCAAGUAAAUUCAUGUAAAGCAAACCCUGAGAUGCAAGUAAAAUUGAAAAUGUAAGAAAAUUAACUUACAUGUUUGAGCUUAUUGGAAGCAAUCAAAGAUGAUAAAUUUUUGCUUGAAUUUCCAAUUAAGUUCGUUUCAAAGAAAUCAAUUAGUGAGAGGAUUUUUAUGUGUUCUAAUUAAUUUCUCAAAGACAAAAAAUUUAAUAAAAAGUGUAUGCCGAAAGUAAUUAUGAAGAAUGAUUUUGGUUUUUAGUGGCGCAUGGAAUCAAAGAUAUGGUCGACAUGAUGUUGACAAAAGCAUGUUAUUAAUGGCGUCUUCAAUGUAACUGCAUUUUAUAGGGCACAUUGAAUUCCACUUUAAUCUUUUAAGAAUUUAUUCUUGUGGAAUAAUUCCACUAAAAAUCUUUUAAGAAUUUUUUAUUUAAAUUGUAGAAUUUUCUUGUUAAAAUAAGUAAAGAUGGGGGAGUAAAGGUUAAAAGGCUUGGCAUUUUUUUACUUGAAUUUCCAAUUAAGUUUGUUUCAAAGAAAUCAAUGAAAGGAUUUUCAUGUGUUCUAAUUAAUUUCUCAAACAACAAUUUUAGUCUAAAGCGUGUGCCGAAAGUAAUAAUGAAGAAUGAUUUUGGUCUUUAGUGUAGAAAAGACAUGGUCUAUUUGAUGUUGACAAAAGCUAGCUUCAAUAAUCUACACAUCAAAGAAAGGAUUUCAUAUGUAUCGGAGGGUUUAUCUUUUAUAAUUAAUCACCAGCCAAAUUUUAUACAGUUAAACUUCAUAGUAGAUAAAUUAGGACCAUUCUAUUUAUCAAUUAAUUUUAAGCCAACAAUAUCAAUCGAUUAUUCUUCUGGAAGUGGGGCGGAUUACCAAAUAACAUAGAGUCUUUAACAGCAAAUAAGGAAGGAAAUCAGUCACUGAUUUGAAUUGAAUUACUUACUAUAACCACUUUCGGGCUUUGUUUUACAGUUACAGAGCAUCACUGCCUAUGCGUAUAUUUAUCUAUAUACAAUGUUAUUAAUUACUGCAGCAUCGUCAUCACAAAAGCGAAAAGCUUCUAAGCGACAAUAUUCUACUUGCAAAUUUCCAUCAUCAUUUAGAGUAAUUAAAAUAAUUAAUUGGAAAAAAAAAAGAAAAGAAAGAAAGAAACAAUCGAACAGGCAGAGGCAAAGGGUUUCAUUUCUCGUAUUUAGACAAUGAUAAAUUAAUAAUAAUAUGAGCAAAUCUUGAGAUAUGAUAUGAACGAAAAAGAAGGUUGACAUUGAAGAUAAAGAGAUCACCAUCAAAUGAUAGUCAAACAGCAUAUUAAAGAUGAUCGGUUACUACUUACCUUCUUCAUAGAAGCCUUCUCUACCAGCGUUUUCACGAACAUUUUUGCAACAAAAAUCUCCAGGGAAAACCAAUCACUUCAACUGAAGAUCCAAAACGGCAGUUUCAGAAUUUUAUUCAUUUUUAGGGAAAAAUGAAUAAAAUAUUCUUUUGGAAUAAAGAAAAAGAGCAUAUUCCAAAAUCAAUUUCUACUUAAACUUAUAGUAGUCAUGCAAAAGAGAGAUAGUGAAUGUAUAUCACUGUGCAGAAGUAAACAAAGUAUGCAAGCAUGAUGAAAUAAAGAUCAUGAUAUGUGCCUAUGAGAUUAUUAUAGAACGAACCUGCCAUAAAAAAUGAUGCAGAGACUAACCCGGAAGAAAAGGCCACCUAAGAUGUGAAUUUGCUGUUAUUUGAUUCAACUCUUCGGCAUGGCUCUUGAGGUUUGAAUCAGCCUAUGGCAGGCAAGUGAGCAAGAUAGCUUGAUGCCCUUAUCAACAUUCUUUUUCCAUGAAUCUGAAUCUUUCUGUCGAACAACAUUAAUAAGAAUGCACAUAGAAGUAAUACGGUAUUGCAUGUUAUAAAGGAAAUUAUUAAUUUUGUAAAGUACCUUAGCAAUUCUGCUUUUGCUAACUUUGUUACUGUCUAGACUGCACUCUGUUCCACAGUCGAAAUCAUUCUGCAUUUUGGCACAAUUCCAACGCAUCUUCUAUUUAACAAAAAAGAAAAAAUAAGAAUCAACCAUUGUCAAUUCUUAUCAACAAAGUCUUCAAAUUGACAUUGCGGUCUCUGUUGUUUAAAGGGGAAAAAAAUCGAUAGUUGUGAAUUCUUAUCAACCAAAAUUAAACAUGGGGGUGGAGAAAAGAAAAAUAAAAAUCAAAUGUUGAAUCCUCUUGAUUGUAUCAUGGAUAAAUCUGAUUUAGAUCUGAGUCCAUAUUUUAAGAGAUUCAUCGACCCAUUUUCAGACAUGCCAGGAAUUGUAAAUUAAGUCAAAUAUUCACAAAAAACAGAUUCUGUGUUCAGCCGCAAAUGGGCUAUUUCACGGCCAAGCAAGAAAACAAAUGAAGAAAAUUAAUUGCUUUCCACUGGUUCAAGAAUUAAUACCAUGAUUGAUUGCUUCUCUUUUGGAAGAAAUAAUUUUGAAUAAAACACAGCAUCAUUACAAAAAAUGCGAUGAUAUUUUUUCAAUAAUCAGAUGAUGAUAAUUUCUCCAUACAUUCAUUCUACGGCCUGACUCUGUUUUAUGUCUAAGGCUAAUGUGGUGCACUUGCAGCAAGAUAACCAAACCGGUAUGUGUUGGGAAAAUAUGCUCUUUAAAAGCAUAUAUGUUUAUUUAAUUGUAAUAAACUAUUUUUCUGAUUAAUAAAAUAAAUGAGGUAUUUUAUUCAAAUAUCUUAAUUGCAUUAAUACUUGUAUUAAAGUCCAUUUAAUCAUAUUAUAUGUAUUUAUGUGAUUACCAUGUGGAUUCACAGAAGACAUAAAUACAUGUUAUCUUAUGAUUAAAUAAAUUUAGUUCGCAGUUGAUAAAUAAAGUUGGGCACUUUAUUUAGGUAUAGACUGUAAUAAAUUCAUUGAAUGAUUUGUCUUAAUCAUGUAUGAAUUUAUUGAUGUAGUACGACUACAUUGAACAGGAUCACAUAUGAGAUUUAAUUAACUUUGUAAUAACUGUCAGACUUAUUAAAUCUCAUAGGCGUUGAUUUUACUGUAAUCUUAAUCUUGAGUUAAUUAUGAUUUCAUGAUUGUAAUUGUUAUUCCAUUUGAGUUACCAAUGGGCACGACACAUCCUUGUGGUCAAGAUUACCCGGUAUCUUGGUGGGAGCAAUUAUGAGUAUUGGAGUUAUAGAUUAACAAUAUAGAAUUUGUACAACACAUCUCUUCAUGGGUUUUCGGCACUUGAUCAUGGAAUUCUCUGGCCAGAGUGUGUCAACAUAUUUAGUAUGUUGAAAAUGAUCAUUAGAGAAAACCAGUAAGGAUCAAGGAAUAAGAUGUUAUUAAAUUGAUUGGACAGUUGAGAUAUCAAUUUAAUUAACGAUGUGGUACAAAGGAUUGUGCAGUAAAGAAAUCAAUGUGGCUUGGGACGAAUUAUUAUUCGAGCAUACAAUUAUGGAAGUCAGUUCCAAUCUUUUAGUGGAGUAGAUUUGGAAUUAAAUAAUUGGGCUAGUUUAAUUACAGGCCUAAUUAUUGUAGCCACUAUUGUAUGUUCCCAAAUGAUCCCCGGGUUAGCUCAUUUAAUUGACUGCACCACUACUGGACUAAUAAGUAAGAUAACUAGCUAUUUGGGUCAAAAGCCUAAAUAUAUCAUUUAGUGGGAGGCUCCAUUUAAUUAGCUUUUGUAUAAGGGGCCUUAUGUUAUUUUACAAGGUGGGUCCCCUAUUGAAAAAGCAAAUAAACGUGGGUUUUGUUUUUCAUUUAUUUGAAGCCUAGGGUUUUCACUAAAGGGUGAUAUAAAAGGCUUAUUUUUCCCUAAAGAAAAAGUGAGAAGCCACUUUAUACAGAUCAGAGAAAAAGAUUUUUCUCUCUAUUGUUGAGAGAAAAAUUUUCUCGUGCUAGUUGCUUUGGUAGUGAUAAAGGCGCCCACACGUCAAGUGCAGAUCGAACCUGAGUCAUAACCUGGAAGAUCAUUGGAGACUGUUCGUGAUCUAACAAGCGUGGUGGUGACGGAUCGUGAUCUAACAGGAGCGGUGGUGGCGGAUCGUGAUCUAGGAGCCUAAAACACUUCAGCGGAAAAAGCCAACUCGGAUUUUCAAGGUACGAUUUCUAGAAUACAAAUUCUUAUAUAUUAUAUGAGAGCGAUCUUCAAAAGGUUUUAUAAAAAAUUAAAAACCUAAUUUUUCCCCAACAAUUGGUAUCAGAGCCAUCUCAUAUUAAUAUAUAAGAAUUUCGUAUGAAAUUAAUCUUGAAAUUUAUGUAUUAGAGUGGCACAUUUUAUUCAGAUAUAUAUUAUUUGUUUAAUAUAUGAAUAAAGCAUGUUAUGGUUUGUCUUAAUUCAUGGUUAGAUGUUCUACUGUAUUUUUCGUUUGGAUCUGUAACAAGAGGGGUGGCUUAUUAUCACCAUGUUUCCCUCUUGAUUUAUUGUAAUGUAAUUAAAAUUUUGUAAGCCAAAAUUAGCAUCGGAUUAUUGUAAAUCACUGGAAAAUUGCGGAAACUUGCUGGAACCUGCAGCAACGAACCAGCACACGCAGCAGCGAGCGGCCACCAGCACACGCUGCUGCACGAGCAGCGCGCGGCCAGCAGCACAUGCUGCCAGCAGCGCGCGUUGCACACGCAGCGGCCAGCAGCCACGCUGCAAGCAGCUCGCGCUGCACAUGCAGCAACUGCAGCGCGCGUUGCAACGCUGCAAGCAGCGCUACCUGCAGCGAGCGAGCAGCAGCUGCAGCGCCCAAGCAGCAGCGCGAACGUGGGCUGGAGGCGCGGAGCGUUUUGGUUGACGUCUUUCCGGCGUUAAUGACGGCUGUCCGGUGUGGAAACAGUGAACAGCGGCUGGAUUUUUUUGGAGAUGGCGGCUGGGGAAGAGAGGAAGAAAAAUAUGGAUUUAGGGUUACAUGGUUUUUAUCAUGGAAGUCCCUAUGGUUCCAUAAUUUUUCAUUUGAGCAGAAAGUUUUUUAAUUUUUUGCAUUUAAAUCCAAAAACAGUUUUGGGUUUAAUGAAUCCUAGUUUUAGGCCCAAUUUCAAUUGGGCUUAAUGGAUUAAAAAUGCAUAGACAAAAUUAAAUACAUUAAAUUUAUUUUUGGUCCAAAAGCUUUAUUUUAAAAAAAAAUAAAAUAAAAUAAAACUAUUUAUUUAUUUAUUUCCUUUCAAAAUUAAAAUUGGACCAAUUAUAAAUUUAAAAGCCCAAUUUCCCCUAGUCCAUUAACAAAAACAAGCUUAUGGAAGAUGGACAUUGACAAGAAGCCCAAUGAAGAUUAGGCUUAGGGUUAAUGUAUUUUUCAUUAUUAGGAAAGCCAUGAAUUAAGAUUAUUUAAUUAUUUUUCUAUAUGUUAUGUUUUGGAUGAUAACAUGCCAUGAUAACAUGUCAUAUAGAAUAGGUAGUGUCACUCUAUGCAUAAUGAUACAUGUCAUUCAUUAAAUAAUGAAUUUCAUUAUAUUGUUUGAAAUUUGCAUUUGCUUAAUAAUAUUUGAUAUCAUCUAGAUAAUAUUAUAGGAAGCAUGCAAUUAACAAUAUGUAUGUUUUAAAAAGGAAAAAUCAAUUUUAAAAUAUUGAGUGGGAGAGGGAAAAUUCAAGAUAAUUUUUCCCACGGGCUCCAUUGUUAGUUCAAUAAUAAAAUUAUAUAUAUACCUCAACUUCAUGAUACGGUGAUGCUCCCUACGGAGGGUAUAUAUAUUGGAUAUUUUAUUUGAUGAACUUCUUCAAAGAUAAAAUUGAAAUAUUUUUUCAAUCGAUUGCUCGCCCCAACGGUGACUAUUGAUAUGAAAAAUACGUAGAUUGAAACAAUGGUUAUACACUCAACUAAAGUUUGUUAUUAACCUUCCCAACGAAGCUCUGUUAACAAAUUUAGGCCCAAAGGGAUAACGAUAAUUAUUUAUCAUGUCUCUACAUGAAAGUAAAUAAUCUAAUGGAUAAUUGGGUCUAGUAAGUGUAGACAUGACUUCCCCAACGGAUAGCUUGUCAAAGCGGUACUAGAUUAUCGUUACAAUAAAUUAAAAUGCAUUUAUGGUUUUUUGUAUUUUUGUCAUUUAUUGUGAAUAUUGUUUCAAAGUAUUUAUGCAUGUCUAUUUUGUUUUUUCAGAAAAUGUCUUCCAUCAACCCAUUAUUAAUUAUUCUUGUUAAAAAUGAACUCACUGGCGAAAAUUAUUUAGAUUGGAAACGCAAUCUAUUUAAUAUUCUCACUGCUAAGGGAAGCAAAUAUGUUUUGACUCAGCCUUGCCCUCCUGAACCAUCGUUAUACGAUUAUAGAAAUCAGAGGGAGCCUUAUGAGAAAUGGUGCGAAGCUAACAAAAUGGCUAAGCGCUAUAUAUUGGCUUCGAUUUCUGUGGAACUGCAUAAGAAACAUCGGAGCAUGGAAACAGCCACUGAAAUAAUGGCUAGUCUUCAUCAGAUGUUUGGGUAAAAUACCCAUUUUUCUAGAGAAGCAGCAUUGAAACGUAUUACGGAUACUAAGAUGGAAGAGGGCACAAAAGUUCGUGAUCAUGUCCUCAAAAUGAUGGACUAUUUGAAUGAGGUAGAGAUUCAUGGUGUUCAAAUCAAUGAUAAAUCAAAGAUUAACAUGGUGAUUGAAUCUUUACCUGAUACAUUCAAAGAGUUUAAGGUCAGUUAUAUCUUAAACAAUAAAGAUAUGACCUUAAUUGAAUUAAUGCACGAACUACAUGCUAUAGAAGAAUUCUAUCAUAGCAGAAAACUUCCUGAAAAAGGAUUCUCUUCAAGGCUUAAGUCGAAAGACAAGAAUGAGCAAGCAAGAGUUGGGAUCGGCAAACUGUCCACUAAAAGAAGUGGCAAGCCAAAAGGCAAGUGUUACAAAUGUGGACAGAAGGGUCGCUGGAAGAAAGAUUGUCCUAAGAUUAUUAAAAUCAGGUAUAGGAAAUCUUUAAGCUUCCUAAUUAGUUCAGAUUUCUAUUGCAUCAUACAAUAAUGAAUUCUGAGAUAACUAAUCUUAUUUGUAAUUCAUUUAUUUGGUUUUCAGGAAACCAAGAGAUUAAGUGAAGAAAGUAUCAAACAGCAGUUGAGGACAUGCUAGUUUAUAUUAAUUGAAAGACUAGAUCAAUUUUACAAGACUUUAGUUUUGAUAUUUGUCUUUAUAUUAGAGGAAUUUAAUUUCGGUGGCUUGUUUUAAUAAACAGGAGUACACUGUUAUUUUUUGGAUCCUCUAUUUAUUAUUUAUUUUGGUUAUUUAUAAAGACAAUUUAUAUCAUAGAAGUCCAUUGAUCUAUUCAAAGUAAGAUAUAAUGAUAAAAAGUAUAUGCAUUUAUCUAAGAAAAGAAAUGUUUCUUCUAACCAAAAAUCACCUCUGAUAUUUAUGCCUAAGUCAUAUAAACUAUAAUAAGAUUUUAAGAAAAUGAUUAAUGAUAGACUUGUUGGCCUAUUAAGAUUGAUCAUUGUAACUCCAUAAAUCUUAUUUAGAAAAGUAAUAUGACAAGGAUGCUCUUUUUGAGCUAAAAGCAUAACUAUGUAUUUGAUGAUUUAGCGCAUACAAAUGUAUACGGACUAAUCAGUUUACAUGUUAUAAGGGGUUAUGAGUAUUCUAUCAAUCUUGUUGAUGAAUAUUCAUUUUAUUUAUGUUUGUCUAAAUGCGUCAUGAUUCCAUUGCUUUUGAAAUUCAAAAGAGUACGUGGAUAAGACAGAAGCAAUUAGACAGGAACAUAAAAGAACUUCGAUAUGAUCGAAACAAAGAAUAUCUCUAUGGAGAAUUCAAGCACUAUUUGGUUGUCAAUGAACACUAUAAUACAAUAGUGUAAUUAAAUGAAGAAACAAGAUUCUUUUGGAUAAGACAAGAUAUAUACUAAGUGGUUUAUCAUUUACCUUUUUUGAUUCCAGAUAUUAGUAUUUAAAACUACAAAGUUUAUUGAACUUAGUUUCAUCUAUCUCGGUGUCUACUACUCCAAGAAAUUAUGAAAAAGUCACAAACAUGGUUUGAGACACAUUCAUAUUUGGAGUUUACUAGUAUUUCUACUAGAAUCAGAGAUAGACAAGAUGGAUUCGUGUUCAGAAGCUUGCAUGUUUUAGGUAUCUUAAAGGAAUAAGGGAAAGUCUGAAUUAUAGUCCUCAAGAUAGGAAUGUAUUUAUAGAAAUAUUCUUUACUUUCUUUGAGGAAGACUCUAUAAUGACUUAUAACCUAAGAGUAAGGUAAAACUAGAGAAAUAAAAGAGAUCAGGUUGAUGCUCAGCUUUCAACACCUGUUAUAGAACAGGAAGAACAGCAACAACCAGCUGAUCAGCACAGGAUUAUCCUUGAACAACCAUCACUUUUAGAACCUUGUCGUAGUGGGAGGGUAACUAGGUUACCUGCGAGAUACAUAUUUUUGGGAGAAACCUAUAUGGCUAUCUUAGAUGAACAUGUACAAAAUCCCACUAGUUACAACGAAGCUCUAAUAGAUAGAAAUGUUAAAUUUUGGAAAAAGGCCAAGAACACAUGGUAUGUAAGUUGCAGAGAUCCAUUUAUAGAUUGAAGCAAGCAUCCCGGUCAUGGAACAUCAGAUUUGAUCAAGCGAUUAAAUCACUUGGAUUCAUUCAGAACAUUGAUGAACCAUGUGUGUACAAGAAAAUUCAGGGAAAAUUUGUAGCCUUCCUAAUUCUUUGUGUAGACAAUAUUCUUCUGAUUGGAAACGAUAUAGGAGUAUUGACUACAAUAAAGAUUUUGUUAGCAAAAUAAUUUGAUAUGAAUGACCUGGGGGAGGCAAGUUAUAUUCUUGGUAUCAAGUUACUACGAGACCGGAAGAAUAAAACUUUAGCAUAGAUAGAAAUGUUAAAUUUUGGAAAAAGGCCAAGAACACAUGGUAUGUAAGUUGCAGAGAUCCAUUUAUAGAUUGAAGCAAGCAUCCCGGUCAUGGAACAUCAGAUUUGAUCAAGCGAUUAAAUCACUUGGAUUCAUUCAGAACAUUGAUGAACCAUGUGUGUACAAGAAAAUUCAGGGAAAAUUUGUAGCCUUCCUAAUUCUUUGUGUAGACAAUAUUCUUCUGAUUGGAAACGAUAUAGGAGUAUUGACUACAAUAAAGAUUUUGUUAGCAAAAUAAUUUGAUAUGAAUGACCUGGGGGAGGCAAGUUAUAUUCUUGGUAUCAAGUUACUACGAGACCGGAAGAAUAAAACUUUAGCCUUGUCUCAAGCGGUCUAUAUCGAUAAGAUAUUGGCUAGAUUUAGCAUGGAAAAUUCCAAGACUGGUUUAUUACCAUUCAGACAUGGAAUUACAUUCUCUAAGGAUCAAUCACCUAAAACAUCUGAAGAGAUAGAGAGAAAGAGACGAGUUCCCUAUGCAGACGCUGUGGGAAGUCUCGUGUAUGCCAUGCUUUGCACUAGGCCAGACAUCUGUUUUGCGGUAGGGAUGGUUAGCAGAUAUCAAUUUAAUCCUGGAUCUCUAUACUGGACUGCAGUCAAGCAUAUUAUAAAGUAUCUGAAAAGAACUAAAAAUUAUAUGCUUGUGUAUUCUGGUGAUGAACUCAUUCCAGUGGGUUAUACUGAUUCUGACUUUAUGUUAGAUAAGGAUUCCAGAAAAUCAACUUCCGGCUAUGUGUUUACAUUGGGAAGUGGAGCUAUUAGUUGGAUGAGUGUGAAACAAUCUUGUAUCACAGACUUAAUAACUAAAGCUGAAUAUGUGGCUACAUCUGAAGCUGCAAAAGAAGCUAUAUGGCUCCGCAAGUUCCUACGAAAUCUUGAGGUGGUACCUAUUGUAACUACACCCCUUAAACUAUUUAUGUGAUAAUGGUGGUGCAGUAGCUCAAUCUAAGGAACCAAGGAACCACAAGAAACAAAACAUAUUGAAAGGAAGUAUCAUCUUAUAAGGGAAUAAUGUAGAAAGGUUAUAUGACAAUACCCCAAAUGGCAUUAGAUGCUAAAUGGCAGAUCUUAUUACAAUGGCCAUUAGUGGGAAACCUUUAUAACCUGCACUUAGAGCCCUAGAGCAUGUGCAAUAUGCCAGAUAUGCUUUGAGAGCUAGUAGGAGAUUGUUGGGAAAAUAUGCUCUUUAAAAGCAUAUGUGUUUAUUUAAUUGUAAUAAACUAUUUUUCUGAUUAAUAAAAUAAAUGAGGUAUUUUAUUCAAAUAUCUUAAUUGCAUUAAUACUUGUAUUAAAGUCCAUUUAAUCAUAUUAUAUGUAUUUAUGUGAUUACCAUGUGGAUUCACAGAAAACAUAAAUACAAAUUAUCUUAUGAUUAAAUAAAUUUAGUUCGCAGUUGAUAAAUAAAGUUGGGCACUUUAUUUAGGUAUAGACUGUAAUAAAUUCAUUGAAUGAUUUGUCUUAAUCAUGUAUGAAUUUAUUGAUGUAGUACGACUACAUUGAACAGGAUCACAUAUGAGAUUUAAUUAACUUUGUAAUAACUGUCAGACUUAUUAAAUCUCAUAGGCGUUGAUUUUACUGUAAUCUUAAUCUUGAGUUAAUUAUGAUUUCAUGAUUGUAAUUGUUAUUCCAUUUGAGUUACCAAUGGGCACGACACAUCCUUGUGGUCAAGAUUACCCGGUAUCUUGGUGGGAGCAAUUAUGAGUAUUGGAGUUAUAGAUUAACAAUAUAGAAUUUGUACAACACAUCUCUUCAUGGGUUUUCGGCACUUGAUCAUGGAAUUCUCUGGCCAGAGUGUGUCAACAUAUUUAGUAUGUUGAAAAUGAUCAUUAGAGAAAACCAGUAAGGAUCAAGGAAUAAGAUGUUAUUAAAUUGAUUGGACAGUUGAGAUAUCAAUUUAAUUAACGAUGUGGUACAAAGGAUUGUGCAGUAAAGAAAUCAAUGUGGCUUGGGACGAAUUAUUAUUCGAGCAUACAAUUAUGGAAGUCAGUUCCAAUCUUUUAGUGGAGUAGAUUUGGAAUUAAAUAAUUGGGCUAGUUUAAUUACAGGCCUAAUUAUUGUAGCCACUAUUGUAUGUUCCCAAAUGAUCCCCGGGUUAGCUCAUUUAAUUGACUGCACCACUACUGGACUAAUAAGUAAGAUAACUAGCUAUUUGGGUCAAAAGCCUAAAUAUAUCAUUUAGUGGGAGGCUCCAUUUAAUUAGCUUUUGUAUAAGGGGCCUUAUGUUAUUUUACAAGGUGGGUCCCCUAUUGAAAAAGCAAAUAAACGUGGGUUUUGUUUUUCAUUUAUUUGAAGCCUAGGGUUUUCACUAAAGGGUGAUAUAAAAGGCUUAUUUUUCCCUAAAGAAAAAGUGAGAAGCCACUUUAUACAGAUCAGAGAAAAAGAUUUUUCUCUCUAUUGUUGAGAGAAAAAUUUUCUCGUGCUAGUUGCUUUGGUAGUGAUAAAGGCGCCCACACGUCAAGUGCAGAUCGAACCUGAGUCAUAACCUGGAAGAUCAUUGGAGACUGUUCGUGAUCUAACAAGCGUGGUGGUGACGGAUCGUGAUCUAACAGGAGCGGUGGUGGCGGAUCGUGAUCUAGGAGCCUAAAACACUUCAGCGGAAAAAGCCAACUCGGAUUUUCAAGGUACGAUUUCUAGAAUACAAAUUCUUAUAUAUUAUAUGAGAGCGAUCUUCAAAAGGUUUUAUAAAAAAUUAAAAACCUAAUUUUUCCCCAACACAUGCAGCAAUAAAUAAUCAAAUUCUGUCCUGUAUAUUUUUAUUUAGAAAAUUGCAAAAAAGCUAGUCGCUAGAAAAAAGUAAUUAAUUAAGUAAACACUGGCUUUGCACUUUGCACUGUGUUUGCGGUAAACUUUUGUUAAAGACAAGUAUACAUAAACUACCAAGGCACUGAAAAUAUGAAAUCAAAACAAUAUAUUGAAUCAAAACAAUACAUGUCUAUAGCGAAGGAAUCUCAAAAUCUGCUCACUAGCUAUGGCUCGUGUAGAACAAACCUUCACAAACUGACCUUGUUGGUUGAUUGCUUUUGCUUGGCAAAUCAUAGAGUUGAUGCAACACAUCAGGUGGGAUGCACGUUCCUUCAUGGGCAUAUUAUCGAACACGUCCUAGGCAUGAGAAUUAUACCAUAAUUCCCCAACAACUCCCCUCUUCAGCUGGGCCUGCAAAUUCCAUAUAAUCAUUCCAUUGUCUAUUUUUCGUUCGUUCUGAACCUAAAUCAAGCUUGCCAAUUCAUCUGAUCAUAUUCAUAUAGAUAUUUGUCUGUCUUCCUAAAAUUCAACAUUUGUCCACCAAGUAUUAGACCCAUAAAAAUUCAGAGAGGAAAUGACAAGGAAGAGGGUGAGCUCAAUAGACAGUCUCUACCUCAGACCCUGUGUUUUUUUCCAGCUGCCGCUAAUUGCUAAACACGGUUAAGAAACUUGCACACCAAUCUGGACAGCUCAUCAAUGCCACGUCACUACCCCUUAAACUGAUUUUUAACAGAUUUUUCAAUAAAUAGAAUGCAAAUGAAAUAACAUUUGAAUGCAUGGUUAGUGACAAAUUCAGAUAAUAGUAGGUAUGUAUUUGAGUUCAUCUUUGAGGUUGUGGUUCCUCAUCACCACAGCAGCCAUUCCACUGGCUUCUGUACCAAAAACAUAUUUAAUUUAUUUAUAUUAAUAAUAUAUUUAUAUUGAUUUUUAAAGUUGAUUAUUGAGGGAUUAGAAACACUUAAUACAUCCCAUCAUCAUCAUCAACAACAACAACAACAACAACAACAACAACAAAGAAAGAAAGAAAAGACUCAAGAGUAUUUGCAAAAGAUAAUUAUAAAGAGCGACUAUGGUCAACGGUGGAGAAUGGAAUCAAAGACAUUGUCAAAGGUAGCAAAAGCUUCGAUAAUCUAAACACAGAGACUUUUCUUCAAGUAUAGUUAAAUAAUAAAAUAAUAAUUUAGAUUACUUAAUGAAACAAUAAGUAUUUAUGAUAAAUAAGAUACAUGGAAUAAACUAACCUCUCCGCUUAUCAUUUUCUCUAUUGUGUUUUUUUUUUCCUCUGUCUCUCCUUCUUGUUGUUUAGUAGAUGACACAACAUUUCAUUUUGUUUAUUCAAUUUGCUAUUGGAGCAUCUUUCAGGAAAGUACAGAAAUGUAAAUAUACAGCUAAUAUUAUAUUUAUGAAUUAUUUAUAUGUACAGUACAUACUAAGUAACUAAAAUAAGACAAAUGAAAUAAUAAAAAUAAAAAUAUAAAUUAGAUAAGAUCAAAAAUAUCAUAUGAUCAAUCUCUUUCAUCACCAACAUCUAAAACAUUAUUGCUGUAACGUUAUACAUUAUGUACGAAACAGGAAUGUAAGCACAGUAGUAAUAUAAUGUUAUACAUAUCAAAAUUAUGUCUACAAAUAAAAAGUAAAUUGAAAAAAGAUUAGUGAAAUAAUAAAAAAUAUAAAUAUAAAUGAUAGAUCAAAUAUAUCAUAUGAUCCUAAUUUAAUAAAUCAAUAAUGCCUUAGUAGACAAUAUAGUUUAUGGUAGAGAAUAUUACUUAUCCUCUUAACAUUGUUUGCUCAAUAAUCUUUACUUUUGAUCCAAGCAUCUUUGAUCCAAAAAUUGGUAGAGAAUAUUACUUAUUAACGUUAUAAAUCCAUCCGCAAUUAAUAAAGGAUCACAGCAUAUUCAAAAAGCAAUUAAUUUCUAUUUAGAUUUUUAGUACUCAUGCGAAAUAGAGAAACAAGAUAUGUGCGUAUGAAAUUAUUAUGGAUUACAAGCUACUCGAUCAAAACUCGGAAUCAAAUAAUUGAAUGGGUGUCGAGCACGCUUGUGGAAAGAGUCACGGCACGAGCUCCCCUUCAUCAUCUCUAAAAAACCACACUUCAAAUAAAAAUAUUUUUUUUUCCUGCAAAUUACUUGCAUUCAUAACCAACUAUUUUUUUUAAUAGUUAUCAUUCAUGACUUCCUCUCUAUCCAAAAUAAAUUUGCUUAAAUUUAAAAUAUUAAAUUAUUCUUUUUCUAAUUUUUAUUGAUUGAACCUUAUUUUUAAAUUAAGAUUACUUUCAAAUUAUAAUUUGGAAUAUGUGUAAUGAAGUCCUAAUUAUAAUUUAAUAAGUCAUAAUUAUAAUUUAAAGUAUUUGUAAUUUAAGUCAAUGAUUUAUAUUAAAAAAUUCAUCACUGAUAAUUUGUAUAUAGGAUAGAUUGCAAAUUAACAAGAAUGUUAAAGAAAAGAAAAAUUAGAAGAGUGUAUUAAGAAAAAGGAUGUUUUUGGAAUUAAAAGUAAGAAUAACUAAAAAGAGAGAGAGAGAGAAGGUUUCAUGACAAUAUUAGAGGGGUGGCACUAGUCCAGCUCCAUACAUAGAAAUUACAAAGAAUCAACAAGAUAAUAACAAAAACACAUCCCAUACUCACAAUAUCCAAUUAGAGGGGCACCAAAUUUUUUUUGGCGAAAAUCCUCCAAUGCUCAAGUCAGUAAUUGGGUCUCUUUUAGAAAAACUUGUAUCACAAACUCAUGGCUUAAUUAUAUCAAUUGAAAGUUAGAAAUCUUAAUUCUCAAAAGAAGAAAAAUAAAUGGAGAGAAUUAUCGAGAGAGAAAAAGUCAAAGAGAGAGAAAAUAUGGAAAUAAAAAAAAAAUUGUCCAGCCCUUUUUACCUCCCAUUCUCCGUAGCUUUUAUACCCAACCUGAACCAUCGACUCCAUCUUCCCCACGAUUACUGUUGGCUUGGAAGUGAAAAGCGUGCUGUGUCUUUGAAAUCAUGGGUCAAUGGACAAUGUAACUGCCGCUGAAUGGGCUUUGUGCCCGAGUUUCUUGGAGACAAACUACGUGUUGGCCUUUGAUCAAGCCUUCGAUCUGACUCGAUUUUGGUCUCUCCUCGCAUGCCCUCAGGUCUGCUAUAUAGUACUCGUACGACCAGUAUUCAGAUUUUUUUGAUACAAGCAGUGGUCAAUAGAGUCAACUAAGAUAAAACUUAAAUUUCCCGCCCAAACAAAAACUAACAUACAUAAAGAAUUCGAAUCAUCCUUCAAUAAUAACAUAAAUAGCAACUACUGAGGCUAGUAAUUUGAUCAUUUCUGUAUUUGUCAAUGCAUUAUGGAUUCUAAGACCAGGCUCUAAAAUCAGCAAAUCCAAAAAUUGUUGAUAAUAUUACUUAGUAAGGUUACGAAUCCAUCCACAAGACAGCUGUAAAUAGUCAUAUAUCCUGACAUAUGAACUUUUUAUAUGAUUAAUAAAGGAUAAUAGCAUAUUCAAAAAUCAAUUUCUACUUAAAUUCAUAGUAGUCAUGCAAAAUAGAGAUAGUGAAUGUGUAUAUCACGGUGCAGAAGUAAACAAAGUAUGCAAGCAUGAUAAAACAAAGUUCAUGAUAUGUGCCUAUGAGAUUAUUAUAGAACGAACCUGCUAUAAAAAAAUGAUGCAGUGACUAAGCUGGAAGAAAAGGCCACCUAAGAUGUGAAUUUGCUGUUAUUUGAUUCAACUCUUCGGCAUGGCUCUUGAAGUUUGAAUCAGCCUGUGGCAGGCGAGUGAGCAAGCUGAUAUUGCUGUUGUAGAUAGCUGAAUCUUAUCAACAUUCUUCUUCCAUCUGAAUCUUGAGUGAGCAAGCCUAUGCCCUUAUCAACAUUCUUCUUCCAUGAAUCUGAAUCUUUCGGUCGAAGAUAUUGAUAGGAAUGCACAUAGGAGUAAUACGGUACUGCAUGUUCUAAAGGCAAAUAUUAAUUUUGUAAAGUACCUUAGCGAUUCUGCUUUUGCUAACUUUUUUACUGUCUCCACUGCACUCUGUUCCACAUAGUCGAAAUCAUUCUGCAUUUUGGCCCGAUUCUAACAAGACAAUCUAACUUCCAAGCUUUCAACUUUUCCCAAGGUCUCUGGCACAUUUUUAAGUUUGGAGCAACCACAGAGAUACAACGUUCUAAGAGAUCUCAAACCAUUUAUGGUACUUGGACGACUCUUGAGAUUUUUGCAAUCUUUCAAAUUCAACAAGACAUUGCCAGAAAGAAGUUCAAUAGAUGCUGGCAAUCCUCUUAUAGCAGUUCCUUCCAAAUGAAGCUCCAAGAGCUGAUCCCUGCUUGAAGUUUUCUCUGGGAACUCUCUGAAUUUCAAAGGGCUGGAGAGAUUCAAAGUUGAUAGAUAUUUUACAGCACUUAUUGUCCUUGGAAGACACUCAAGAUUUUUGCAGCCAUUCAGAGUCAACUGCGCAAGUCCAAAUAGAAGUUCAAUUGAUAAUGGCAGUUCUUUAAUAUCAGUUCCAUCCGAAAGAACUUCCCACAAUGUCUAGAAAUUCCUUCAAUUUCCAGCAACCAGAAAGAACACGUGUCUUAAGAGAUUUCAUAAAGAUCUUGCCUGGAAGAGUUGAAAGACUUGUACAACCUUUCAAAUUCAACAGAAUCAGCUUCUUUGAAGCAGAAAAAAUGAGUGAAUCUCCUGCAACCUUGUAAAUCUUUCAGAAAUCAGCUCCCCUAAAUUUGGUACUCUAGUGAAGUCUGAUUGGUCAUAUUAGAAAAGGCUUUAGCACUGACAUGCAUCUCUUUGAUGUUAAAGCGAUCAAAUAUGAUGCUUCAACUACAUCAGUUUCCUAAACACUAUAACAAAAAAUAAGUGGGAACAAAAAAAAAAUGAAACAAAGAAAAUAUUGAUAAAACUAUGCAAAGGUUUAACUAGUUAAAUAAGUGAUCAUGAUCCCAAAAUUGCAAGUUUUCAACCUAACUGAACAUUUACUUGUGCUUUGUGAUAAUACAUGGCAUAUAUCUGCUUUCUCCCACAAUCUAUUGCAGUUUCUAGGCUCCUGAUGGGAUUGCCUCCUAACAAUUUGUCUACCCCAUUUCUUGUAACUACUCAUGCAUCCACAGUCCGCUGAAAUCAUCUACAGUUAAUAGAGAUUUUUCAAUAGGACCAACAAUUUCAAUAAUUGGGUCAAAAUCACAAUAUUUGAGAAUUUUUGUCACAUAAUCUCUGUACUUCCCUUCAUAGAAACAUGCAAGAUCGAGAAAUAUUUUCUUCUCUGUUUCUUUUGACCCAUCAAAACUUAUUUGAAGUACAUCAAGAAUCUCAUUCUCAGGAUCUCCCUAUAGUCAUUGUAGUAUAAUUCUGAAAAUAUUUUCUUCUCUGCUUUGGAAAUUAAUGAUCUUCUUCUUCAUAUUUAUUCUGAAAAUUCAAAAACAUAAAUGAAAAUAAAGAGAACUGCAUGGCAUAAAACUUACAACUUUGAUUAUGUCGCAAGCAGCAUAGUAAUCAAAAUUUUUUAAAUAUCAACUACAUGUCAACGAUGCGGAAUUCCAAGGCAUCUUCUAUUAAACAAAAACAAAUAAUAAGAACCAACAGUUGUCAAUUCUUAUCAACAAAGUCUUCAAAUUGACAUUGUGAUCUGUUGUUUAACGAAAAAAAGGAAAAUCAAUUCCUAUGAACUAAGUCCUCGGACCAAAAUUAAACAUGGAGGUGGAGAAAAGAAAAAUCAAAAUCAAAUGUUGAAUCCUCUUGAUUGUUUCAUGGAUAAAUCUGAUCUAGAUCUGAGUCCAUAUUUAACAUAUUCAUCUACCCAUUUUCAGACAUACCAUGAAUUGUAAAUUAAGCCAAAGAUUCGCAAAAAGCAACAAAGAAACAAAAAACAGAUUCUAUGUUCAGCCACAAAUGGGCUAUUUCACAGCCAAGCACAAUGGUUAAGGAAGAUUGCUAGUAAACAAAUGAAGAAAAUUAAUUGCUUUUCACAGGUUCAAGAAUUAACACUAUUAUUGAUUGCUUCUCUAGUGGAAGAAAUAAUUUUGAAUAAAGCACAGCAUCAUUCCAACAAAUGUGACGAUAUUUUUUUCAUUCAUUCCAUGGCCGGACUCUGUUUUAUGUCUAAAACUCAAGAAAUUCUACAAUUCCUUCUUUCUACCACAUCAUUCACGAAACAACAAAUAAUCAAAUUCUGUCAUGUAUAUUUCUAUUUAGAAAUUUGCAAAAAGGUUAGCCGCUAGAAAAAGAAAAUAAUUGAUUAGAUAAACAUUGGGUUUGCACUGUGUUUGUGGUAAAAUUCUGUUAAAGACUAAAGACUCUCAGAAUCUGCUCACUAGCUAUGACUCAUGCAAGACAAACCUUCACGAAUUGACCUUGUUGAUUGAUUGCUUUUGCUUGGGAAACCAUAGAGUUGAUGCAACACAUCAGGUGGGAUGCACAUUCCUUCGUAGGCAUAUUAUCGAACACGUCCUAGGCACGAGAAUUAUACCAUAAUUCCUCAACAACUCCUCUCUUGAACCUGGCCUGCAAAUUCCAUAUAAUCAUUCCUUUGUCUAUUUAUCGUUUGUUCUGAGCCCAAAUCAAGCUGAGAUCGAUCAUAUUCAUAUUCAACAUAUGUGCACUAAGCAUAGUAACCUCAAUUCCGAGGUUCAAGUAUUUAAACCCAUAAAAAUUCACAGAGGAAAUGACAAGGAAGAGCGUGAGCUCAAUAAACACUCUAACUCUUCGCUCUACCACGGUUAACAAACUUGGACACGUCACUAACCCUUAACUGAUUUAUAACAGAUUUUUGAAUAAAUAGAAUGUAAAUGAAUUAUCAUGUGCAAAAUAACAUUUGAAUUUGAGAUGCGCGCGGUGAUAAAGUCAGAUAAUAGUAAAAAUAAAAUAGUCAAGAAUAAUAAAUUUAUAUUUUUUAUAUUAAUAAUAUAUUUAUAUUUAUUUUUAAAAUAUAAUAUCAAUUUUUGGCUUACUAUAGUCAAGAAUAUAAUAGUAAAAAUAAAAUAAAAUAAAAUAAAAAUUACACAAAAAAUAAAUAAGCAUGUCGAAAUUGUAAAAAGAAGUCAACUAUUAUGUGAUCACUUAAGUUAUAGUUACGUAUGAAUCAAAUUUCUACUUUAAUUGAUCUUGCACAAUUUUAUGUUAUCCUUUCUUUAAUGAAAAGAAAAUACCAUACCGAAAAUCCCAAAAUAUAUCAGAAAAUUUUACUUUCCACAUCCUGACGGGAGAGUGUACCUGAGCAAAUCUUAAAUAGAGAGGAUUUUUGUAAGUAAAUGAAUUCCAAUGAAGUACUUUGCUUUAAGAGAACUUAAGCUAAUCAGGGAAGUAUAUUUAUUUUAAGGAAAAGCAGAGGAUUUUUAUGAGUAAAUGCCUCUUAAAUUGAAAGAAAACAAAAGGAUUCAAGAGCCUACCUUUCUUGAUGAGUCCUGCAGUGGAAUGAUCGAAUGUUGGAUCACGUUAAUGGCCGAAAGAAAAUCACAAGUGGAAAACUUCCUUUUGAUCACAAUAUAAAUGCCUUCUUUCUUCAAUGGAUUGUUCAAUGUUCUCUUUUUUUCAGCAUAUGGAUAAGAGAAGAAGUUGAAGAAGCAAUUGUUUUUUUUUGUGUUGUUGGGGGAAAAAAUGUGUACUCACAUUGAGUUCCAACUCAACAAGUACCGAAAAAACUGUACAUAAAUAAUCAAAUUAGCAAAGAAGAGAACAUAAUCUCCCUCUAAUAUUGACUGAGUGAGUGAUUAGGAACACUUAAUCUAUCACAUCCAAAAAAAAAAAAGAAAAAGAAAAAAAGAAACACUUAAUACAUAAUAAUACUUAAUACAUAAUAAUGUAAGACAAACAUUCAUGGGAAGCAAUGUUGGAAUACAAAACUGCGAGAAAACUUAAUGCUUUGAGCGUGUUGGACGCACUGAAAGAUGAUGAAAAUUUACCUUGCCAAAGAUAAUUCCUCUUUAUAAAGGAGAAAUGUUCCAGUCCGGAAUUUUAAAGUGCGGGAAAGUGCAGGAAAUCUUUAAAACUGCAUGGUUUUAAAGGCUUAAACUGUAAGCCUUUAAAACCGUGCGGUUUUAAAGCUUUCCCGGACUUUCCCGCACUUUAAAAUUCAUGACCAGAAAACUACUACUUUAUAAAGAUCUUUUCAAUUUUGUUUGUUUCAAAGAAAUCAACGAGAGGAUUUCAUGCUUUCUAAUUAAUUCCUCCAAUAAAUGUAAUAAUAUAUACAUUGUAACAUAAUUUCAAUACUUAGAAAAUAUUUUAAUAUUUUACAAUCUAUUAGAUAUAUUUUAUUAUAUAACAUAAAAUUUUAUAAUAAAUAGAAUCAUAAUAUUAAAACAAGUGUAUUAAAAUUUAAAUUAUUUUGAAUAUUAUGGAAAAUAAUAAUAACAUUAGUAUGUGAGACUUUGUUAUUGUAAAAUAUAUUUAAUGCAAAUAUUUAUUUAAAAUAUCUAAAAUAAAUAAAUAUAUUAUUAAAUAAAUAUAACAAUUUAUAUAUUUAAAUUUAUUAAAAUAUUAAGUUAUUUUAAUAUUCUUAGUCUAUUGCGUAGAUUACAUUAUUUAUGUAAUAUUUCUAUUUAUUAAAAAUUUUAAAUUCAAUUUUUUAAAUGACAUAAUGGUCAAAAAGGGGUCUUAGUGUCCCUUUUUUAAAAGUUGUGGGUGUUGGUGACAAUUUCUUCAAAUUUAGGGGUUUACAUGUCCCUUUUCCUUAAAAGAAAGAAUAAUUAAAAAAAAAUGGGUAAAAGCUCGUUUAGUCCCUAUAUUUUGAAGUUAAUGUCCGUUUAGUCCCUAUAUUUUUAAAAAUACUUCAAAGCAUCCCUAUCAUUAAAUUAUUGACAUUCUUGCCAUUAUCUUUUGUUCAUUUUGACUUAUUUUUACAAUAUUACCCUAUUACAAUAAUGUUCCUUUUUUUAAACAUUAUUAAAAAGAAAAAUUAAAUUAUCAGUUUAACACUAAAAAAUAAAAUAAAAACAAUAUAUACAUUAAUUUUUGUGGAACACUCUGCUGAGAAGUUAAAAUAUUAAUUUUUAAAAAAAAUUGAUAUCUUAAUUUUUUACAAAAUUAAAUUUUUUUGGACACACAUGAGCUUCCACAAAAAUUAAUAUAUAUCUUUUUUGUUUUUUAUUUUAUUUUUGGGUUUAAUUUGAUAAUCCAAUUUUUUUAUUUAUAUCUAAAAAAGAAACAUUACUGUAAGAGUGUAAAAUUGUAAAAGCAUGCUAAAAAAAUAAAAAAUAAUGGCAUAAGUGUCAAUAUUUAAUAGUAAGGACGUUUUGAGGUAUUCUUAAAAAUAUAGGGAUUAAAUGGGCACUAAACUCAUAAUAUAGGACCAAACAAGCUUUUACCCAAAAAAAAAGUCUAAUGAGAAUAUUAGAGGGGUGGCAAUAAUCCAACUCCGUGAAAAAGAAUCAACAAGAAAAUAAUAAAAGAUAUUUUUGAAAUUAACUCACGCAUCCGUUAAAGAUCAAGACAAGAACUUAAGUCUUAGAAAAGCUUAGCUGUGAAGCUAGACCUCAACUUCAUGUGAAAUUUAAAGUAAAUUUUCACAAAUAAAAAGUAAAUGAAAUACCAUAUGCAAAUUUAAAGAACAUAAAUUGAAAUUGGGAUGCGUACUCUCACUGUUACACCAGGCCUUACCCUUCAUUUGAGUUGUUUAAAUCUUUUAGGUGGUUGUUCGUCAUCAUCAUCACAGCAGGCAGCAGCCACUGCCACUGGCUUCAGCUGCCACUGCAUUUUCUGCAAGGCUUCGCUUUGAUGUUGUGGCUACUUCCAUUUUUGAUCCAACAAAAUUAUGAUGGGAUUCAUUCAUAUUUGAACGUCAUAGUGAAUGCUUAGGGACAUGAAAAACAAAGCAAAUAGCAUAUCCCACAACCUUCUUUGUAUUAUACAAAUAUGAAGGCCUUGUGACUGUUUUUGAAGAACCCUCAUUCUGAUACAUGAACCACUUUGGAAUUUCACUUCCUGGAACAACGAUGUGCAAACGAUGGCUUGGAUCUGACAUUGCCUGCAACAAAUGGGCUAUUUCACAGCCAAGCAAGAAAACAAAUGAAGAAAAUUAAUUGCUUUCCACUGGUUCAAGAACUGACACCAUUAUUGAUUGCUUCUCUAUUAGAAGAAAUGAUUUUGAAAAAAGCAGAGCAUCAUUAAAACAAACGUGAUGAUAUUUUUUCAGUCAAUAUUAAAUUAAUAUUUUAUUGAAUUUUCUACGUGAAAAAAAAAAAAUUGUGGCAAUAGAUGUAUCAUAAAGUUGCAGCAUAAUUGACUUUAUUGAUUAACUGGGAAAUCAUAAAGUUGAUUUUGUUGACUGUUUGAUUCUGAUUGCUUAGGAAAUCACAAAGUUACAGCAACAGAUGCAUCAUGUCGUUGCUCUCCAACAGGUUAAAAAUUUAUUUAGUCCUUAUAUUAUGAGGUUAGUGUUCAUUUAGUUCUUAUAUUUUUAAAAAUACCUCAAAACGUCCCUGAUGUUAAAUAUUGGCCCUCUUGCCAUUAUUUUUAUUAUUAUUUUAGCUUGUUUUUACAAUAUUACACUUAGUAAUAUUUCUUUUUUGGAUAUUAAUAAAAAAUUAAACUAUCAAAUUGAACCCAAAAAUAAAAUAAGACAAAAAAGAUAUCUAUUAAUUUUUGUUAAAGCUCACGUAUGUCCAAAAAAAUUAAUAUUGUAAAAAAUUAAAUUAUCAAUUUUUUAGAAAAAUUAAUAUUUUAACUCCUCAGCAAAGUGUUCUACAAAAAUUAAUGUAUUUUUUGUUUUUAUUUUAUUUUUUGUGCUAAACUAGUAAUUUAAUUUUUUUUAAUAAUGUCUAAAAAAAGAAACAUUAUUGUAAUAUGAUAAUAUUGUAAAAACAAGUAAAAAGGAACAAAAGGAAGUGGUAAGGGUGUCAAUAAUUUAAUAGAAAGGAUGCUUUGAUGUAUUUUUAAAAAUAUAGGGACUAAACGGACACUAACUUCAAAAUUUAGGUACUAAACAAGAUUUUACCCCUCUCCAACAUACCAGGUGGAUGCAUUCCUUCUUGGGUAUUUUAUCAAACAUGUUCUGGGCAUGCUCUUGACCUGCAAUUCUAUAUUAAAAGACGAACGAGGCCGGCCCUGGGUCAAUUGUUUUAAAGUUUUUUAUUUUGUGAUCAAUUACUUUUAAAUAAAUCCAAAAUAAAAAUUCAUUUUUUUAUUAUUUAGUCUAAUAAUAGCAAUCUGAUUUCCUCUCUGUAAUUUUUAUUUUAGGAUGCCAUCUAGUUGAGAUACUAUACUUAUUAUGUUGAAAACAAGAUAUUCGGAAUUCUAAAAUAAAAAUUACUUUUUUUUGUUUAUUUAUUCUAAUGUUAUGUUUGUACUUAUUUUAAAAUUUAAAAUCAAUUUUAAUAUUACUAUAAUUAAAAGGUAUAAUAGCCAAAAAAAGAUAUUAUAAUGGAAAAAGGAUAUCUACACCCCCAAAGUUUAGAGAAAUAAUCAUUGACAGCCACACAUUUUUAAAAUGGAACACCAAGACCAUCUUUUAACAAUAAUACCCUUUAACCUCUAUUAUCCAAAAAACAAUCAACUCUAAUGUUUUAUAAUAAAUAGAAAUAUAACAUUAAAAUAAAUGUAAUAAUGUAUAUGUUGUAAAUUAAUUUCAAUACUUCAAAAAUAUUUUAAUAUUUUGCAAUCUAUUAGAUAUAUUUUAGUAUAUAAAAUUAAAUUUUAUAAUAAAUAGAAUCAUAAUGUUAAAACAAGUGUAUUAAAAUUUAAAUUAUCUUGAAUAUUAUGUAAAAUAGUAAUAACAUUAGUAUGUGAGUUUUUUUAUUGUAAAAUAUAUUUAAUGCAAAUAUUUAUUUAAAAUAUCUAAAAUAAAUAAAUAAAUAUUAUUAAAUAAAUAUAACAAUUUAUAUAUUUAAAUGUAUUAAAAUAUUAAACUAUUUUAAUAUUCUUAGUCUAUUGCGUAGAUUACAUUAUUUAUAUAAUAUUUCUAUUUUUAAAUGGUCAAAAAGGGGUCUUGGUGUCUUUUUUUAAAAAAAGUUGGGGGUGUUGGUGAACAUUUCCUCAAAUCUGGGGGGUGUGGAUGUCGUUUUUCCUAUUAUAAUUGCUAUAUUAGAAUGAGAGAAAUAAAAAACCAACAAGUACAUAUUAAUGAUACGAAAGUUUUCAGAUUACAUAAUUCAAAUGAAUAUAUAGUUUAUCAAGAAAUCAAAAAUCCAAGUUGGAUUGCAAUUUCAAUUAGCUAAUAGCGAAACAUGAACAUAAUACUAAGCAUGAGUAUAAAAGGGCUUUGCUCUUUAUUAGAUUUCUUAAAUUCUUGUAGCAUGAGGUUCUUCAUCAUCAGUAAGGCUUCGCUCAAAAAGAAAAAAAGAAAAAAUCAAAACACAAACACAAUAUCUAGAGAUGUUUAGAGAGAAAAUUGCAAGCAACAGAAUGGGCAUCAUACAAUAUACCUCAUCGGUCAUCAGCUUAUUAUGGGUUUGUAAUAAUUUCCCGCCCUUUCUAACCGAUUUAACAGCUACAUGCUGACACUAAUGCUCUUCAAAACGACAGUAUUUUCAGGUCGUUUGAUCAUUAUGUAUAAGUGAGUGCACGUGACCAACGCGUGCACUCACUUACUAAGUUUAGACGACUUGAGCCAGACGUCGUACACGAGUCCUCUAGGAGUAAUCGAGAGAUCGUAUGCAAAGAAACAUCAAUUCAUACUAUCAUUUAUUAUUCAGCCCACAUUGCGUCUGGUCUGGGAAUUAGAUUCUGGUUCAUUCUUGAACAAUAGGCAUAAGUGGCAACUAUCACUUGGGAUUUCUCCUCCUUCCACUGGUAGAUUACAGUCACUGAGAUCCCAUUUUGUUAAAGAACAUAAGCCUGAUAGAGAAGGUAACAUCAAAUUAGUCAUGGGAUCUAAACUCCUUCACAUCAUAUUGGUAGGGAAGCACAAAUCCCAUGAUGUAGAUGAUAGUGGUCCACUGGUUUAAGAUUCUUCAAGAUAGAAACAGACGUCGGAAGUUGCCUAAUUGCUGUUCCACUAAUAUCAAGCUCUUCCAAGCUAUCUACUUUCCCCAAGUUCUCUGGCACAUUUUCAAGUGUGGAGCAGCCAGAGAGAUUCAGAAUUUUAAGAGAUUUCAAACCACUGAUGGGACUUAGAAGACACUCGAGAUUUUGCCAAUCUUUAAAAUUCAACACAACAAGGCCAGUUAGAUAUUCAACUGACAAUGGCAAUUCUCGAAUAGCAGUUCCAUCUAAAAUGAGCAUAGUUAGAGAUUUUAAACUUCCCCAAAACUUUUCCAGCUUCGAGCAACCAGAGAGCGUUAGAGUUCUUAAACAUUUUAAUCUACUUAUAGUAAUUGGAAGACUCAAGAGAUAUUUACAACCUUUUAAAUUUUGCAAAAAAUGCCAGAGAGAUAUUCAAUUGACAUUGGCAAUCCUCUUAUAGCGGUUCCCAACAAUCGAAGCGCCAACAGAUGUUCCAUACGUCCCAUGAUCUCUGGAAACAAUCUGAAUUUCAAAAGGCCAGAGAAAUUCAAAGUGGAAGGAAAUUUUAGAGCACUUAUGAAAUUUGGAAGACACUCAAUAUUUUUACAACCUUUCAAAUUCAACUAAACAAUUCCAGAUAAAAGUACAAUUGAUAAUAGUAGUCCCUUAAUAUCAGUUCCAUCCAAAAGAAGCUGCCGCAAAAACUUCAUAUUUCCCACAAUCUCUGGAAAUUUCUUCAACUUUGAGCAACCAGAAAGUACCAAUGUUUUUGGAGAUUUCAUAAAAAUUAACCUUAAGUUCUGAAAAGUCAUAUACCAUGCAUUCGACUACUUCAGUUCCUUACAAAUCAUAAAAGCAGAUGAUAAGUGCAGACUAGGAUGUGAAGAUGUCCAUAAAAUUAUUUAUGCAUAGAUUUAAAGCAUAGAAUGUCAAGCAAAACAAAUGUUUGAUAGAAUGAGCAAUAUGCUCAAUGAAAUGCCUCUAUGAGUCAAGCAUGUCAGAUGACUCAUAAGAGUGAUUCAGCAAGAGAUGAGAAUAAUUUGGAAUAGUCAUGAAGAUAAGAUCAAAGAUUGAAUUAAGCAAAUGUGGGCAGACCUUUCUCAGGGCACAAAGUCGUUUCCUUCGUAUCAAUGUAACGAUGACCAAAGGAUCUCCUUAAAAGCCUACAUUGUGAAAUUGAUAGCUUGGGCAAAGGAAAACAUUUUGUACGUGUAUCAUUAAAAAAAUGAAUAAAAUGUAGGCUGCAUUACAGAAUAUGUUUUACUUUGCAUUAUAUAAUGAUAGCAAUUUUAUACUUCAUUUCUUGACUUUUAGAAUCACGAACUCAAAAUACAUGCAUUGCACUUUGUCACUUACCCUUUUUUUUGUUAACACAUGAUGUACAUCUGUUAUGUUCCACAAUCUGCUGCUGUUGUUCAGCUAAUGUUCUUACAACAUUAGCUGAUUGGUUUACAACACUUUCGACAGCUACACAUAUCCUUUCCCUGGCUGAUUGGUUUUGAAGGCUUUCAUACAAAGAAGUCCAAGAGCUUCAUCAUAGUAUAGUUGCUUAAGGACCAACAAUUCGUCCACUCUAUGUGUUGUCAACGAUGCUUAUCUCUAGAUGUUAUGAUGAUCCUGCUGCCUGAACUUUCUAGCUAACCUUUUUGUGUCGUAGCCCACUUCGAAUUAUGUUGAUAACAUUAUAUACAUUCCAUUUUGUUAGGAAAUCUGACCUCUUUUUUCUGAGGUUUAUCUAACGUUGGCAAGAAAACUACUUACUUCAAAUUCAUGAUAGAUCAAGUUAUAAACAACCUUUGCAAGAGCUGCCUUACCUAUACCUCCGAUAUCACAGAUCCCUAUCAUACGAAUAUCAUUAGGCCCUUUAUCCAUUAGAAUCGUUAGCUUCUCCAAGUGUGAAUCCAUUCCUACUAGCUCUUUAAGAGUCUCUGAUUUUAAAGGAAUUUUGCUUGAUAUCUCAUUGACAAUCUCCAUAAUAAAGUCUGAUUCAUUCCUGCGGGUUGAGUAGAACAAGAAAAGAUUUGUGUUGGUGAGCUAAAGCUAGUGUGAGCGUAACGUAGUGUCAAAAAAUUAGAUAAUAUAGAUCUACAAAACGGAAGUGAUAAAGUCAUAACUUGUGUUUGAUUAAUCUCUAGGUUAUUCUUCAUGUAACUCUUCUCUAAUUUCGUCUAUAACUCUUCGUAUGUAGAUAUUCAUUGAUCAAGUUAUUAUUUCAAUUAAAUCCUAUGAUUUUAACAAAUUCUUAUACAUUUAUUCUAUUGUCUCUCCCUGUUCUUAUGCCUAAAACUUGAUAAAUUCUAGAAUCCCUCUGCUCUACCACAUCAUUCACCCAACAACAUAGUAUAAAAUCUUGUCAUGUAAAGUUUAUUGGAAAAUUGUAGGUAAGUUGGUUGUUUCAAUAACGAGAUGAAUAUGAACGCUAUUUUGGUAAAAUCUUAUUGUUGAUACAAAUAUGCACAUGCACAUGCACACACUGAACAUGAAACUAGUAAAUAAAUAUACUGAAUAAAUAUUGGCAGUUUUUUAAUAGUGGAGAAAUCCAGACAUCUUCUCACUUAUUAUGAUUCAUGCAGAACAAACAAAAAUUAGUUGAUCCACAUCUUAGAAAAUUAAUCAUUGAGAAUAAGAAUGAUUACCUAUCUUUCAAUUCCUAGCCAAAGAUAUUAGCCACCUCUUGCAGAGCGCCUCUCCAUUUUUGCACCUUUUCUAUAUUCUCCUUCAAGAACUUCUUCAUGAUUAGCAAUCGCUUCUUGAAAACUUCCUAUAUGUUUCCUUACCACUGUUGGUUCAACAUCAUAGAAAAUUGGAAAAACCAAUUGUUGGCGAACAUGACGUGUUCUUCCAUUCAACAAUCUUAACAAGUUCAUCCAAGCACCAAGUUGAAGAAGCACAGUUUCUUGAGAAGACAAUAACUGAAAUUCUUGAUUCUUCAAUUACUUUAGACAGUGUUGGUGAAAUGGAUAUUCCCCUUUCACGUUCUUUUUCAUCACUGAAUACAUUAAUUCCAGUUUUAUUCAAAGUGGACUAGAGGUGAUCUGAAAAGUUCUUGCAGUGCGGGUGUCUUGUCUUCACCUCUGAAGCUCAAGCAGACAUGGUAGUUCCUGGGAUGCUCAUGAUGCAAGCAAUUGACUCCACAACCUCUUAUUGCAAUAAGUAACUGGCUGUUAAAUAAUCGUACUUCAGCAAACGAAAAUAAAAUACCAGCAAGUAAAUUGAAACAGUGGAAAACACCCAGAGUAUACCAGUAAAGUGGCAACAGUUUUGGUUCUUGGCAACAAGAGAAAAAAAAAAUUCUCAUUCAACUGCUUUAAUUGAAUUUCUUAUGUGAAUAAAUUGUAGCAACAGAUGUAUCGUCUCAUUGUUCAACAUAUCAGGUGGGAUGCAUUCCUUCUUGGGCAUUUUAUCGAACAUAAUUUCUCAAAAAUUCCUUCCUUAAACUUAGCUUGCAAUUCCAUAUAAGGUGAGAUCGAUCAUCUACAUAUUUGUUUUUCAUCCUUCCAAUGCUUGAAUUUCUUCGAAAAUCCCUGCGAUAUAAUUUACUUGAUCUAGGUUGUUCUAACUUUUUUUCCUUUUUUUUUUUUGAUGAAUCCUCACCAAAGUGAGGAGGUUUUAUUAAAAUAAAAUAAAAAUAUAGCAAGAAAACCAGCCAAACUAAAAUUACAAAAGCUAGCUGAACAGAUAGCUAGGCAGCCUAAAAACAUCCUCAUGCAAAAGAGAAGCAACAUGAAGGGUGCAGAGUCCCACCAAGUAAAGGAAUCCACCAUGGCACCUAAAUUGCUCAAACAAUCAGCUACCCUAUCAGCCUCCCUGAAGACACGAGAAAAGCGCAACGUCAUGGAAUCCAUGAGAGCAAAACAAUUAUUCCAUCGAUGAAUAAGAAACCAUGGGUGGAAGCCGCUUGUUACAAAGAUGAAGCACAGUUAAAGCAGAUUCACAUUUGAUCCAUGACGUAGUCCAACAUUCAAAAGAAGCAUGCUCAAUCGCCAAGAUAACAGCAAACAGUUCAGCAACAAAAGCCGUUUCAACAUGUAAUGGACAAGAGAAAUCCCCCAGAAAUUCUCCCUCACAGUUUCUGAACACAGCCCCACAAGCGAAAACAUGCAAAGAACCUUCAGCGAUUUUUGACUAUAAACGUAAGCAGAUUUUUAAUUUUAAUAUACGCAUUAAUGAUUUAACUAAUUUUAUGUAUGUAUUUAUAUUUUUAAUUUUUUCUCAUUCCUUUUUAUGUAAGAGUGAGUUGAGGCUCGACCCCAAUUCGGCCUUUAAACUAAGACCUUGUUCCUUAUACAUGGGCCCAAAUGGGCUUGGGUCAUUUAUUUCAAGAGUAGCCUUUUGACAUCCCUUAAAAUUUCUUAUAAAACUCAUUUUCUAUUAAAACUACUUGAAUAACUAUAAAUAAAUAAUUUUUUUUAAAUUUUAAAUGGGAUUUCAAUUAAACACUUAAAUAAAUUAAGGUUUUAAUAAAUAAUUUACACCCACAUCAUUUCAUAAUUUAUAUCUAUAUUUAUGAGAAGAUAUUUAAUUUUAAUAAAUGAGUUUAUAUUUUAUAAAUUAAAUAAGAAGUAUUUUUGGAAAUAAAAUUCAAUAAGUGGUGUUGUCUAUUAUGUUUCAGAUAGAUCACCAAAACUAUUGGUGUGUUAAAACUUCACUUACUUUCAAAUCUUAUUGAAGACAAUAUGAAUUUGAUCCAACUUAAUGCUAGUUAAUAUGUUGGUUUAAUGCCUAUGUUGGGGGUGUCAAUGCCUUUGCAUUCAACCAUUUCAACUAUAGACAAUAGAUCUAUGCUGUAUUUUCUUUGUGAUAAAUAUACACAAUGUGCGUCUUGCAACACUUUAAUUCCAAGGAAAUAAGAUAAUAUUCCUAGGUCUUUUAAGGCAAAUGCUUUCCUAAACUGAAUUAUAAAACUUUUUAACUUUAUAGUACUUGGACUUGUAAUGAGUGUUUCUUCUUAUGAAAAGAGAGGUAUCCAAAUUAGUAUUAAUAAAACCCUAAUGGAAUAAACAGCUUUUUAGCUUAUCAAACUAAGCUCUAGGAACUUGUUUGAGUCUCUAUAGACAUUUGUACAAUUUGCACACAAACUCAGGUUUCUCAGCAUUAAUAAAGCCUUUCGGCUGACGCAUGAAUACUUCCCUAGUUAACUCUCCAUUAAAAAAGGCAUUGUUAACAUUAAUUGCCUUAUUUUCCAUUAGUUCAUCACUCCUAGGCUCAGUACCACUCUAAUAAUAGCUAAUUUAACCACUUGACUGAAUGUGUUAAAGUAAUUCACCCCUGCCACUUGCUAAAAUCCUUUAGCAAUAAGCCUGGAUUUAUACUUAGCUACAUUUCCAUCUUUGUUAUACUUGAUCCUUUACACCCAUUUAUUGUCAGCAACAUGAUGACCAGCUUGUCUUGGAAUUAAUGUCCAUGUAUUAUUCUUAACCAAAGCAUUAUAUUCUUCUUUCAUAGCUUGCAGCCCUCUGGAGUCAUCUAAUGCCUCUUGUACAUUAUCAGGUUCUUUAUGAAUGAGAGCAACAGUUGUUGUAUCUUUUUUUUUUGUUUUGUUUAUUCAAUAACAAAAAAACUGAUGUUAGAGCAUCUUCCAGGAAAUUAUAUACGAAAACGGAAACAUAAGUACAAUCAUAUUAUAUUCUUAAAUUAUGUCUACGAAUACAAAGUAAAUUAAAAUAAGAUUAGUGAAAUAAUAAAAAUGUAAAUAUUAAUGAUAGAUAAAAAAAAAUAGCAUAUGAUAGUAAUGCCUUACUAAACAAUAUUAUAGUAGAUGGCAAGUCUAGCUAUUUGAAGAGAACUUUAAAACCAUAGGCAUCUAAAAAAUUACCGAAAAUAAACUUUAUUAUACGCUAAUUAUUCCGUGCCAUUUUCCUGAGCACUUUUGUAUAUUUUAGAAAUGCAUACUUAAACAAUCUGAUCAAGUAUGAAAGCAUUUUCGAUUCAUGGAAGGUAACAACUUUGAAGAUGAUAUUUUGGUUUUGUGGUAAUUUAACAUAUAUGAAAUAAAAAUUGCCAACUGAAAUUGAUGAUGCAUGCUUACUGAAAUAUUCAGAGAAUAGUAAGCAGGCUUCUCCCUUUAUUUGAGUUUACUAAAUGGAUUCUUGAGGUUGUGGUUCCUGAUCACCUCAACAUAUGCAGUAAGGCUUCGCCUUGACGUUGUUGCUACAACCAUCUUUGAUGCAAAAAAAUUUGAGGGGAUGCAUUCAUAUUAUAAUUGGUAAAGCGAUUCCAUUGGAUUGUAGUUUUGUCAAACUCCUCCAUAUAAACUAGUGGAUAUCACACCUCUCACCUCCGAUCCUGGCAAGAACACACCCCUGAGAAGUUACAGAAUUUAUGAUUACAGUCCACAAAGCAUUUGUACUUUUCAUGGGAAUGAAUGGAAAAAAUAUUAUCUAUUUAUUACAGUCCACCGCAUGGUUUUAAAGUUUUUCCGGACUUUCCCACACUUUAAAAUUCUGGAUCAGAAAACUACCCUAUUUGGCAAUGACACAGUCCACAAAGCAUUUAUACUUUUCUUUGGCUACUAACACAUGAUAGAUUGAAAACGAAAACGAAGCUAAUGAGGAGGCAUAUUCCAAUAGGCAUUAUAUAUGAUCAUUAUGUUUUUUCGGUGAAGGAUAUGUUGCAUGUUCUUAGGGAUUGGAUCGUGGAAAAAAGACUUUGGAACCGAUUCCUCCCUGUGGCACAAUGCCAUCAAUUCUUUUCUCUUAAUCUAAAGGAAUUGACUUGUCAAAAUCUAUUGAGUAAAAGGCUGUUGGGUUCAAAUUUGAAGUGGAGUACUUUAUUUAGAGUACUUUGUUUGGAACUUUGCAAGUUCGUUAGUGAACAUCAAGCUUGCUUGGCAUUGUUAAAGUUUUGGAAAUAUGAUGGGUGACCUUCAAGUAGUUGGAAGAGUUAAAAAGCUCGACAAGAAAAAUUACAAUACGUGGGCAACAUUGAUGGAGUCUUGCUUACAAGGUCAAGAUCUCUAGGAGAUUGUUUGUGGUAACAAUAUGAGACCACUAACUGAGGAUGCCGCUUUAAAGAAGUGAAGCAUUAUAGCUGGAAGGCCAUGUUCGCCAUCAAGACUACAAUUGAAGAAGAAAUGCUGCAACACAUAAAAAAGGUUAAAAUACCUAAGAAAACUUGGGAUACUUCUACAAUGAGUUUUUCAAAGAAGAAUAACAUAUGGCUACAACUUUUGAAAAAUGAGCUACUAUCAAUUUUAUAAUGAAACAUGAUGAUUGACGAGUACUUAAACAAGUUAAAAUUCCGAUACCAUAAAAUUUCUAGGUUAGAUUCUACUGCUGUAAUUUCUAAAUUUAGAAUAAAGAGAAUUAUUGUCAAUGGUUUGAGGCUUAAGCUUAAGAGCUUUGUUACAACUAUCUAAGGUUGUCCAACUCAACCAACCAUUGAGAAUUUUGAAAACUUACUUACUGAUCAAGAAGUAAUUGACAAGCAAUUGAGUGGGGCCUUAGUAAUGGAUGAUGAGGAAAUGUUAUUUAUUGAUAACCCUACUAGAAAAAUGACUUUUACUAAUAUUAAGUUGCUGAUACUAAAUAAAAAAUAUCAAUAUUUGAUGACUUAAUUAACUUUUAGUGUGUUUUACAUAUUAAUGCCGGUGGUUAUUAAUAAUAUAGUAUCAUAAACUCUUACUGAUACUAAGAUAUAUAUUUUUAAUUUUAAUUUUAAUUUUUCUUAUUUCACACGACGUGGUUUUACUUUUAAAAUUAGGGUAUCUUAAAUUCUAACACUUGAGAAAUUUUUUGGCCUUAACGAAAGUACUAUUCCCUCUUCAUCUUGCCUCUCUCCCAAAUCCUUCCUACUCAUUUGAAGAAACCCUAAAUUGAAACAAAGCAAAUCACCCAGCCUUUUCAGUCUUAACAAAACAAUUACUCUCAGUCUCCCAACAAAGUAAAAUCAUCCUAGUUUUACUUUAUGAAGCGUAUGGGUCUUGAUUCUUCGGUCACCACCGAAGACAACCAAAGGAUAAAAAAAGUCAAACAAGAUGAGGAGGAAUAAGAAAGAGGAAGAGCAAGUCAAAGAAACUAGCUUCACAAAUCUAUAUGAGAACUCCCUGUUCGAGGUGUUGAAACACGCGGACACCAGGACUUCGUUGCAGGCGGCCUUGCGUCAACAAGCUAUGGCACAAGACACUCAAAAUGAGCACCUUUGGAAGUUAAUUUGCACCCACCACUUCGCUAACGUUGGGUGCGCUACCCAACAGCUCAGAUCUGUAGUCCUGGCUCUUGGUGGCUCCCGUCGCCUUCACUCCCUCUAUCUCGGUGGCUCCCGUCGCUUUCUCUCUCUGCCAUUCUUUCUCUCACAGUCGAAACCAAAACUCAAAUCCCUAACUCCCCAGCCACAAAACCUCUCAUUUGCCUCAAAACAAAACAAAAUCAAUCUGUACUCCUCUCUGAUUAUUCGAAAGUUAGAAGCACCUUCAAUAGUUCUCUCUGAAAAGCCAUUCACCUUAAAUAGUUCUUUCUAAUUUUCUCUUAAUUUCGACUGUGAUUUUAUUGUUUCUAUAGCUGUAGUUUGAUUAAUUUUGAUAAAUUUUGCUUGAUUUGAUGGAAAGCAUGAUUUAUUACAUGUCUGCUUGAGAUAAGCCGGUUAGUAAUUUUUUUAAAAAUAAUUAUAUGUAAUAUUUGUUUUGAUUCGCAUAUCGUAAACACGAUGUUAUUGUCUACUAACUAAUUAUAGACUUCGAUUUACAUUCACCUAAAUAGGAUAUGAUUAUGUAUCCUUUUUUUUUUUUUUGGCUGUUUGCUGAUUGUGUUAUUUAUAGUGUUGUUAUUGGCGGUUUAUAUGGUGAGUAGGGCAGUAUUUUAAUUGAAACAAUUAAAGAUAUGGGGAAUUAUUAGGUAGAAAGUGGCUGCAGGAGGAGGUUCUUCUAUUUCAGUGUGCCUAAAUAGUAUUCAUUUUGCCCCCUUUUUUUUUUUACUGCUGACUAUUGUUCCUUGUGAAUGCGUUUCUAAUCCAGAGACUUCGCCCUGUGGUAUCCACUUUGAGAAACUACUCAUCUGCAACUAAACAGGUAAUUGUGCCUUUUAUAACUUAUUACUUGUAAUGCACUGAUUUUGGCUGUAUGAUGAUUGUAUUCUUCUAUAUGUAUAGGCUUUUAUUAUUAUUAUUAGUGAAUCAGCUGAAUGCUUAAGAAAUUCUAAUACUAAUAGUUAUGUUCUUCAUUAUACUUACUAUGUAUGGAUUUUGAUGCAUUUUAAGAAGAAUAUGAAAUUAAAUAUUUGACUGUAGGGACAACAAAUAUGUUCGAGCUUUUAUUAGUAUAAUAGUAUGUGAAUUAAAAAUAUUAUAAUUUGAACAAACUCCGAAGCUUUGAAACUAUGCACUUUCAUGUUGCUAUUUGUGACAGUGGAUUUUGAUUGCUCUUUGUUAGCGACUCGCUUUUACUUGUUUGAUAAUGUUUAUAAUUCGUCCAUCUCAUUAUACUUGAAAGUUGGUGAUUCUAUGUAAUUUAUAAAUCCAACCGGUAUCUUUUUAUUUAAAUCGGUAGGCCAGAAGCAAAGCAAUCUUUUUAUGCAUUGGCUGUAUUAGUAAAUCACAUAGAUAAAAUCACAGGGUUUAUAUUGUUAUUUAUUUCUUUUCUGUUUGCAGGAAAAUUCCAAGGGAUUUGACAGAGGCAUCACUAUCUGGUGCAGGAUUAUCCAUAAUAGCAGCCCUUUCUAUGUUGUUUUUAUUUGGAAUGGUAGGUUGCCGCUUGCAUAGUUGUGCCUCUUUUGUCGGAUAUCAUGGGUGCAUUUUGCAUAUUCAGUGUAUAUUAUCGUCCACCUGGAUUGUUUGUGUAACAUGAUGCUUUCAUGGAGUUCUAUUUGGCUUUUCAUUGUUUCUAGAACAGAUUAAAUUUAACAAAAACUAUUCGCAAUUUUUCUAUAGGACCUGAUUUAAGACCCACUGGUUCUGAAUUCCACUCAAUGCUUGUUAUACAUUCGCUUAAGCAUGGAGAGGAAGCUGAUGAUGAUUCUGUUGAAGGUUCUCAUACGCUACCUGCCAAUAAUUUUGAUAGUUAUUCACACGAGUAAGUGAGCCUUCUCUGAACCACAACUUAUAAUUUUUAUUUUCAAUUCUGUGAUCACAAUAUUUCUCUGCUAUGUGGCAAUUGCAAUGAUGCCUUCUUUGAUUUGUAUUAUAUUUCCUUUCCAGGUAUCCUAUUUUAGCUGUCAAUUUUUAUGAUCCAUGGUGCUACUGGAGUAAAUGCCUGGUAUUUUUAUUUUCACCUUUUGUUUCUCAAAUUUUGUCUUGUUGCUUUUUGAUCAUUGUUGUCUAGAUUUACCUUAUUGGAUCUAUUCUUUCUCAUGUUUGUGUUGAUGUAAUUGCCAGAUAUAAUAUUUUAAAUUUAUUCACUUGGAUGUCAUGUUUGUGCCUGCUCAUAUGCACACAUUGCUCUGUUUGUCCACUGACAGUUGCACAUAAAUUCCUUCAUUACUUUGGUUAACUCCAUUGGUCUCUGUGUUUGUGUUGAACUUUCCAUGCCUGUUAUACAACCAAGCAUGGGUUUUCUUUUGUUUGUAUGACUGUAUUGUUAGACUUCCUCUCAUGAUGUUGUUAAUAAUUUCUCCUCUUUUUCUUGGACAACGGUUAAAAUAAUUUUUAUUGUUAAUAUAAUAUGCUUGUCUUGCAUGCAUUUAUAUGCCAUUAGGAAACUAUGUAGAUUUCAGCAUGUAAAUUUUAUCAGUUUUUUUAUUGUGCAUGUCUUGAAUGGUGCAGGAUGACUUACAAUAAACCAAAGCAUGUAUGUGGGUCAAAACUAAAUAAUCAGAGCAAAUGUCAAAUUGGAACAUGGAAACAAUAAUAAGCAUGUAUGUGUUGGAAGAUUGUGCUGUUACUAUAUAUCAGAUUAUAAAUUAUUUGUAGUUGGUAAACAAGGUAAUAAGUUUCAAACAAUGUAAUAAUUUUUAAAUUGUUCAUUGCAAUGUAAUAGUUUUCAUAUUGAUGAAUGUAAAUUUCAAUUCAAAUGCCAAUUGCAAAUGUUCAAUUUCUAUUAUAUGGAUUUCUAAUUUUUUUUAAUUUUUUCGCAAAUAAACAUUGAUACCAAAGUAUCGUUAUAUUUAUUAUGCUUUUGUAUCAUUAUUUGUUUGAUAACAUAGUCUCGUUAUAUAUGUGAUGUUCAAGCAUCAAUAUUUUUUUGAUACUACGGUGACAUAGAUUCGUUGAUACAAAAAACUCGUGUCAAUAAGUUUCUUGCACCGUAUUCAGUGACACUAAAUUCGGUGUAGUAAAACAAGUUCUUGAUACUAAAAUAGUAUCAAAGAAGGCUAUUUUUUUACUAGUGUAAAAAGAGACAUCGAUUCAGACAAUAUAGCGAUAAAGUAAUGUAGGAAGCAUAUUAGAUAAAAUAAAUUAGAAUUUAUUAGGAAUUAUAAUAUUUGGGUAUUUAGUAUUUUAUUAGAGUUUAUCUUAUUUUUUAAACUUAUUCGAUCAUGUUUGGAAUUUUAAUCUAAUUAGCAUUUUAAAUUAUUUAUUUUAUUUAUGAAGGAUUAAGAUUAAGUUGGCUACUUAGUAUAUAUAGGCUUCUUACUAAUAGUUCUUUAUAACAUACAUAAGCUUAUCAUCAAUAAUAUUUAAUAUUUCUUAAUUGAGAUAUUUUCUUCUUCAUAAGAGCCUUUUUUCUUGAAUUUUCAGAAACGUAUGUUAUAAUGAAAUUUAGUAUCGCUUCUGCGAUGCGUCAAGUGGUGUCAGAGUCUUUCUUUGUAUUAGGCAGAGCUUUCCUGACCAUCAACCAUUCCCCAUACACAAAUCCUCCCUCCAUCAUCCAUUGUUUUCAUUAAAAAAAAAAAAAAAGAAGAAGAAGAAGAAAAAGUUAGAAAAAUAGCAAAACCCGAAGCCACCUCACGUCCAUCGUCUGCAGCUGCUACCUCUGUCAUUCUUCACCUUUUUCAUGCUUUAAUAAAAUUUAACAUAAUGCUCACUAUUUUGUAUAUUAUUAAGGACCAUUGAAUGAUUAAUCAUGAAGUGUAUAUUAUUUUUCACAUCAAUUUAGCACAACCUAUACCAUGAAAUUAUGGAUUAUGUUACAGUGAAUACUUUUAUAUGGUAGGAAUAUAAGUUUAAGUUUUACAAGCCUAUUUUCAUUUAAUUUUCCAAUAUCACUUUGUUGAUUUCGUAAAGUUGAAAUUAACAUAAAUUCUUAAUUAGCUAUAUAGUUUAUGAAUCAUGAAAGAUUGUUUUGUUGAUAUUCAUUGAUUGUGGUUACAAAAUUUUAUGUCACUAAGAGGCUGAUUGCAUUUAUGAUGGUAAUUAAUAUAAUAAGUAAAUAUUAACUCCAAUAAUAUUCAUGAAAUAUUAUCUAUUUAUUUUAUAUUCUCGUUAUAAAAGCAUGGUUUUGGAUAUUUUAACUUAAAUUUUGACACAAAAAAUGAGCCAUUAAUCUCUCACAAUCUAAUGGUUAAUGUUAAAAGUCAAUCACCCUAAGAUUAAAUAAAUACUUUUAGGUUGAUCAAGUUCUUAACCAGCCAUAUGUUACUUUGACAUGGUCAAAAAUUUUUCUUGGUGUUUGUAUUUGCCAAGAUUACAUAAUACAUUUUCUUCUUGGCACAAGAAAUUUAAGCAUAUUUAUCUAGGCAGAAUCCAGAAGAAAUAUACUUAUAUUGAUUCUAUUAGUGACUCUCACAUAUUCAAAUAUGUAAAAAGAUAAGUAGUUAUAGCAAGAGAUUUUAUUUUAAUUGUUAAUCCUGACGUGAUAAUCAAAUCCAAUACCAAAUACUUUCAUUAAUUUUCUAUCUCUCUUAAAAUAUUUGAGUCCAAAAAUCCGCAAAAUGUUGAAUGUUAUUUACAAGUCUUAACAUAAUGUUUUUGAUCUGGCUAAUUAAUUAAGACUUAAGUGGUGGAGCAUUCAUUAUAAUUGAUCCAUGUUCUUCAACCGCAUCCACGUUAAAUUCAAAUAAUUUUUUUUAAAGAUCUAGGGAGUUUUGUUUUGUUAAGUUUGAAAAUAGUUAAAUAGUCAAUCUUAAGAUUUAUUUUUAAUACUAAUGUUAGACACUUACCUAGUAUCUUGAGUUUUUGAAUUAAAUGAUUUACUAAUUGACGAUAUUAGUGCUAAAGUUUCGUAUUUGAACUCUCCACAACAAGUUCAUUUGUAUCGAUUAAAUUAUGUUUCAAUUAUUUCUCAUUGGCAUGCAUCGAACUCUCUCAUGCUUGCUUUGUGUUAAUUUACGUUUUUUUUUUCUUCUAAUUCUGAAUCAUUUUUCAAGUCCAGUCCUUUUAUAUAUAUUUUCAAAAUUUUGUCCGAUCGCUCACCGCAUCUAUGUACGGCAUCUUUUGCAGGAAAAACAGAGUAAUAAAACAAAGCAGGAAAAACAGAGUAAUAAAACAUCUGUCCAACUGUUUGACCCAAGCCAGGCAUUUUCUGGUAAUUUAACAGGGAAAUAAGUAACAAGAACAGAUACAAUAAAUAAAUACAAAGAAAGUAAAUGAAAUGCGAUCUGCAGAGAAAAAUAAAAUUUGUGCCCUUCAUUCGAGUAGUCUAAAUCUUUUAGGUUGUGGUUCCUCCUCAUCAUUACAGCAGCCACUUCCACUAGCUUCAGCCGCCCCAACAUAUCCUUCAAGACUUCGCUUUAGAAAGCUUCGCUCAGACGACGUCGUUGAUCCUGCAUCAUCCCGGCAGCAACUUCCACUG